rnacentral:lncRNA from 1 species
UAACUUCUGCAAGUUGGGGUGUGCGUCGUCUGUGUGCAACAACAUCAACGCUGGUAAGCACCUUUUGCUCAGACGGAGAAAACAAUAAUCAUUAAUUAGCGGCAGCUAGAAUCCUAUAAUCUAAUAUAUUUAUAUAUAUAUAUAAUUUUAUCAGCUCUGGGAAAUGAAGAGGCGAACGAUGCCGUUGAGAGUUGCGACCAAGCCUGCUCUAGCUUCUGCAGCGUGCAUGUUGGCAGCGCCACCGUGGUUGCUUAAGCAAAUGCAUGCAACUAGAUCGUCCUUGUGCUGAAUAAUUGGAUAUCGUAUCCACUUAAAGCUGCCUUGUGUAGUACGUCUUUGUUUGUGUCUCUCUUUAUAUUCCACUAAGGUCGGUGAUCUUGAUGCCACACACACUCAGAUGUGUGUUCAUCUCCAGAUACUACUCCAUGCUACCUGCCCUUUUUGUUUUGUUCAAUAACUGGGUAUCAUAUCCCGGCCAGUGUGCCAUCUAUUUUGUGUUUGUUUCCUUCUAGUUCCAAAGGGGUCAUCAUGAUGUUACCUUCUUUCGAUAUGGUGCUUUGCAUGACAACUGUUGUAUGGUACCAUCUUGUUGGCCAAUAAAUACAUCUUAUCCUAUGACCCUUUGCUAUGACCCUUUGCAAAUAAGUACAAGAUUGUUAUAAGCGUCAAUACUCAGUAUAAUUGAUCGCUGCUGUGAGUUCCCUUUCAGCUUAUCGUAGGCACACAUUAUUGCUAGCACGGUAAAGACAACCAACACGAAUGAUGAAGUAAACGUAGCGGUACUUUUGUAUACCAACACCCUUACUUAAAUGUACUGGUGUCAUUCCCUACUGGCACAUAUAUUCUUAUAUGCUAGCCAGAUUGGAAAAUUAACCAAUUAAAAUAAUUAUUUCAAGAUAGAAAUAACUUAUCGGCUUCUCGAAGCAUGUGUAAUUUUAAUUCAAGGACUCAAUGGAAGUUGAAUCACUUCAUCUAGAUUGCCUUCUGGAUUUUGGUUAACUAAAUUUAACAUUUGUGUCGGGGGGAAAUAUUAACGAUUUUCUUACGCUCUCUAAUUAACGGAUACAAGGGCUAGGGCCCACCCCUAAUACCCAUAAUCUCCGCUAACAACACAUCCCAGAGGCACUCCGCUCCGCCUCGCCCGACUUCAGGGUCGCAGGGUCGGACGUGCCCGACCCCCCAAGGCCUCGCCUCGUCUCAGCCGAUGGAGUUCCGCCUCGCCCGACCCUGAGCCCAACGGAUCGGACGCGCCCGACCCCUCGAAGCAGGACUCCGCCUCGCCCGACCCUGAGCGCAAGCGGUCGGACGUGUCCGGUCCCACCUGACAGAGCUCCGCCUACCCGAAGGUACGAGCAGGUCAUCAGACGGAAGCGCGGGCUCUGUGAGUCCCCCUGGGCUCACCCAACCGAUGGGACCGCGCAAGCUUCCAGAUACAGUUCUGACACAUGGAGAGGCGCCCGCGUUCCUCGACAUGACCUGUCAAAAUGUUGGUCUGCGCACUGCUGCCACGACUGCACAGGGCUACACCUGCACCGUCCUACCCCACUGUGACAUCUGUCAUAGGGCACUCAUCGCUCAUACCAUCUAAUGGAGGAGGGAAAACCGCCUAGUUUUCCACGUGGGCUAGCAAGAAGAGCACGUCAGCCACGCCGCCCCGUCAGGGUGCAUGGCUACAGUGGUUGACCAUCACCCGCGACGUGCACAGUCACAGUGGCCAGUCGUCACCACCAACUUGCACAGCUACAGUGGUCGGCCGCCAUGCACGACUCGCGUGUCCGGCUACAGUGACCGACCGCCGAGUCACCGAUGGGACCCAACGGCAACCCCUAUCCCUUAGUAGCAGUACCGACAAGACGCAGAGACAAGAAGGGAAGACGACGUCUCUAGUAGCCCCACUUGCUUCCCUUUUUACCUUUCUACCUGUUUACCUUCCUUACUCCCGGCUCAUUUGUAACCUCUGUAUCCUCCUUGCACUAUAAAAGGAGACCAGGGGGUCUGAGGGCAAGGGACCCUCGGAGACCGAACCCCGAAUUCACCCAAGUACAAACCAACCGAACCACCAGACGAGAAAGACUCACAGAGAUCUGGGAACCAGCUUCCCUCUCUCACCUAUUUGUAGCCUCUACUCCAGACUUGGUACGAGUAACACGAGCAGCCACCCGCACUGGACUCCUCCGCCAGAAACUGGUCCAACCAGUCGGGUCCCUCCCCCUGCUCUUCGUCCUCAUCAUCCUCAUCAUCGUCGUCCUCAUCCGUUGCCGUGUCUGGCCCCUCCGCAGCCUUCAGAACUCCGCUGCAGCUUUCUUUUUCUUCCUCACCGUCUCCUUGUCCUUCCUCUUCUUCUGUGCUUCGUCGAGGAGGCGGUUCCGCUGCCUCUGCACCACGUCCUCUGGCACCGGUGGACGGGAGGCUGUGACAUGGUUUAAGUUACCCUGCAGAUUCGAAGACUCCGCGUCAGAAUAGCAAACCAGGAAAUGCAGGAAAGAAGAACGAGAGUGCAAAUUUCUAACCAGCAGGACAUAGGCCUCGUCCGGGCGCAUCGGAGGGUGCCCCGGCACCGGGAACACGACAUCCCUGUCACCCAAUGCAUCCCGGACACGCUGCUCGAUCUCGGCGUCGGCAAUUGCACCCGUCGCAAGGACGGUGCUGUGGUACGCCCCAACAACUCCGGCCCCGGUCAGGCCCUCCUCCUUCAGAAGGUUGAUGGCUUCGAGGAGACCCCGGAUAUUCUUCUUCUCCUUCUCAACAGGGCCAUAUGUCCACGUUCCCGGUGCCUCCACGAUGACGCGGCCAGUGAACUCCGUCAAGAGGACAUCGGGGCGGUUCUUCACAUAGAGCCACUGCUGAUGCCACCCUUUGUGGGAUGACGGGGUCUUCAUCGAUGUAUACUCCUUGGGCCGAUGGCCACAGAGGUGGAUGCCGGCACACCCCAUCAGCAUCGGAAUCGUCCGCGUCUGGUUUCCUCUCUUCUCGGUCCUCUGAUGAAGAGUGACAGCGAAGAAGUACUUCCACAGGGCGAAGUUGGGCUCGAUCCCCAGGUAUCCCUCCCAAAGCACGACGAACGCCGCGAUGUGCUGGAUUCCGUUGGGGUUGAGGUGCUCCAGCUCAAUGCUAUAGUAGUGCAGCAGCCCCCGGAAGAAGCGACUUGGGGGAACCGCGAACCCCCUCUCGUGGAAGUGCGCGAAGGAGACGAUGUACCCGUCCUCCGGCUGUAGCACGGCCUUGUUCCCGGGAUACCGCCACUCGUUCUCGGCGAUCCUAUCGCGAAGAAGGCCCUUCUUCACGAGACCGAUCACGCGCGCGGUGUUGAAGAUUGACCAAGACCUUGAAUCCAUCGCCGAGGAAGGGGAAGGCUCGACGGCGGUGGUGGAAAGGUGAAUGCUCUGGCUCGAAAGAGGAUGAAAAGUGAACAAGGAGGCGAGAAAGGCUGAAGACGAGUGCGGAGCGGAGCAAGCAAGGUAAGCUCUCUCGUUUUACAGGGGGCGUGCGAGAAACGAAAGGCGAACCGAACGCAUUUAUUGCGACGUCAGGUAUGCCCCAUCGCCUCCGCCUUUCUUCGGAAACCGUACGCAUGAUUUCUUUUUAACCGCAGGGAACGCUACGCCCCCUCGCCCCACGAGCCCGGUGUUUUUUGCCGCUUCGUCUCCUGGAGGUCAUGCGCACAACUUCCUCCACAAGCGGCCCAGGGCCCGCUUCAGGUAAAAAAGGGAUACAGAGCUGAAAACACUCUAACGGCCCAUUACGGUCCAGGGGUUCGAAGGCUGGCCCUCUAGAGGGUUCGACAUCCACCCCAGGACAUUUCUUGAGCAAGGGGUGAGAAGGGACGGGUCCGCUAGCGACCACUACCCUGGUGAACAAAAGCCAAGGGCGUCCCGACCUCACAUUUGAGUCUCGAUUGGCGUUUAAGUUCAUGGUUUUUCCCCGAAGAAAGGCAAAGUGCCCCCGGAUCCGGUUGAACAGACCUGGGAACUAUAUGAACUGGCCGUCCGAAAUCUGGAGUACGCCACCAGCUUGGCCCAAGCCGGACCCGCCCGAACAGGGACCGGGACUCCACUCGAACUGACCCGUUAGCAGCUCACCGAGCACCAUGGUUCGUCCGAUGAGGAUAACAUGGCACGGCUCACCCCCUCCGUCCCAACGAACGGACGCUGAGGGGUAACGACUAAAAGACGAUCCGACCUCUCGAUCGGUCCCCUGCAAUGCGCGGGGGCUCGAGGGCUGGAAUCACAACGAAACGACCAUGCGCAUGGUUACGACUCGGAAUUUUGAGGCAGGAAUGGUCAUUGAAACAAUAGGGAAUCUUCCCAAACCGUACCAUCCUCAGAACACUCUGGCUACCCAAAACUCCCCGGCCAGGCCAAACAAGCAAAACUUUUCUCCUGAUCAAAUCAAGGUACAUGUUAAACAAGACCCCUGACAAACACUCUGCCGAGAGCCAAUCACAGCCUCUGGAGGAGCACCUUGCUCCACCAAAGGCUCGGGGCCUACUGUCAGGGGGAAAUAUUAACAAUUUUCUUACGCUCCCUAAUUAAUGGACACAAGGGCCAAGGCCCACCCCUGACACCCGUAAUCUCCACCAACAACACAUCCCAGAGGCACUCCGCUCCGCCUCGCCCGACUACAGGGUCACAGGGUCGGACACGCCCGACCCCCCGAGGUCUCGCCUCAUCUCAGCUGAUGGAGUUCCGCCUCACCCGACCCCAGGCGUAAGGGGUUGGACGCGCCCAACCCCUCAAAGCAGGACUCCGCCUCGCCCGACCCCGAGCGCAAGGGGUUGGACACAUCGGAUCCCACUAGACAGAGCUCCGCCUCGCCCGAAGGUAUGAGUAGGUCAUCAGACGGAAGCGCGGGCUUUAUGAGUCCCCCCAGGCUCACCUAACCGAUGGGACGCGCACAAUUCUAGAUACAGUUCUGACACGUGGAGAGGUGCCCGCGUUCCUCGACAUGACCUGUCGGAAUGUUGGUCUGCACACUACUGCCACGACUGCACAGGGCUACAACUGCACCGUCCUACCCCACUGUGACAUCUAUCAUAGGGCACUUAUCGCCCAUGCCGUCUAACGGAGGAGGGCAAACCGCUUGGUUUUCCGCGCAGCCUAGCAACUACAGCACGUCAGCCACGCUGCCCCGUCAGGAUGCAUGGCUACAGUGGUUGACCGUCGUCCGCGACGUGCACAGCUACAAUGGCCAGUCGUCACCACCAACUUGCACAGCUACAGUGGUCGGCCGCCAUGCACGACCCGCGUGUCCGGCUACAGUGGCCGACUGCCGAGUCACCAAUGGGAUCCAACGGCAACCCCCAUCCCUCAGUAGCAGUACCGACAAGACGCAAAGACAAUAAGGGAAGACGGUGUCUCCAGUAGCCCUACUUGCUUCGCUUUUUACCUUUCUACCUUUUUACCUUCCUUACUCCUGGCUCAUUUGUAACCCCUGUGUCCUCCUUGCACUAUAAAAGGAGACCAGGGGGCCCGAGGGCAGGGGACCCCCGGAGACCGAACCCCGAAUUCACCCAAGUACGAACCAACCGGACCACCAGACGAGAAACACUCACAAAGAUCUGGGAACCAGCUUCCCUCUCUUGCCUGUUUGUAGCCCCUACUAUAGACUUGGUACGAGUAACACGAGCAGCCACCCGCACUGGACGUAGGGCUAUUCCUGCCCGAACCAGUAUAAACCUCGCGCCCUCUCGUACAACCAUCCAAGCCUUACGCGUAGAGAAACAAAUUUACUAAGCCGGUAGUCUUGACCCGUGAUUCGUGAGACCGACAAUUUGCACAUACAAAUGUUAAAGUACAAAUGUUAAAUCUAGUUACCAAGCAGAAUACGAAAUAGCGGGCUAUAGUGAGGCUAUAGCGGCGCUAACUGCUGCAACAACAGUGUUGUACUAAUUAGCAGGCUAUAGCGGAGCUAUAGCGGUUGAGCACAGCUCUACGCUAAAUAUCAUAGCCCUCAAUUUUGUACAUUGUAUAUACUAUAUAAAUCUAGUUAACAUUUAGUCUAAAUGUUAAAUCGAGUUACCUAAAAUCCUGAAAGCAAAAUGUAUAAAUAUAUAUCUUUUAGGGUAGUAUAAGCUUCGAUUCCUUUUGCUGCUCUGUUAAAUCUCAUCUUUCGUUGUAGCCCAACACUCUAGUAUUGAUUUUGCACCAAGCUUCUUUGAGCCGCUCUGCCCUCUGAUUUUGCUGCGUAGGGGAAUCUUUAUCAGGUUGGGCUACUUCCAGUCGUGCGAUGUAUACCUUUGUAUCUUCUAGAAGGUAGACAGAAAACCCGCGUUCUCUUAAGGCAACAACCAGAAGAUUCUGCAGCGCACGGGGCAUAUCAUUGUUGUAGAAACGACCUUUAGUAUCGAUCUCCAACCCCUUAUAGUACUGGUUUUGCAACCAGUACCGUUAUGUCGGACCUUUAGUACCAGAUCAAAUAACCGGUUCUAAAGGGACUCCUUUAGUACCGGUUGGUAACCAGUAUCAACUUGUUUUGCGGCCAAAAAAAUAAAGAAAAAAAUAGCCAGAAGGCUAGCACACACACACAUCCCACGAAAUAUGCGCGUGCGCGGUCCAUGGGAUUCGAACCCAUGAAAUCAAGCUGCGCGCAACCCUUCGUUACCAUCUCACCUUCAGUACCGGGUCAUAACACCACCCGGUACUAGUAUCGGAUGCUGUAAUGACUCGAUACUAAAAGGCCUCUAGGGACCCUCAAAUUUGGACCCGAUACUAAUGCUAACAUUAGUACCGGGUCAAAGUGCAGCCAGUACUAAAGCAUGGGACGAAAGGUCAUAUUUCUAGUAGUGUAUAGUUGUUGUGUAGGACUGACUUGGCUGUCCUCUCUCUUCUCCAUCCCAUUGGUCUUACGCCGCCGCUCGCACGCGAGCCGGCACCCAACCAGAGGAGUGAGAGCUAGGGGCGGGUUGGGAGGUGGGGGUAGCGACUGGUGGCUAGGGUGAUGGUUGAUGUUGGCGGGGUUAGGGUUUCAUGGUUUUCAAGCUACCUACGGCCGGCGAACCUAGAGGAGGAGGUCGACAUCAGCUGCAACCCGCGGUGGUGGUGGUUUGGCCGGCGCCCCAGGCGAGGCAGCGUGGGAGUGCUGCUGGCGGGUUGGUGUUGGCGCUCAUUAUUGACACAUUUUUAGUACUAUUUUGUUCAUGGAAUAACACUCAAACGUGCUGGUGCUGCUGCCGCCAUCGCCGCCCUAGCCAUAAUAUAAAGGCAAAAUUUGCUAGAGGACAUGCAAAAUGAUGCUAGUUUGCUGGAGGGCACCGUUGACCAUGUAAUAUGCUACAAGACACUCUAGUUGUUCUAGAGUGUAUCAAUUUGCUGAAAGACAUUGCUACGACUAAAAUAAUGUUUCUGGACUGAGUUGGAGAGAGAGAUGGAGUGAAAUGUCUGUUUUGCCCAUGACCCCACUGAUCAGAUCCUUCUUCUUCCACCCUCCUUUCUUCUUUCUUCAACCAUUACCCAGCUCUAGUGUGUUGCAGAUCUACGAGGGUGGCGGCCCGGGGCGAGGGGCAUCGCUUGCCCUCAGACGAGCGCCGCGAGCGACGGCGCGGGGGCAGCAACGGCGCGUCGGAACCUGACCGUUCGUUAGCUCCUCUCGCUGCUGGGGAAGGAGGGGGAGGGGCCAUGGACGGGGUUCCCUCGAAAACCUUAGCCUCGAGCUCAGGCGGCUACGCGCAGGCAGCACUAGGCUCUUCGCGGGGAGGGGGCGCGGCCAAUCAUUGGCACCCCACUGGUCCAAUGCUGAUGAAGAUGGUGCCAGCGUCGUGAAGAUGGUGCCAGCGUCGUGUGAGGACCUCUCAUCUCCUCGAGUUCCAUGGCCAGCACAGGUGAGCGUCCGCUACCACAAAACAGAGGUGUCGUGAGAGUCAAAAAAACUCAUGAAAAUAGCUAAAACCAUCAUGAAAAUAAUCCAUGACACGACACUCUAACGAAAAUCCUCUCACAAAUAUGGUGCCAUCAAAAUACCAUUUUCAUGAGAGUGAACUGUCAUGAUUUUAUUUCGUGAGAGUAUUUCCUAUCAAUGACCUCCACGAAAUACUUUGUGCCACCAGGUCUUCAAGAUCAUUUUCAUGAGAGCCGAACGUCACGAAAGGUCCGCCACAAAUGUUUUUCCUGGGAGCCUCUAACUCUCAUCAAAAGCAUGUGGGCCGCCGCGAAAAACAGCCUGACCAAAUGACAAUUUUCAUUUUCAUGUGCUCUUACCGCCAUGAAAAUGGUCAUUUUCAUGAGAGUUGAUGAAACAAAAAAAUAGUGCCAUUUUCAUGAGAGUUCAAGCAACCAGGAAAAGGCACUAAUAAACAUCCAGAUCCCAUCCAGCACACAUCCAUGCACAUAUAUAACCCACAUAUUGCUCCAGCAACAUCCAUGCAUAUACAAGAUCCAAAUGUCUUGGUAUGAACCUACAUGCAUGUGAUGAACCAGUAACCUGCAAAAAGAGCUCAUAGGAUCUUGUCCUCAUAUUGUAGCUGUGAAAUUCUUGCAAGUAGUGUUGCAAUCAGUUCACUUUGAACCAAAAGAGCUCAAAGGAUCAUGUCCUCAAAGUUCCUCUUAAAGCUUAUGGGUUUGCUGGUGGAACUGGAAGGGCUUGAUGCAGCAUGCCAUUCUGCAAUAGAGAAAAAUUUAGAAAGCUGUACUAGUUAAAAUUGGAUGCAGCAGAGACACAUGAAACUAGUAUUUAUACAAUUCUAUAUAUAUAAUAAUUUGUCCCCUAAAUUUUUAGGAUCCUCUCGACGGUGGUGAGUCUUCCAGUAAGGCAAUUGAAUGUCCAUCGUGAUAAAAUUCUCCUUUGGAUUUAUCAUCUUCUCAACCAGAAAUCCUAGGAGUUCAUCCUUAAGCCUUACCAGUUGUAAUUUGGAAAUAUGUGAAAGUUAAACGAACAAUUAAAAUCUAAGGAUCCUUAUCAUCAUUUCCAUACGUUUGCGAAUUAAAAUAAUGAAGGAUACAAUGUUAGGUGAAAAUUCAAGAAACAAAAUUUUGUAUAGAGAUAAUGGUCCGACAUUAUUACAAGUUAAAGUUGUUUUAAAUAUCCUUGUAAUCUUCCUUUGGUUUCCUCGACGAUUCCAAGACAGUAACCUUGCUUCUAUCAAUGAUAAUUAUAAGGAGAACCCAAUGAAAACUGUGUAUUCAUAUUAGAACUAACUAAGGUUAAUUCGGAUAGGAAAGGAAAUCAAAAAUAGAUGGUACCCACACUUACUUAAAGUUGUAGGGUAGUAGUAUGUAAUGCUUGUAAUUCUGUUGCUCCAAGAAUUUGUAUAUGUGGUUCAAUGUAGACUUUGGUUGAUCCUGUAUCUGCUGUUGGUUGAAUAAGUGUUUCUAACCAUUUCUAGCCGUUAGAACUGGGACUAAAGGGAGCUCUUAGUGCUGGUUGAUAUUACUAGUCGGGACUAAAGAGCCCCCGUUAGAGUUGGUUUUCGGACGUGGAACUAACCACUCCUUUAGUCUCAAGUCCAAAAAUGAUUGAGACAUUUGUUGCUGGAUGGAACACUAGUAGAGAAUUGGCUUUCGAUGCGCCCCCUUUUGUCCCGGUUUAAAGUUGGACUGGGACAAAAGAGGGUGCGCCACGGUAGGUAAAAAUGGAGGGGGGAGUUAGUCCCGGUUGGUAAUUGCAACCGGGACUAGAGGCCCCCCUUUAGUCCCGGUUGCAAUGGCUAGCUGGGGGGCGUCGGUGGCGGCACCUUUUUGUCCCGGUUGGAGUCUCCAACCGGGAUAAAAGGUCCACCCUUUUAUCCCGGUUGGAGGCUCCAACCGGGACAAAAAGUUUAGUCCCGGUUGGAGCUUCCAACCGGGAUAAAAGGGUGUCCCUUUUGUCCUAGUUGGAGCCUCCAACCGGGACUAAACUUUCAACCGGGACAAAAGGUGUGGUUGGAGUUUUUAACUGGGAUAAAAACUCAUCCCCCAUUAUAUACCAAGACAGAGGACUUUCUUCCUCCUCCAGCCCGAGCCAGUCCAGCACAUUCACAGAGAGUUGACCUUCACCUACUCUCCGGUGGUGCCGAAGCAAGGAGGUGCUGCCCGAAGUUUUUUCCCUCAUUUUCGUGGGAAUUUCACUCAGCUAACACAAGUGUUGUGAAGGUUUGCUACUUCAUCCUCGUUUAUGCUUUGAUUUAUGCUUUGGAGAUGGAAAGAUUAUUUGUUAGAAUGUGAUGAAGUAGAAAAUGGAGAGAAUAUUUUGAGCUAGAAUGUGAGGGAGAUUGAUGUGUCAUAUAUAGUAUGCAUUCUUGCAGUGGUUUAAGAAUGAUGCUACCUUGUCCAGACAAUUUAUCUUAUCAAAUUCAAUAUAGUUUUUCAAAUCCAUACUUGUUGAACUUGCAUACCGUGUUCAUCUCUACGAGGAUAUUCUCUGCCGAGCAGCAACGUAUGUCAAGAAGGAGGUUCGAUUCUACGAGGAAGAGUGGAUACGGACAUCGUGACCGUGUCCCCUUUUCCGUAGCAUCUAACCUCUUUCAUGAUGAAGUGCGGUGCCGCCCAGUUGAGAACAUGCUCGCGAGAUGAACACAGUAUGCAAGUUCAACAACUUCUGCAGUAGUAAGGAAAGAAUUUUUGUACAUAGAUGACUUCUGCUACUUGUUGAACUUAUCAAAUUCAAGAAGGUUUUUCAAAUCCAUACUUGUUGAACUUGCAUACCGUGGUCAUCUCGCAGAGGAUGUUCUCCGCCGAGCAGCAACGUAUGUCAAGAAGGAGGUUCGAUUCUACGAGGAAGAGUGGAUACAGACAUCGUGACCGUGUCCCCUUUUCCGUAGAAUCGAACCUCUUUCAUGACGAAGUGCGGUGCCGCCCAGUUGAGGACAUGCUCGCGAGAUGAUCACGGUCUUUAAGUUUAACAACUUAUGCAGUGUUAAGGUAAUAAUUUUUGUACAUAGAUGGCUUCUGCUACUGGAGAAAGUGGCGAUGGUGGGGGUGAUCGUGGUUCCUCUUUCGGCAAGGGGAAAAUCAUAGUUGGCCCUCAGCAUAAGCCAAAGAAAAAGAGCGCACUGGAAAAAGCAAUGCUUCGUUAUUUGCAGCAACGUCAUGAAGAAGUUGUUGCCGCGGGUCAGGAACCUCCUUUUGGUCGUCGUUAUGCUCCACCCUUAGUCCCGGGUGUUUCACAUCCACUUAGUACUACCGUUUCAGGCGGCACAAAUAAACCUAAGGAUGAGGCUAGGUCAGCGGAACUUUCGUCUUCACUGUCCAAGGAUGCUUAAAGUCCUCCUAGAUAAUAACCAGUGGAUGGCUUGUUGUAUUGUAUCAUGUUGUUUGGAUCUUUAAUUUAAAUAUGUGUAUUUGGAUCUUCAUGUUGUUGUAUUGUACCAUGUUGUUUGGAUCUUUAAUCAAUUUUCACACGUAAUCCAUUGUCAAGUGUAAUCCAUUUUCAUGCAUAAUAAGAUGCAGAUGGACCGGCAAUGGAUGUAUAAUGCAGACAGGCAGAGCAAGGUGUUUAUUGAUGGCUUGCAUUAUUGUCUCGAAGUGGCCAAAGCGAACAAGCCAGAGAAUGGGUUCGUAUGUUGUCCAUGCUUCCAAUGCAAUAACAAGAAGGAGUAUUCAUAGGAUUCCUGGGGGACUAUUCACAGCCACUUGUUUAAAUACGGUUUCAUACUUAACUAUUUGGUUUGGACCAAGCACGGUGAACGAGGGGUCGUAAUGGAAGAUGGCGAGAAGGAGGAGGAAGAUGACACCAUUCCAGACUGGGUUGUAGGCCAAGCUUUUGCAGGUACUACAAUGGGCGAGGCUCAUGAAGAUGAGUUUGCAGAAAAUGGCCCUAUUGAUGACUUUGGUCAGGUGAUACGAGAUGCAUACAGAGAUUGCGAAAUUGAGAAGGAAGCAGCAAAGUUGCAGCGCAUGAUAGAUGAUCACCAAAAAUUAUUGUACCCAGGUUGCCAGCUGGGCCAUAAAAAACUAGGUACGACACUAGAAUUUGUGCAAUGGAAGGCAAAAAAUGGUGUGUCCGAUAAGGCAUUUCAGGGGAUGUUGACCAUUGUCAAGAAGAUUCUUCCCGAGAAUAAUGAAUUACCGUCCACAACAUAUGAAGCUAAACAGAUUAUUUGCCCUCUCGGAUUGGAUGUUCAGAAGAUACACGCAUGCCCUAAUGACUGUAUCCUCUAUCGUGGUGAUGACUACGAGAAAUUGGAUGCUUGUCCCGUGUGCGAAGCCCUGCGGUAUAAGAUUAGGUGAGAUGAUCCUUGUGAUGUCGAGGGGCAGUCUCCCAAUAAGAGAGUUCCCGUGAAGGUGAUGUGGUAUUUCCCUAUAAUACCACGCUUGAAGCGCUUGUUCAGGAAAAAGGCGAAUGCUAAGUUGAUGUGAUGGCACAAAGAAGACCGUAAGGAAGAUGAGAUGCUGAGACACCCCGCAGAUGGGGCACAGUGGAGAUCAAUUGAUAGAGCAUUCUCGGACUUUGAAAGUGAAGCAAGGACAUAAGGUUUGGUUUAAGUACUGAUGGAUUCAAUCCAUUCGGUGAGUUGAGUAGUGGCCAUAGUACUUGGCCUAUGACCCUAUUUAUGUUGAACCUUCCUCCUUGGCUAUGCAUGAAGUGGAAGUUCAUUAUGAUGCCGGCGCUUAUCCAAAGUUCAAAACAACCCGACAACGACAUUGACGUGUACCUAAGACUGUUGGUUGAUGACCUUUUACAGCUCUGGAAGGAAGAAGGUGUACGUGUGUGGGAUGAGGAUAGACAAGAGAUCUUUAAUCUACGAGUAUUGUUGUUUGUAACCAUCAAUGAUUGGCCUGCACUGAGUAACCUUUCGGGACAGACAAAUAAGGGAUAUCGGGCAUGCACCCACUGUUUAGACGACACAGACAGCAUGUAUUUGAAGCAUUGUAAGAAGGUCGUCUACAUGGGUCAUCGUCGAUUUCUCCCUGCUCACCACCAGCUGAGAAAGAGCAGGAUGCAUUUCAAAGGGGCGCCAGACCAUCGUAAAAAACCUGCACACCAUAAUGGAAAGUGUGUCUUCAAGAUGAUGAAGGAUGUAAAUGUAGUCUUUGGAAAGGGUCUUGGUAGCCAACCUAUUCCAAACGACAAUAACGGACAUGCACCCAUGUGGAAGAAAAAGUCAAUAUUUUGGGAGCUACCUUAUUGGGAAAUCCUAGAGGUUCGCAAUGCAAUAGACGUGAUGCACCUGACGAAGAAUAUUUGCAUGAACGUGCUAGGCUUCAUGGGUUUUUAUGGGACCUCAAAAGACACAUUGGAAGCACGACAGGACCUGAAAGCCAUGGGGCAACGAGAUGACCUACAUCCGAAAAAGAGAGAUAAUGGAUAGCACUACUUACGUCCUGCCAGUUACACUCUGAGCAAGGAAGAGAAGGAUAGCAUGUUUGAAUGCUUGAAUAGUAUGAAGGUCCCGUCUAGGUACUCCUCGAAUAUAAAGGGAAUAAUAAAUAUGAAAAAAAAGAAGUUUAUAAAUCUCAAGGCCCAUGACUGUCACAUGUUGAUGACCCAGUUGCUUCCGGUUGCACUGAGGGGUGUUCUACUAGAAAAUAUCCAGUUGCCGCUCGUAAAGCUAUGUGCGUUUCUAAAUGCGAUUUCACAGAAGGCAAUCGAUCCAUCCAAGCUAUCAAAGCUACAGAACGAUGUGGUGCAAUGUCUUGUCAGUUUUGAGUUGUUAUUUCCACCAUCCUUCUUCAAUAUUAUGACGCACUUACUGGUUGACCUAGUAAAAGAGAUUGGUAUUCUCGGACUUGUAUACCUGCACAAUAUGUGGCCUUUCAAGUGUUCAUGGCAGUCCUAAAAAACUAUGCUCUUAAUCGUGCCCAUCCAGAAGGAAGCAUCGCCAAGGGAUAUGGAACAGAGGAGGUGAUCGAGUUUUGUGUUGAUUUUAUUGAUUCAAUUGACUCGAUUGGGGUUCCAACUUCACGCCAUGAGGGGAGGCUCCGAGGAAUGGGCACCCUUGGAAGGAAAUCAAGUUUGAGCAAUGAUACUGAUUUGUUCGACAAGGCACACUACACGGUUCUACAACAGUCAUCCUUUGUGUCUCCAUAUAUUGAGCAGCACAGGCAGAUGGUAGUUUCCAAAAACCCGACCAAAUCCGAUGCUUGGCUUACCCGUCUUCACAUGGAAACUUUUCCCUCCUGGUUGCGCCAACAACUUAUGGGUAACUCUGAGAUUCACCCACAGCUUGCCUGGUUAGCCAGGGGACCUGCUAGCACAAUUGUGAAAUUUCAAGGCUAUGAGAUAAAUGGUUAUACAUUUUACACGAGAGCCCAGGACCAGAAAAGCACGAAACCAGAAUAGUGGUGUCCGCAUACAUGCCAUGGACAGAAAUAAUAGCAAGGAGUCGUAUUAUGGUUUCAUAUAGGAGAUAUGGGAACUUGAAUACGGACCGUUGUACAUCCCUCUAUUUCUUUGUAAUUGGGUGAAGCAAACUGCCGUAACCAAAGAUCAGUACGGAAUGACAAUAGUAGAUCUGAGCAAGACUGGAUACAGUGAUGACCCAUUCGUACUUGCCAACAAUGUGCAACAGGUGUUCUAUGUGAAGGACAUGUGUAGCAAACCCAAGAGAAAUCCAGAAGAGACAUGGGAGCCAAAGUGCCACAUAGUUUUUCCAGGUAGAAGAAAAAUCGUGGGAGUCGAGGAUAAAACAAACCAAUCAGAUGAUUAUGAUUAGUUUGAUGGCAUGCCUCCAUUCGCCGUUGAAGUUGAUCCAAGCAUCCUGCUAUCCAAAGAAGAGGCUCCGUACUUACGCCGCGAUCAUGAUCAAGGAACUUUCGUGAAGAAGAAAUUCUACAACGUUGUAUUGUAAUGCGCUAAAUUUACAUGACCUUUGUGUAGUAAUUGAUACAAUUUUUAAUUUACCCUAUGUAUGAUUUGAUGUGUUCUUAAAUUUGUUAGGUGAAGAUUUAUUAGAUAAACAUGAACAAUGUUAACCACAUACAUACAUGGAUUUUUCUGCGCAUUGAAAUUAUUUAAUGGAAUAAUUUCUUGAUCACAGCGAUGUAGUAAAAUAAAUAUUUUAGAGCCUAAAUGAACUGGUAUAGAAUUAAUGACUAACUCACACUUAUUGUCAAUUUACUCGCUAAUUAAAUAUAUUUUUGCAUGUACAAAAUAUGUGAAGGUUUUUGUUUUUCAUCCUGAAUUGCAGUGAAAAGAUAAAUAAAAUCCAUUUCCAAAAAACAGGCGGGAGAAGAAAACUGGGAAAAGGACCUUUUGUCCCGGGUGCCAACAGAAACCGGGACAAAAAGCCCCCCCCCUUUUAUCCCGGUUGGUGGUGGCACCCGAGAUAAAAGGGUAGGCUCCAAGCCCCACUUGGCGGACGCACCCUUUUGUCCCGGGUCCCGUCACCAACCGGGAUAAAAGGGGGGGCCUUUUAUCCCGGUUGGUGAGGGGACCCAGGACAAAAGGCCCUUUAGUCCCGGGUGUCAUUACGAACCGGGAUAAAAGGGGGGUUAAAAGGCACUAUAGCCCCUUCUACCCCCCACGCCAGUUACAGUUAGCAAAAUUUUCACCAAGAUCCCGCGCGCACUCUGCUCCGUCGCUGCCCGUCCGCCUUCCUCGCCAGCCGUCAUCGUCGUCGUCCCCCAUUGCCCCGGCCGUCGUCGUCCCGCCGGCUGACCGUGCCCAGAUAGCCUCCUCCUCCAUCGCCCCGGCCCGCCUCGAUCCUCCUGCGUCGUGCCCGGCCCCUACCUCAUCGACGCCGGCCACCUCCAUCGCGGGGCCUCAUCGCCGCCUCCAUCCUCGUCGCCACCUCGACGCCCUGGGUCGCCGCCUCGUCGCCCCUCGUCGCUGCCUCGUCGCCGUCCUGCCUCCGCCGUCUCGCCGUCCCGCGCGCCUUCGCUCCGUCGUCGCCUCCGCCGUCCCACCGCCCCAGCCACCGCCAUCCCGCCACCCCGGCCACCUCGUCGCCCCGACCACCGUCGACCGCGCGUGAGGUCCGCCGCACCGGCACUGGCGCCGGGAGUACCGCCUUGCUGACGCAAGCCCACCGGCUUGCGUCAACAAGGGCCUUUUUUAAGUUAGAAAAUAAAUAGAAAGGAGUAGUAAUUAGGUAGAAAUUCAAUAGAUUUUUGUAUAUGUGUUACAAAAUCAAAUUAGUGUAAAUUAGUUGUAAUUAGGUUCGUCGCUCUGCCUAGGUUAGAAAUGAAUCGUGUUUCGUCGUGGUUCCGUCCCCGCCUCCGCCGUCCCGCCACCCUGACCGUCGCCGUCCCAACCUAGGCACCGUCUGUGGUUCCGUCCCCGCCUCCGCCGUUCCGCCUCCAUCGCAAAUUCAUGUUAUUGCUAGAAAUUCCAAUAAAUAUGAACAAAUUAGUAGAAAUUUGGUAGAAAUUAAUCAUUGCUGCGGCCACCUCGCUCCACAAAUUCAUGUUAUUGCUAGAAAUUCAUAAAAAUUCAUGUUAUCACUAGAAAUUCGUACAAAAUUCAUGUUAUUGCUAGAAAUUCGUAAAAAUUCAUGUUAUUGCUAGAAAUUCGUACAAAAUUCAUGUUAUUGCUAGAAAUUCGUACAAAUUCAUGUUAUUGCUAGAAAUUCGUCACAAAGUACUACUAAUUUGCAAAAAUUUGUAUAAAUAUUCCGGACUUUGUGGGAUUCAUGUUAUUUUCUGAUUUCAUGUAUAUACCCUUAUGUACAUAUAACUAAGGAGAUUUCUAUGACUUUCAUGUAUGUUUCAAUCAAUAGUUGAAAUGGCAGACGAUGAGACCGCAAGGUAUCUCAUGGAGCAGAUAAUCGCUGGUGAUGGUAGUGGCGACAACCUUCCACUAUCGUACACCGAUGAAGAGGGCACCCAGGCGGACAUGUUCCUCAACAUGUCCGCCGAUGGGAAUGAAGAGCAAAAGCCCCAGCAACACCUUGCCGGGGCGGAAGGUUCCGGCGAGGUAUAUAUAACGAUUCUUGUAUUGUUUCACACCACCGUUACUACUACGUACUAAUUAACGAAUCAUGAACCGUUAGCCCUCUGGAUCGACGCAAGGGCAGAAGACACGAGGUCGUACAAAGGUGAUGGAAGGGAGGCUUGUCAUCACGGAAGUGAUAGAAGAGGGCAGGCCGGUUGCUCCCGAGAAAGUAGCAAAGAAGUACGUGAGUCAGAUCGGGGCAAUCGUCCGGGACAACGUGCCUAUCAGCAUCAGAGAAUGGAAGGGCAGAAGCACUAAUCCGUACGCCCUCCUGGAGACAGAAAGAAUAUGCUGUGGGAAGAUGUCAAGAGACAUUUCACAUUCACCGAAGGAUAUAUUGAGAAGGAUGUGAAAGCGUGGACGCUUAAGAAGAUGGCUACACAAUUUCCAGACAUUUAAGAAGAUGCUAGAUACCCACUACAUUAAGAAGGGCCGAACUCCAGACUUCAACGCGUGGUCAAAGUUGAGGGACCACUAGGAUGCAUUUGUUGAAUAUAAGAGGAGUGAAUACGAUGUGAAAAAGAUCACGACCAACACAACAAAUGCUAGUCAGAAGGGCUACCAUCAUCAUCUGGGGCGAGAUGGUUAUGGCUCAGCAAUUCCCAAGUCGAGGAAGAUGGAACAAGAUCUGAUUGAACGGGGAAUCGUACCGGCAACUAUUGAAUGGCCCGAACGAUCAAAAAAUUGGUACUACGCUCAUGGAGGCUCCCUGUGCCAAGAGGAUGGGACGUUGAUUUUCAAUAACACAAUACGUUAGAAGGCCAAACAUCUUGUGAAGAACAUUGAAGAUUCUAAGGCUGGGAGGUUGAAGGUGGACCGAGAAAAUGAUGAGCUCACAUUGGCCCUUGGUAAUCCAGAGCACCCAGGAUGUUGCCGAGGGUUCGGGGUCGUUCCGUGGAAGUUUGUUUUCCGAGGCGACAGCGCCUCGUACAGAAGCCGGAAGCGAAGAAAGGAACAGAUCGAGGAGAGCUGGUGGCAGAUGCUAGAAUCCAAAGUGCAGGCACAAGAACAAAGAAUGAUGGAGGAAAUCAAUCGUCGAGUGGCCCACGCAGUUGUGGAGUUGGCCCAAUCUGGAGCAUUGCCGAAUCCUAACAACGCCAGCCCUUCUCAAUGCCUCUUGAGCAGUUAUGCUUCUACAGGGGUCCCCGAUGCGCACACGCCCAGGUUACCCGUGGAGGAGCAACGGUUCCCCGUGGAUGCCAUCACGCAACACACCACAUGUGAGCUGCAUGCACCGGUCGGCAACCUCACUAUUAAGGUAUACUUAUACAUAAUAUUUAUGCAAUCUUGUCAAUUGAUCCACGCCUCGAUAUCGGAGUUUAACUUGUUUACUUCUACUAUAUGUACAGGUAGCGUACGGGAGUGCGUUAGCAACCCUGGCGGGGCAGAGCAGUCAUGGCAUGAAGAUUCCACCUGGCUACGCUAGCGUCCGCGUAGAGCAAAUAGUUGAUAGCCAAUAUGAAGGUCUAGAGCUCGACCUCCCGGGAGGUGACAGGGAAAGAACACUGGCAGAUGCGCUUCAUGGGAUCAUUCUAUGGCGAAAACGCUACAUCAUUAUUCCCGGCACGGAGCCAUCUCCUCAGAGCUCAAGACCACUCCCCGUAGAUCCCCAGCAGCGACCUUCUCCUCAUAGCUCGAGACCGUCAUCUCCUGCACAACCUGCUCCAGGACCGUCCCUUCCAUCUAUAUCAAGGUCUCCAUCUCCACCACAUCCUGGUGGUGGGAGCGACGACGACAAUAACAACACCCCUUCCUGAUCACCAUCGCCGGCACCAAGAGCGGCCCCCAUGAAGGAACCUGCACCACCACUAAAAAAGUCACGAGCACCGCCUCCCAAGCAAAGACAGAGAAAGAAGAAAACAAAGGAGCCUGAAGUGACUCGUAAGGAACGCUGGGAGACAAUGUCUCAUGCGGAACAGUGGGCAGAAAUCCAACAAGAGGCCAGUGAGUGGUUCAAGAAACAAGCCGAAGAAAAAAAAGCAACGGAGAUGCAGCCACCGCCAGUAAAUCGAAGAGAUUUAAACUUUUUUAUCAGGAUGGAAGAAGGAGCCAAGAAAAGGAUACCACUCUUAUCAAACUAUGAACGGGCUUUAGUAAAGGCUGAUGAAAAGGAUAAAAGGAAAGGAAAGUCAUCUUCCAGCGGUGCUGUCCCCGACCUCAGCCAUUUAUCAAAAAAAGAUGCUCAACGGGUAAAAGCAAUGCCCUUGGAUCAACAAGCAGAAGUAUUGAAGUUCAUGCAAGAAACAGGUCUGGGACUUGAUGAAUGCCUAGGGCAAGUUGAGACGCCAACUGCACCGCCCCCUGAGCCGAGAUGGCCUUAUGAGCUAGGCAAACCUCUAGUAAAGCCUUCAUUGGUACGAAAGCUAUCAACAAAGAUGUACGCAUUCCAUCAAUGGUACAUGAUGGCAUCCGCUGACUCAAGGGAGAUGCUCGGCCUGAAGGUAAAACCGAUGGAUUUUCACGACAGAGGCGAGAAAGUGCUGUGGCUAGACUUCAAGGAUAUAUACGAAGUGUACCAUCAUGAUGCCAUAGACGUCUCUCUGAUCCGCGCUUGGGUUCUGUAAGUGUCCGUUUAUCUCUACAUGUAAAUUUUGGCGUGCGUCACCGUACUAACUUCGUCUUCCAUUUCAUGUAGGAUGCUAAUUCAGACAUGCCGCCGAGAGGCGUACCUACAUAUAGGCUUCAUGGAUCCAUCUGUAGUUAACCAACAGCAGAUACAAUUAGCAUCGGAGAAAACCUUGGUGGAAGUAUACAAUUUCCUAGACAAACAAACAUUCAAGGAUUUCAUACUAUUUCCAUACAACUUCAAGUAAGUGUGUGUAUACCGUCUACUUUCGAUGUCUUUUUCCUUAUCUCUACAUGUUAGUUAGCUCUAAUAUGCAUGAACAUUUUACGCACGCAGCUUCCACUGGAUCCUUAUUAUAAUUGAGCCUCAAAGAAGCCACGUCACUGUCUUCAAUUCGUUGAGGAAAGAUCCAGUGGAGCACCAAGAAAUGCAACACAUGCUAGGCUUGUAAUAAUUCUGGACCUUUAUCUCUAUGCAAAAGUUUGUUUCCUAAAUUCUAUCCCUGUUACACUAUAUCAUUCAUUAUUCUAAUCCACAGCGUAUGGAAACAAUUCAUAAGGACACAAAAAGGUCCAUUCAAAGAAAAACUUACAUGGAACACAGACUUCCCGGUACAUAUGAAGUCUGCACAUUUAUUACAUUGUAUAACACGAAUAUUUCAUAACUUAUUUUUUUCCGUAUUGAAGUGCUUAAGACAGGAACUCGGAAAUAAUCUAUGUGGCUACUACAUCUGUGAGCACAUGCACAGUUUUAUGGGACCCAAGGGACUAAAGAUGACGCCGCACAACUUUAAAGUACGUAAAAUAAAACUAUUACUAGUUAAUUAUUUUCUAGCUCCUUAUAUGUAUUUGUUCACGUAACAUUCACAAAUUUCCAAAUUAUAGAUGUUAAAUAUUCAACAAGGACUCUUGAAGGAAGAAAGAGUAGCGGCAAUAUGUGAAGGUCUCAUUGGAUUCCUAAUGGACAAGGUGGUAGAUCCAAAAGGAGAAUUUUAUUUUGAUGGACGACAAUUAGACACUCUGAUCAGCAACACCUCGAUGGGAAGAUUGUAGAUAGAUACUUUGAUUUAUUUGUAUAUAUAAUACGCGCUAAUUAUGAUCGAUUUGUACUAGUUGAAUUCUGUAUAUGAAUUGUGUAUAAGAAUUGUGUAUAUAUAUAGUAACUGUAUAAUUACAAAUCCCAUUCGUUUAAAUACUAGUUAAUUUCAUUCUAAAAAAAUCUCAACUACUUAAGGUUAACAAAAGGGCUGCGGUACUACGUACGUGAUGCAUGCAUGAAAAAUUCAGGCGCCAGGCAGGUGCCAUGCAGGGCAUCAUUUAGUCCCGUUUGGAAUCCAGCCGGGACUAAAGGGUAACCCUUUACUCCCGGUUGGGAAACCCAACCGGGACUAAAGGGGGACCGUUACUCCCGGUUAAAAGACCCGGGACUAAAACCCCCCCUUUUGUCCCGGUUGGCUUAUCCCGGAUAAAUUUUCGGGAGAUAUGCACCCUACCAACCGGGACUAAAGGCCAAUUCUCCACUAGUGGAAGGUCCUUUCUCUACCAUGAAUAUUGCCAGAAAGAAUUGAAAGAGACCGCUUGCUAAAAACAUGUCAUAGAUGCGGACCAAGCUACCAAGGAGGUAGACCAAACAUGAUACACACCAUGCGUACCUUGCUGUGCAGACUAUGCAUGGACAAGAUACCCGACCACAUGUUGGCUUUGGUCACAUCAAAAGAAUCAUGUAGGCCAUUAAUAAACUACUUGAAGCGUCAUUCCGUAUCUUAUAUCCAUCAUCUGCAUUACAUUACAUUAAAUAUUAUUAACUAUUUGAAUAAAAUGAACCAAUUUAAAAAUAAUGAAUUGUACAUUACUACAAAAAGCCCUAGCACUGCCAGUUCCAAAAACAUCAUUGUUGACGGCCGUUAAGUACCAAAUAUGACGGUCAAUAUCCUAAAGAAUAAAGGACAAUUGGCAUUUCUUACACACAUAUUUGGUUUCGAAUAAUGUAGUUCUACAUGUCCUUGGAGAUUAUUUGGGUGUGGGUGAAAUAAUACAAAAAGAAGGAGAAAACACACUCCCAUGGCAAAGAAACAUAACUCCGACCAAUGAGAGAUAGCCACAGGGGCAGCACAUGGAUCCAUGGGCCCACAAACUGCAUCAAACCAUCUUACAAGGCGGGUAGCACCCACAACUGUCAUUAGGACCCACCUGGAAGUCUAGCAAAGAAGAAGGUUGUGAGUGGGGCCACGAGGGGUUCGGUUGAAUCAUCUCUAGCUCCCUUCAUCCCCAGCUGGCGCGUGGCGGUGGUUCAUGGUGUCCCGACAUCGGUUAGAGGACAUUCCCCCAAAUAUUCCUCCUGUAAACCAGCUCUAUGAACCUAUAAAUAGAGGGGUGUGCUCUCCAUUCCAACACACACCACAAGUUGAAGCACUCUCUCCCUCUUUAGUUUCCAAGUUUACGGAGAUAGGCUGGAGUAGCUCUGCUAAAGGUUCCAAGUCCACUUGGAGUUAAGCGUAUGUCUCUUGUAUCAUUAUUUCCUAGAGAGACUUUAUGCUAUUCAAGUUAUUUAUCUUCUUCAUAUAGUGUUAUGCUUAGUUCUUAUAUGCAUGAGUUAGUCUAAUACCCUUGCUCUAUUGAUAUGCUCAGCUUAUGUGCUCGUAUGCUAGUCAUGUACCCUUGCUGUCAUAGUAUAGGGUUAUAUGCUGUCAUGUGUGCCUAUAGACCUUGCUACAGUAUAUACUUGUUGUGUAUACAUACCAUUUGUAUAUACAUUAUUACAAGUUAAGGUAGUUUUAAAUAUCCUUGUGUUGACAACCAAAGCUUGAUCUUUUGUUUCCAUUGCCAGCGGAUUCAUCGGCUCAGAGUAGGAUCAAGACAUCAAGUUGAUGGAGUUCUUUAUAUUUCAAGAGGAGUCAUGGAGUUCUUUAUAUUUCAAGAGGAGUUGAUGGUGCUUUCAAUAUUGCAACCAGACAUCAUUGGCUCUGAAGACACCGAAUCAUCGGAGUUCUAUGAUCAGUUUCGGAACAUGAAGCCUUCAUACUCCGAAACUGGGGGGCCUGUGUUGACACCGAAUUAUCGGACUUCUAUAAUUAGUUUCGGAACAUGAAGCCUUCAUACUUCGAAACUGGGGGGUAUGUGUUUACACCAAAAUUUAGAAAUGUGCUCUGAAAGGAAGGACCUGGGAGAUCUAUUGGCUGAAAUACAAAUCCAUCGAAACUAGCCUUAUGCUAAGAGAUCAGAAUAUUGUACAAAGUCUAGAAAGUUCUAUUUACAUCUAAGUAACUCGAUAACUAGCCUUACGCUAAGAGAUCAGAAUAUUGGACAAAGCCUACAAAGUUCUAAUAUAGGUAACGUAAUGACCAGGUGAGGAUAGUUACAAGCUCGCUUGAGAUCGAAGCCGAUGUAGCCCUGCGCGCAAGAAGAAACUCACCUAUUUCUACUCUACUCUUACUCCUAGGGUUUGAUGGCGUGGCGUCAAAAGAUUGUAUUGAUUGAUUGAUUAUUUGAUACAAAGCUCAUGGGCCUAUAUUUAUACCCUUGAGAAAGCUAAAAUCCUAAUCAGUUAUGACAUGAAUCGUGACAGAAAAUCUAACUAAAGAUAGAUCUCCAUGCUUUCCCUUAUUUGGUGGAGUCGAUUUCACUUCAUAUCGGAUCCCUCCCGAUCUUCUAUCGGCUUCUAGCAUCCGGUCAUCUGCGACUGGCCUUGGUCAACAUCAGGUGUCAACAGACUUAUUUCUUCUACAAGUUCAUCGGCUGUCAGAGCCUUGUCUUAGUCAGUUGACUCUAGUAAAAAAUCGAUGUCAAUACAUGCCCCCCAAUUUUUGAAUAAAAUAUUAUAUUUCAAAAUUCUCUUCUCUUGUCAACAGCUUUUGAAAGAAAAAGAGUCACUGCUGCAAUCAUAAUCUUUUUCCCCGGGUUUUGUGAUAGCACCCUCCUCAUUUUAAGGGAUUCACCAUGUGGAAAUUAUAAUAUAACUGCUUCACCCAUUUCGUUUUCUUCACCAAACCAACUAUUGUCAGCCGCUACAACCAAAAAUCAAUUAUUCCCUUCACAUGCCUAGCGACUGCAUCCAUCACUCAUCGUCACCAUUAGUCUCCAUGUGUCAAGGCUUCUUCAACCAGCAAUGGCGACAUUAUCUUCCAUUCCACAGGUACCAUGUAUCCUAGCCAUUCCUUUCCCCUUUCAACCUGAAAUCCAAUCUAGUCACUAUAUAUCAAACCUGUGUUCUUAAUCAAUACUUGCCCCCUUGUACUUAGAAACACCCUUUUGAUCCCCAUAUCCGAUACGCAAGCAGAAUACUUUCUAGGCCCCAUGGGUAGUGAAGACCCAAUAGAAUCUAUUAAUGCUGAAAUACUUGGACAAAGUCUAGAAAGUUCUAUUUACAUCUAAGUAACUCGAUAACUAGCCUUACGCUAAGAGAUUUAAAUAUUGGAUAAAGCCUAGAAAGUUCUUAUAUAGGUAACUGAAAAGUGUGUUGACGCAAAAAUUGGAUGGUUGACUCCUGCGUACUAACACACGGAACCAGGGAGAAUCUGCUUAGCUACUGUUCGGGUUAUAGCCCUCUCGAUCCGUAGCGUGCCAGUUAAUCUGACCUGCUGAUUGACAAGUAAAAAUGUCAAAUUAAGAGCAAAUCAGCUGGUGUUCCGAAUCGCUCCACGGGACGUAUCAGUAGACAGCCGAUACGGGCAAACGACAAUCAGCUAGAUCAGCCGAUUUGCUCUUGUAUUUGACGUUUUACUUGUCCUUCUCAAUCAGCAGGUCAGAUUGACUCGCACGACGCAGAUCGAGAGGGCUAUAACCUAAACAAGAGCUAAGCAGAUUCUCCCGGGUUUCAUGUCUUAGUACACAGAAGUCAACCGUCUGAUUUUAUCAUCAACACGCUUUUUGGCACGCUCAGUGGGACCCGAUUCAUAUCUUAAUGGUAAUUGGUGAUCAAGUUUCAAACAACGUAUCCACUGGUAGAAAACUGAGCAUUAGUCCCGGUUGGUAAGGGUCAUAUCUCUCGGAUAUCCAUCCGGGAUAAACCAACCGGGACAAAAGGGGGGGGUCUUUAGUCCCGGGUAUUUUAACCGGGAGUAAAGGACCCCCUUUAGUCCCGGUUGGUGUCACCAACCGGGACUAAAGGGCCUGCCACGCCAGGCGCGGGACAGGCCCUUUAGUCCCGGUUGGUGACACCAACCGGGACUAAAGGGGGUCCCUUUAGUCCCGGUUGGAUUUCCCAACCGGGACUAAAGGGGUCCCCUUUAGUCCCGGCUCAAUUCCAACCGGGACUAAAUUGCGCUUGCAUGGCACUGGUGACGCCUGAAUUUUUCAUGCAUGCAUCACGUAUACGUAUAGUAGUACCGCGGCCCUUUUAAUUUGUUAACCUUGUAGUUGAGAUUUUUUUAGAAUGAAUUAAAUCAACUAGUAUUUAAACGAAUGGGAUUUGUAAUUACACAACUACUAUAUAUAUACACAAUCCUUAUACACAAUUCAUAUACACAAUUCAACUAGCUUAAUUAGUACAAAUCGAUCAUAUAUACAAAUAAAUCAAAGUAUCUUCCUACGAUCUUCCCGUCGUGGUGUUGCUGAGAGGAGUGUCUAAUUGUCGUCCAUCGUAAUAAAAUUCUCCUCUUGGAUUUACCACCUCGUCCAUUAUGAAUCCAAUGAGACCUUCACAUAUUGCCGCUACUCUUUCUUCCUUCAAGAGUCCUUGUUGAAUAUUUAACAUCUAUAAUUUGGAAAUUUGUGAAUGUUACAUGAACAAAUACAUAUAAGGAGCUAGAAAAUAAUUAACUAGUAAUAUAUUUAUUUUACGUACUUUAAAGUUGUGCGGCGUCAUCUUCGGUCCCUUGGGUCCCAAAAAACUGUGCAUGUGCUCACAGAUGUAGUAGCCACAUAGGUUAUUCCCGGGUUCCUGUCUUAAGCACUUCAGUGCGGAAAAAAAAUAAGUUAUGAAAUAUUCGUGUUAUACAAUGUAAUAAAUGUGCAGACUUCAUACGUACCGGGAAGUCUGUGUUCCAUGUAAGAUCUUCUUUGAAUGGACCUUUGUGUGUCCUUAUGAAUUGUUUCCAUACGCUGCGGAUUAGAAUAAUGAAUGACAUAGUGUAACAGGGAUAAAAUUUAGGAAAUAAAUUUUUGCAUAGAGAUAAAGGUCCAGAAUUAUUACAAGCCUAGCAUGUCUUGCAAUUCUUGGUAGUCCACCGGAUCUUUCCGUAACGAAUCAAAGACAGUGACGUGGCUUCUUUCAGGCUCAAUUAUAAUAAGGAUCCAGUGGAAGCUGCGUGCGUAAAAUGUUCAUGCAUAUUAGAGCUAACUAACAUGUAGAGAUAAGGAAAAAGACAUCGAAAGUAGACGGUAUACACACACUUACUUGAAGUUGUAUGGAAGUAGUAUGAAAUCCUUGAAUGUUUGUUUGUGUAGGAAAUUGUAUAUUUCGGCAAAGGUUUUUUCCGGCGCUAAUUGUAUCUGUUGUUGGUUAACUACAGAUGGAUCCAUGAAGCCUACAUGUAGGUACGCCUCUCGGCGGCAUGUCUGAAUUAGCAUCCUACAUGAAAUGGAAGAUGAAGUUAGUACGGUGACGCACGCCAAAAUUUACAUGUAGAGAUAAUAAACGGACACUUACAGAAUCCAAGCGCUGAUCAGAGAGACGUCCAGGGCAUCAUGAUGGUACACUUCGUAUAUAUCCUUGAAGUCUAGCCACAGCACUUUCUCCCCUUCACCGUGAAAAUCUAUCGGUUUUACCUUCAUGCCGAUCAUCUCCCUCGAUUUGGCGGAUGCCGUCAUGUACCAUUGAUGGAAUUCGUACAUCUUUGUUGACAGCUUCCGUACCAUUGCCGGCUUCACUAGAGGCUUGCCUAGCUCAUAAGGCCAUCUCGGCUCAGGGGGCGGUGCAGUUGGCGUCUCGACUUGCCCUAUGCAUUCUUCAAGUCCCAGACCUGUUUCUUCCAUGAACUUCAAUAUAUUUUCUUGUUGAUCCAAGGGCAUUGCUUUUACCCGUUGAGCAUCUUUCUUUGAUAAAUGGCUGAGGUCGGGGACUGAACCGCUGGAGGAUGAUUUUCCUUUUCUUUUAUCCUUUUCAUCAGCCUUUACUAGAGCCCGUUCAUAGUUUGACAAGAGUGGUAUCCUUUUCUUGGCUCCUUCCUCCAUCCUGAUAAAAAAGUUUAAAUCCCGCCGACUUACUGGCGGUGGCUCCAUCUCCCUUGCCCUUUUUAAUUCGGCUUGUUUCUUGAACCACUCACUGGCCUCUCGUUGGAUUUCUGCCCACUGUUCCGCAUGAGACAUUGCCUCAAAGCGUUCCUUGCGAGCCACUUCAGGGUCGACCUUUGUUUUCUUCUUUCGAGGCUGUCUUUGCUUGGGAGGCGGUGCUCGUGACUUCUUGAGUGGUGCUGCAGGUUCCUUCGAGGGGGCCGCUCUUGGUGCCAGCGACGGUGAUCGGGGAGGGGUGUUGUUAUUGUCGUCGUCGCUCCCAGCACCAGGAUGUGGUGGAGAUGGAGACCUUGAUAUAGAUGGAAGCGACGGUCCUGGAGCAGGAGAUGCCGGUCUCGAGGUAUGAGGAGAAGGUCGCUGCUCGGGAUCUACGGGGAGCGGUCUUGAGGUCUGAGGAGAUGGCUCCGUGCGGGAAAUAAUGAUGUAGCGUUUCUUCCAUAGAAUGAUCCCAUGAAGCGCAUCUGCCAAUGUCUUUUCCCCGUCGCCUCCCGGGAAGUCGAGCUCUAGACCUUCAUACUGGGCAUCUACUAUUUGCUCGACGCAGACGCUGGCGUAGCCUGUUGGAAUGUCCAUGCCAUGACUGCUCUGCCCUGCCAGCGUUGGUAACGCACUCCCAUACGCUACCUGUACAUAUAGCAGAAGUAAACAAGUUGAACUCCGAUCUCGAGGCCUGGAUCAAUUGACAAGAUUGCAUAAAUAUUAUGUAUAAGUAUACCUUAAUAGUGAGGUUGCCGACCGGUGCAUGCAGCUCACAUGAGGUCCGUUGCGUGAUGGCAUCCACGGGGAACCGUUGCUCCUCCACGGGUAACCUGGGCGUCUGCGCAUCGGGGACCCCUGUAGAAGCACAACUGCUCCCGAGGCGUUGAGAAGGGCUGGCGGUGUGAGGAUUCGGCAGUGCUCCAGAUUGCGCCAACUCCGCAACUGCGUCGGCCACCCGCCGAUUGAUUUCAUCCAUCAUUCGUUGUUCUAGCAUCUGCCGCCAGCUCUCCUCCAUCUGUUCCUUUCUUCGCUUCCGGCUUCUGUAAGAGGCGCUGUCGCCUCGGAAAGCGAACUUCCACGGAACCACCCCGAACCCCCGGCAACGUCCUGGGUGCUCUGGAUUACCGAGGGCCAAUGUGAGCUCAUCAUUUUCUCGGUCCACCCUCAACCUCCCAGCCUUGGAAUCUUCAAUGUUCUUCAUGAGAUGUUCGGCCUUCUCACGUAUUCUGUCAUUGAAAAUCAGCGUCCCAUCCUCUUGGCUUAGGGAGCCUCCAUGAGCGUAGUACCAGUUCUUUGAUCGUUCGGGCCAUUCAAUAGUUGCAGGUAUGAUUCCCCGUUCGAUCAGAUCUUGUUCCAUCUUUCUCCACUUGGGAAUUGCUGAGCCAUACCCACCUCGCCCCAAAUGAUGGUGGUAGCCCUUCUGACUAGCAUUUGCAACGUUGGUCGUGAUCUUUUUCACACCUUCUUCACUCCUCUUGUAUUCAACAAAUGCAUCCCAGUGGUCCCUCAACUUGGGCCACGCGUUGAAGUCUGGAGUUUUGCCCUUCUUGAUGUAGUGGGUGUCCAGCAUCUUCUUGAAUGUCUGGAAUUGAGUAGCCAUCUUCUUAAGUGUCCACGCUUUGACAUCCUUCUCGCUAUAAUCUUCGGGGAAUGUGAAAUGCCUCUUCACGUCUUCCCACAGCAUAUUCUUUUCUGUCUCUGGAAGGGCGUACGGAUUAUCGCUUCUGCCCUUCCAUUCUCUGAUGCUGAUAGGCACGUUGUCCCGGACAAUUGCCCCGAUUUGACUAACGUACUUCUUUGCGACUUUCUCGGGAGCAACCGGCCUGCCCUCAUCUGUAACUUCGGUGAUGACAAGCCUCCCUUCCAUCACCUUUGUACGACCUCGGGUCUUCUGCCCUUGUGUCGAUCCGGAGGGCUAACAGUUUAAGAUUCGUUAAUUAGUACGUACUAGUAGCGGUGGCGUGAAACAAUACAAGAAUGGUUGUAUAUACCUCGCCGGAACCUUCCGCCACGGCAAGUUGUUGCUGCGGCUGUUGCUCUUCAUUCACAUCGGCAGACAUGUUGAGGAACAUGUCCGCCUGGGUGCCCUCUUCAUCCGUGUAUGAUAGUGGAACGUUGUCGCCACUAUCAUCACCAGCGAUUAUCUGCUCCAUGAUAUACCUUGCGGUCUCAUCGUCUGCCAUUUCAACUAUUGCUGCAAACAUACAUGGAAUCAUACAUGACAGUCAUAGAAAUCGUCUUAAUACAAAUUUGUAUAUAAUCACAGUUCGGAAUCAUACAUGUAUAUAAUGAAAUCAUAAAAUAACAUGAAUCGUACAAAGUCCGGAAUCUUUAUACAAAUUUCUAUGAAUUUAUACAAAUUUCUAUGAAUUUAUACAAAUUUCUAUGAAUUUCUAUGAAUUUCUAUGAAUUUCUAUGAAUUUCUAUGAAUUUCUAUGAAUUUAUACAAAUUUCUACGAAUUUCUAUGAAUUUCUAUGAAUUUCUAUGAAUUUAUACAAAUUUCUACGAAUUUCUAUGAAUUUCUACAAAUUUCUACGAUUUUCUAUGAAUUUCUACAAAUUUCUACGAAUUCCUACGAAUUUUGACGAAUUUCUACGAAUUUUGACGAAUUUCUACGAAUUUCUACGACGGCGAUAAGGGCGGCGAAGGCGGGACGGCGGCGGUCAGGGCGGCGGAGGCGGGACGGCGGCGGUCAGGGCGGCGGAGGCGGUUCACCGGAACCACGGGCGGUGCCUAAGCUACUACGUUGUGAUGGGCGGCAGGACGGCGGCGAUCACGGCGGCUACUCGGCGGCGAUCACGACGGCUACAAGGCGACUGUCACGGUAGCUACUCGGCGGGACGGCGGCGAUCACGACGGCGGGACGGUAGUUAACAACCUAACUACAAAUCUAACUUAACAAACUAACUAGAAAUCUAAAAAUCUAACUUAACAAAAUUAGAAAUCUAAAAAUCUAACUUAACAAAAUUACAAUUCCAUCUAAAAAAACAAAAUUAAAAAUUAAAAGAAAACGGCCAGCUCUCCCGGCGCACCGGCCGGCGCGGCAGACCUCUCGCGCGCGGGGCGGCGGCCGGGGCGGCGGGACGGCGGCGGCCGGGGCGGCCUGACGGCGGCGGCUGGGGCGGCGACGAGGACGAAGACGACGACGGCGGGAUGACGGCGGCCGAGGCGAAGACGACGACGGCGGCCGGCGAGGGGCGACGAGGAUGGAGCUGGCGACGAGGGGCGAUGCAGCCGGCGAGGGAGGCGGACGGGCGGCGACGGGCGGAGAGGGAGGCGGACGGGCGGCGACGGGCGAGGGAGGCGGACGGGCGACGACGACGGCGCAAUGCGGGACUUCGACGGCGCAAUGGGGGACGACGACGGCGGCGGCCGGCGAGGGAGGCGGACGGGCGGCGACGGGCGGAGAGCGCGGGACUUGCGAAAAUUUCGCUAAGUGUGGAACUGGCGGGGGGUAGAAGGGAGUACAGUGCUUUUAACCCCCCCCCCCUUUUAUCCCGGUUCGUAAUGGCACCCGGGACAAAAAGGGCCUUUUGUCCCGGGUCCUGUCACCAACCGGGACAAAAGGCCCCCCCUUUUAUCCCGGUUGGUGACGGGACCCGGGAUAAAAGGGUGCGCUCCCAGCCCCACCUGGCGGGGGCACCCUUUUAUCUCGGGUCCCGUUACCAACCGGGACAAAAGGCCCCCCCUUUUAUCCCGGUUGGUAACGGGACCCGGGACAAAAGGGUGCCCCCGCCAGGUGGGGCUGGGAGCGCACCCUUUUAUCCCGGGUCCCGUCACCAACCGGGAUAAAAGGGGGGGGCCUUUUAUCCCUGUUGCAAAUGGCAACCGGGAUAAAAGGGUACGUUCGGGCGGGAGACGAAACGUACCCUUUUAUCCCGGUUGCCGUUUGCAACCAGGAUAAAAGGGGGGCCUUUUAUCCCGGUUGCUGUUAGCACCCGGGACAAAAGGUCCUUUUUCCUAUUUUUCUUCUCCCGCCUGUUUUUUGGAAAUGGAUUUUAUUUAACCUUUUCACUGCAUUCCAGGAUGAAAAACAAAACCUUCUCAGAUUUUGUACAUGCAAAAAUAUAUUUAAUUAACGAGUAAAUUGACAAUAAGUAUGAAGUAAUCAUUAUUUCUAUACCAACUCAUAUAGCCUGUAAAAUAUUUAUUUUACUGCAUUGCUGUGAUCAAUAAAUUAUUCAAUUAAAUUUUUUGAAUGCGCAGAAAAAUCCAUGUUAGUAUGUGGUUAACAAUGUUCAUGUAUAUCUAAAAAAUCUUCACCUAACAAAUUUAAUUACAAAUUUUAUCAAUUAAUACACAAAGGUCAUGCACAUUUAACGCAUUACAAUACAACGUUGUAAAAUUUCUUCUUCACGAAAGUUCCUUGAUCAUGAUCGCGGCGUAAGUACGGAGCCUCUUCUUUGGACAGCAGGAUGCUUGGAUCAACUUCAACGUCGAAUGGAGGCAUGCCAUCAAACUGAUCAUAAUCAUCUGAUUGGUCUGUUUUAUCCUCGACUCCCACGAUUUUUCUUUUACCUAGAAGAACUAUGUGGCACUUUGGCUCCCAUGUCUCUUCUGGAUUCCUCUUGGGUUUGCUGCACAUGUCCUUCACAUAGAACACCUGAUGCACAUCAUUGGCAAGUACGAAUGGGUCAUCACUGUAUCCAGUCUUGCUCAGAUCUACUAUUGUCAUUCCGUACUGAUCUUUGGUGACGGCAGUUAGCUUCACCCAAUUGCAAAGAAAUAGAGGGAUGUACAGCGGUCCGUAUUCGAGUUCCCAUAUCUCCUGUAUGAAACCAUAAUACGACUCCUUGCUAUUAUUUCUGUCCAUGGCAUCUAUGCGGACACCACUAUUCUGGUUCGUGCUUUUCUGGUCCUGGGCUCUCGUGUAAAAUGUGUAACCAUUUAUCUCAUAGCCUUGGAAUUUGACGAUUGUGGUAGCAGGUCCCCUGGCUAACCAAGCAAGCUGUGGGUGAAUCUCAGAGUUACCCAUAAGUUGUUGGCGCAACCAGGAGGGAAAAGUUUCCAUGUGAUGACGGGUAAGCCAAGCAUCGGAUUUGGUCGGGUUUUUGGAAGCUACCAUCUGCCUGUGCUGCUCGAUAUACGGAGACACAAAGGAUGACUGUUGUAGAACAGUGUAGUGUGCCUUGUCGAACAAAUUAGUAUCAUUGCUCAAACUUGAUUUCCUUCCAAGGGUGCCCAUUCCUCGGAGCCUCCCCUCGUGGCGUGAAGUUGGAACCCCAAUCGAGUCAAUUGAAUCAAUAAAAUCAACACAAAACUCGAUCACCUCCUCUGUUCCAUAUCCCCUGGCGAUGCUUCCUUCUGGACGAGCACGAUUACGAACAUAGUUUUUUAGGACUGCCAUGAACCUCUCGAAAGGCCACAUAUUGUGCAGGUAUACAGGUCCGAGAAUACCAAUCUCUUUUACUAGGUGAACCAGUAAGUGCGUCAUAUUAUUGAAGAAGGAUGGUGGAAAUAACAACUCAAAACUGACAAGACAUUGCACCACAUCGUUCUGUAGCUUUGAUAGCUUGGAUGGAUCGAUUGCCUUCUGCGAAAUCGCAUUGAGAAACGCGCAUAGCUUUACGAGCGGCAACCGGACAUUUUCGGGUAGAACACCCCUCAGUGCAACCGGAAGCAACUGGGUCAUCAACAUGUGGCAGUCAUGAGCCUUGAGAUUUGUAAACUUCUUUUGUUUCAUAUUUAUUAUUCCCUUUAUAUUCGAGGAGUACCCAGACGGGACCUUCAUACUAUUCAAGCAUUCAAACAUACUAUCCUUCUCCUCCUUGCUGAGAGUGUAACUGGCAGGACGUAAGUAGUGCUGUCCAUUAUCUCUCUUUUCCGGAUGUAGGUCAUCUCGUUGCCCCAUGGCUUUCAGGUCCUGUCUUGCUUCCAAUGUAUCUUUUGAGGUUCCAUAAACACCCAUGAAGCCUAGCACGUUCACGCAAAGAUUCUUCGUCAGGUGCAUCACGUCUAUUGCGUUGCGAACCUCUAGGAUUUCCCAAUAAGGUAGCUCCCAAAAUAUUGACUUUUUCUUCCACAUGGGUGCAUGUCCGUUAUCAUCGUUCGGAAUAGGUUGGCUACCAAGUCCCUUUCCAAAGACUACAUGUACAUCCUUCAUCAUCUCGAACACACGCUUUCCAUUACGGUGUGCAGGUUUUUUACGAUGGUCUGGCGUCCCUUUGAAAUGCAUCCCGCUCUUUCUCAGCUGGUGGUGAGCAGGGAGAAAUCGACGAUGACCCAUAUAGACGACCUUCUUACAGUGCUUCAAGUACAUGCUAUCUGUGUCAUCUAAACAGUGGGUGCAUGCCCGAUAUCCCUUAUUUGUCUAUCCUGAAAGGUUACUCAAUGCAGGCCAAUCGUUGAUGGUUACGAACAACAGUGCUCGUAGAUUAAAGAUCUCUUGUCUAUCCUCAUCCCACACACGUACACCUUCUUCCUUCCAGAGCUGUAAAAGGUCAUCAACCAACGGCCUUAGGUACACGUCAAUGUCGUUGCCGGGUUGUUUUAGGCCUUGGAUAAGCGCCGGCAUCAUAAUGAACUUCCGCUUCAUGCACAGCCAAGGAGGAAGGUUGAACAUACAAAGGGUCACAGGCCAAGUACUAUGACCACUACUCAACUCACCGAAUGGAUUGAAUCCAUCAGUGCUUAAACCAAACCUUAUGUUCCUUGCUUCACUUUCAAAGUCUGGGAAUGUUCUAUCAAUUGAUCUCCACUGUGCCCCAUCUGCGGGGUGUCUCAGCAUCUCAUCUUCCUUACGGUCUUCUUUGUGCCAUCGCAUCAACUUAGCAUUCGCCUUGUUCCUGAACAAGCGCUUCAAGCGUGGUAUUAUAGGGAAAUACCACAUCACCUUCACGGGAACUCUCUUCUUGGGAGACUGCCCCUCGACAUCACCAGGAUCAUCUCGCCUGAUCUUAUACCGCAGGGCUUCGCAGACGGGACAAGCAUCCAAUUCCUCGUAUUCAUCACCACGAUAGAGGAUACAGUCAUUAGGGCAUGCGUGUAUCUUCUGAACAUCCAAUCCGAGAGGGCAAAUAAUCUGUUUAGCUUCAUAUGUUGUGGACGGUAAUUCAUUAUUCUCGGGGAGAAUCUUCUUGACAAUUCUCAACAUCCCCUGAAAUGCCUUAUCGGACACACCAUUUUUUGCCUUCCAUUGCACAAAUUCUAGUGUCGUACCUAGUUUUUUAUGGCCCUGCUGGCAACCUGGGUACAACAAUUUUUGGUGAUCAUCUAUCAUGCGCUGCAACUUUGCUGCUUCCUUCUCAGUUUCGCAAUCUCUGUAUGCAUCUCGUAUCACCUGACCAAGGUCAUCAGUAGGGUCAUUUUCUGCAAACUCAUCUUCAUCAGCCUCGCCCAUUGUAGUACCUGCAAAAGCUUGGCCUGCAACCCAGUCCGGAAUGGUGUCAUCUUCCUCCUCCUCCUCGCCAUCUUCCAUUACAACCCCUAGUUCACCGUGCUUGGUCCAAACCAAAUAGUUAGGCAUGAAACCGUAUUUAAACAAGUGGCUGUGAAUAGUCCCCCAGGAAUUCUUUGAAUACUCCUUCCUGUUAUUGCAUUGGAAGCAUGGACAACAUACGAACCCAUUCUCUGGCUUGUUCGCUUUUGCCACUUCGAGAAAAUAAUGCAAGCCAUCAAUAAACACCUUGCUCCGCCUGUCUGCAUUAUACAUCCAAUGCCGGUCCAUCUGCAUCGUAUUACGCACGAAAAUGGAUUACACUUGACAAUGGAUUACGCGUGAAAAUCGAUUAAAGAUCCAAACAACAUGGUACAAUACAACAACAUGAAGAUCCAAAUACACAUAUUUAAAUUAAAGUCCCAAACACUGCAUAAGUUGUUCAACUUGAAGACCGUGAUCAUCUCGUGAGGAUGUCCUCAACUGGGCGGCACCGCACUUCGUCAUUAAAGAGGUUAGAUGCUACGGAAAAGGGGACACGGUCACAAUGUCCGUAUCCACUCUUUCUCGUAGAAUCGAACCUCCUUCUUGACAUACGUUGCUGCUCGGCGGAGAACAUCCUCGGCGAGAUGAACACGGUAUGCAAGUUCAACAAGUAGCAGAAGUCAUCUAUGUACAAAAAUUCUUUCCUUACCACUACAGAAGUUGUUGAACUUGAAGACCGUGUUCAUUUCGCGAGGAUGUCCUCAGCUAGGCGGCACCGCACUUCGUCAUGAAAGAGGUUAGAUGCUACGGAAAAGGGGACACGGUCACGAUGUCCGUAUCCACUCUUUCUCGUAGAAUCGAACCUCCUUCUUGACAUACGUUGCUGCUCGGCGGAGAACAUUCUCGCCGAAAUGAACACGGUAUGCAAGUUCAACAAGUAUAUGGAUUUAAAAAACCAUAUUGAAUUUGAUAAGAUAAACCGUCUAGACAAGGUAGCAUCAUUUUUAAACCACUGAAAUAAUGCAUACUAUAUAUGACACAUCAAUCUCCCUCACAUUCUAGCUCAAAAUACCUCUCCAUUUUUCUACUUCAUCAUCACAUUGUAGCAAAUAAUCUUUCCAUCUCCAAAGCAUAAAUCAAAGCAUAACACGAGGAUGAAGUAGCAAACCUUCGCAGCACUUGUUGGCUGAGUCAAAUUCCCACGAAAAUGAGGGAAAAAAGUUCGGGCAGCACCUCCCUUGCUUGGGCACCACCGGAGAGUAGGUGAAGCUCAGCUCUCUAUCAAUGUGCUGGACUGCUCGGGCUGGAGGAAGAAGAAAGUCUCUGUCUCGGGGUAUAGUGGGGGAUGAGUUUUAAUCCCGGUUAAAAACUCCAACCGAGACAAAAGGAAACACCUUUUGUCCCGGUUGGAAAGUUAGUCCCGGUUGGAGGAUCCAACCGGGAUAAAAGGGACACCCUUUUAUCCCGGUUGGAGGCACCAACCGGGACUAACCCUUUUAUCCCGGUUGGUGCCUCCAACCGGGAUAAAAGGGUGUCCCUUUUAUCCCGGUUGGAUCCUCCAACCGGGAUAAAAGGGUCCCGCCACCGACGGCCCCCGCUAGCCGUUGCAACCGGGACUAAAGGGGGGCCUUUAGUCCCGGUUGCAAUUACCAACCGGGACUAAUGCUCCCCUCCAAAUUCCCGCACCCCGGCGCACCCCCUUUUGUCCCGGGCCACUUUUAAACCGGGAUAAAAGGGGGUUGAUCGAAAGUCAGUUCUCUACUAGUGAUCGGUGACUCCGCUCGAGGAGAAUUGUUUAUAUCAAGCAUAGAAAUGACAACGUUGGAAGUGGAGGAUAUAUUUUGCUCUGUUGAUUUAAUUGCCGCGAGAGUGGCGGACAAGUUCUAAUGAUUGAAGAUCAGAAGCGUCUCGUGGAGAAUUUUUCAGAAGCUAUAUUUGGAAUUAUUAUAUUAUCUCAGGAGCAGAUUAAAUAUAACGCCACCACUGAAAGCCGAUGAGAUGUAUCUAUCGGCUACAUGCUAUUCAGAUGAAUUUGAUGACAGAUUAAUUACGGAGGAGACCGACCGAUACAACAUUAUGGUUUCUUACUGCUGAUCUGUUAUGAAAGAGGAUGUGAGAAGCUGAUAAUCAAGCAACAAUAAAAUGAUAUACACGCAGGGCAUUAAAUAUUGAGUUAAUGAUUGGGAGUACUACCAUUAUCUUAUGAAAAGUCCAUCGGCUAACCAAACAGCGUCAGCCGAUGGAAGCAAAUAGUGUCAGCCGAUAGAAUGAUGUUAUAUAAGUAUAUAUAUCGGCCUCCGAGCCAAUGGGAAGUAGGAACUAUCAGCCGAUGCACACAUCCAUGGACAUAGCCGAUAAGACAUUGUAUCGGCUGCUUGGCAAAUAAAAAUAGCAUCGGCUGACCGCUUGUUAAAAUAUUAUCGGCCGAUUGCUUGGCAAAAUAGUAUUGGCUGACUGCUUGGCAAAUAAAAAAAUAAUAGGUUGACCAAAAAAGGAUAGCAUUGCCUGAUUGCUUGGCAAAUAAAAAAAAUUACGUCGGCUGAUUGGUUCCAGCAAAAUAGUAUCGGCUGCUUGUUGAUCAGAAAAAGCCGAUACUGUUACAGCUCCCGCAACUGUGCUUUGCUGUCAUCGGCUGGGUUGUUCGUGCUCCAUCUGCAAAUAUUUGUCCCGGCUAGAAAGUAUCGUACGUGCAUUGGGAUUCGGCAGUACAAAUCACGUACACGCGUAUGGUCUGCUCAGAAGCUGUCUGUUCGACGAAGUUCCAGGCCAAUGGUGGAGACUUGAUGACCAUGGUGACCUGCAUUAAUCAACAUGAAGUAUGUAUCGGCUGUUCGGUGAUUGGUAGCAAAUCAGCUUUCUCAUAGCCGGUGACAUAUGGGGCAAGAAAUAUCAGGCUUAAAAAAGGACAGUACGAUCAAUGUCGAAAGUUGUAGCCGACGGUUCUAUUAUUGUGCAGUCGAUGGAACAUAGAAGAUGCAUCUGAAUGAGCAAAAGGAAGGGAGCCGAUAGAAGGGAAUUUAAGUUGCAUGAGAUCCAAUUAAAUUAAGAUGACGAGAGGUGUUGACAUCGAAUCAUCGGACUUCUACGAAGUCUUCAUACUCCGAAACUAGGGAGUCUGUGUUAACACCAAAAUUUAGAAAUAUGCUGAUGCAAAAAAAUAAUGAAAUCUCCUAAAUAAGGCUCAAGAAAGAAAAAGCAAGAAAAGAAAAUCAAUCGCACGCGGCAAGAAUUGAAUAAAAUAUUCUAGAGGUAGAGUUGGUUAGGAUAAGCUUAAUUAGGGAUAGAGUUGGAUUAGUUAGAGAUAGUAUUUUGAUUAGAAAAGAUUGUGUACAUGACUUGUACGUGGUGCGUCAGAGGCCAUCCGCCCUAUAAAUAUAAGGGGUCGUGGCCAUUGUAAUUAUCAUCACACGAUCAAUAUACAACAUAUUUAUCUUUUACCUUUUCGGCUUCACGCCAUUGUAUUAGGAGUAGGAGUAAUGUAGCUUCCUGACGAGUUCCUUCUAGCAAGCUGUGCUGCAUUGACCUUGAUCUCUGGCGAGCUGCAAAGUUCCGUCACCAGGUGUUCUAGGCUUUAACCACCGGGCGCAUCGCUUGUGGUUUCGUCUAGUUUCAUCUACAAGGUAUCGAAUAUCAUGGAUCUUUAACUUACGCAUCGCUUCUGUCUUGAUCUACGGUAUUCACCAGUUAUCCUGCCUUGGUUAAGUCUGCAUCGGCUGAUAUUUAUCUGUUCUAUCAUCUUGCCGUUCAGUUUGCUUUAAUUAGCUUUAGAUCGGUUCAUUAUAGAUGAUAGAUCGCUUAAUAGCCUGUUGCAUCUUAAUCUUGGUUACCCCUUCAAGUGCUGUUGGGAUUAAGUUUCGUUAUGAUUGGAUUCAUCGGCUGGUGGGGUUGGUGGGGUUCAGAUUAACAUCGUGCUAAAUAUUUCUAGACUGCAACUACUGGACGCAUCGCUGUGGUUUCAUCUAGAGAUAUUGGUAGAGAGUUUAGUUUAGAUCUCAUCGGUUCGUGGCUCUAGCUAUGGUGGAGCGGCAGCUGAAUAGCAUCCUGUUUUCUAUCGGUCGCCUGGCCGAUAGUUAUUGCAAAAUAUAUUAAAUCGCCUGGAUGGCCGAUGGAUCACUCACGCUCGUCAAGGAUCAUAUCGGCCUGAUCGGCCAGUUGCCUCGGACUUCAAAGGAUUAUUUUCACCUUGUCAGUUGAAUGGUCAAACUGGCUGGCACGCCCGCGCACACCAUGCGCGCCGAUUUGGAUUUUGCACUGGAGUUAAGUAGAUCUUCCAGGUCCUCAUGUGGUGACGAAGGAUCCACCACCAUCAGGAUUUUGCGUCAACACAUUUUGGCACGCCCAGUGGGACACGGUUAUAAGGUUCAUAUUUUUAUUCAUAUAAAAAAGCAUCUUCGGCAUCAUCGGCCAAAUGAGUGUUCAUCGGCUUGUUAGAAUUAAUUCAAUAUAAUAUUUCAGCAAAAGCAGCCGAUGUAGCGAUUGGAGAUAAGGCCAAGUCAAGUCUGCGUGUAUACGCAUGUUCCGGUGGGAUCAUCUUCAUAAAUGCCAAUGACGAUUAGAGAUGAAGCUUCCUGCAAAAUGAUUGGCUACUCUAUCCGGGAAGAAUUGCUUUUUUAUGAGGCAUAUAUAGAGACCCAUGUUGCAAUUAGGGGGCGUAUUCGUGCAUUGGCUGAAAUAAAAAAAUGCAUCGGCAUAUUGAAAAUUGCAUCGGCCGAUUGACAGUCGUAUCAGCUGAUUGGAAAAAUAAAAAGGGAUCAGGGAUCCGCCGAUUGAAAAUUGCAUCAGCUGAUGGAAAAUGAGAGCAACAGUUACAAUAUUUUUUUUAAAAGAAAGCAAGUAUCGGCAAGCAGUAGCCGAUGGAUUUGUAUUUCAGCCAAUGGGGUUUUUGUUUCAGCUGAUAGUACUACUGGCUGAUGGCAAGUCCAAUGGAGUUAAAAUUGCAUUGACUGAUUGAAAUAAAAAUUAAGUAUCGGCUAAUUUAUGGCCAAGUAGCAUCUGCUGAUUUGUUGCAAAGUAGUUUCGGCUGAUUUAUGGCAAAAUAGAAUCGGCCGAUUUAUGGCAAAGAAGCCAAUAGACAAAAGCAUCGGCUGGUAGAGAAGCCGAUUGAGCAAGCAUCUGUUGAUGAGCUAUGUAUGGGAAAAAGUAUUGGCUGCUUAAACAAUUGACAAAAGCCAAUUGGUCAGACUGAGAAGCCAACUGGGAAAGCAUCGAUCGAUGGAUUGCGUAUGGGAGAGAGUAUCGGUUGAAGUCUUUAGUAUUGACUGCUAGAUAUUUGAGCAAGCGUCGGCCGAUUGACUGCUUGGUAAAAAAAACAUCGGGCUGAUUGCUUGGUUAAUAAAAAAAUUGCAUCGUUCAAGCAAAGAUUGCAUGGGCUGAUUGGUUCAAGCAGAAUAGUAUCGGUUGCUUAUAGAAUAUAUCGGAUAUUAAUUUCGAAGCAUGAAAAUAUUCAUACUCCGAAACUGGGGGGCCUGUGUUGACAACAAAAGCUUGCUGGUUACUGCAUCAAGUUUUGGUGUCAACAUACUUGAUCUUUUGUUUCCAUUGCCAGCGGAUUCAUCGGCUCAGAGUGGGAUCAAGACAUCAAGCUGAUGGAGUUCUUUAUAUUUCAAGAGGAGUCAUGGAGUUCUUUAUAUUUCAAGAGUAGUCGAUGGUGCUUUGAAUAUUGCAACCAGACGUCAUUGGCUCUAAAGAUACCGAAUCAUCGGACUUCUAUGAUCAGUUUCGGAACAUGAAGCCUUCAUACUACGAAACUGGGGGCCUGUGUUGACACCGAAUCAUCGGACUUCUAUAAUUAGUUUUGGAACAUGAAGCCUUCAUACUUCGAAACUGGGGGGCCUAUGUUAACACCAAAAUUUAGAAAUGUGCUCUGAAAGGAAGGUAUCGGCCGAUGAUGCAAAAAAAUAAUGAAAUCUCCUAAAUAAGGCUGAAGAAAGAAAAGCAAGAAAAGGAAAUCAACGCACACGGCAAGAAUUGAAUAAAAUAUUCUGGAGAUAGAGUUGGUUAGGAUAAGCUUGAUUAGAGAUAGAGUUGGAUUAUUUAGAGAUAGUAUUUUGAUUAGAAAAAAUUGUGUACAUGACUUGCCUUGUACGUGGUGCGUCAGAGGCCAUCCGCCCUAUAAAUAUAAGGGGUCGUGGCCAUUGUAAUUAUCAUCACACGAUCAAUAUACAACAUAUUUAUCUUUUACCUUUUCGGCUUCACGCCAUUGCAUUAGGAGUAGGAGUAAUGUAGCUUCUCGACGAGUUCCUUCUAGCAAGCUGGGCUGCAUCGACUUCGAUCUUCGGUGAGCUGCAAGUUCCGUCACCAGGUGUUCUAGGCUUUAACCACUGGGCGCAUCGCUGUGGUUUCGUCUAGUUUCUUCUACCAGUUACCGAGUAUCUUGGAUCUUUGACUUAUGGCACAUCGCUUCUGUCUCGAUCUACGGUAUUCACCAGUUAUCCCGCCUUGAUUAAGCUUGCAUCGGCUGAUAUGUAUCUGUUCUUUCAUCUUGCCGUUCAAUUUGCUUUAGUUAGCUUUAGAUCGGUUCAUCAUAGACAAUAGAUCAUUUAAUAGCAUGUUGCAUCUUGAUCUUAGCUAUCCUUCGAGUGUUGUUGGGAGUAAGUUCCGUUGUGAUUGGAUCCAUCAGCUAGCAGGGUUUAGAUUAACAUCCUGCUAAAUAUUUCUAGACUGCAACUACCGGGCACAUUGUUGUGGUUUCACCUAGAGAUAUUGGUGGUGACGUUAGUUUAGAUCUCAUCGGCUUGUGGCUCUAGCUAUGGCGGGGCAACAACUCAACAACAUCCUGUUUUCAAUCGACCGUCUAACUGAUAGCUAUUGUAAAUUAUAUUAAAUCGGCUGGAUGACGAUGAAUCACUCACAUUCAUCAAGGUACUGGAAUCGGCUUCACAGCCGAUAUAUUUGUCAUGAUUUAUUUUGUUGCACCAUUAUCGCUACUGUGCUAGGAUUAUAUCGGCCUAAUCGGCCAGUUUCCUCGGACUUCACAACGACUAUCAUCUCCUUGUCAGUUGAAUGGUCAAACUGACUGGCAUGCCCGCGCACACCACACGUGCCGAUUUGGAUUCUGCACUGGAAUUAAGCAGAUCUCCCAGGUUCUCAUGUGCUGAUGCAGGGUCCACCACCGCCAGGAUUUUGUGUCAACACCUUGUAAUCUUCCUUUGAUUUCCUCAAUGAUUCGAAGACAAUAACCUUGCUUGUAUAAAUGAUAAUUAUAAGGAGAACCUAGUGGAAACUGUGUAUUCAUAUUAGAACUACCUAUGGUUAAUUAGGUUAGGAAAGGAAAUCGAAAAUAGACCGUACCCACACUUACUUAAAGUUGUUGGGCAGUAGUAUGUAAUGCUUGUAAUUCUGUUACUCCAAGAAUUUGUAUAUGUGGUCCAAUGUAGACUUUGGUUGAUCCCAUAUCUGUUGUUGGUUAAAUAAGUGUUUCUGGCCAUUUCUAGCCGUUAGAACCGGAACUAAAGGGGGCUCUUUAGUACGGGUUGAUAUUACUAACCGGGACUGAAGAGCCCCCAUUACAGUUGGUUUUUGGACGCGGAACUAACAACUCCUUUAGUCCCGAGUCCAAAAACGACUGAGAUAGAAGAUCCUUUCUCUACCGUGAAUAUUGCCAGAAAGAAUUGAAAGAGACCGCUUGCUAAAAAUAUGUCAUAGAUGUAGACCAAGCUACCAAGGAGGUAGACCAAACAUGAUACACACCAUGCGUACCUUGCUGUGCAGACUAUGCAUAGACAAGACACCCGACCACAUGUUGGCCUCGGUCACAUCAAAAGAAUCAUGUAGGCCACCAAUAAACUACUUGAAGCGUCAUUCCGUAUCGUAUAUGCAUUGCCGGUUCAUCUGCAUUACAUUACAUAAAGUAGUAUUAACUAUUUGAAUAAAAUGAACCAAUUUAAAAGUAAUGUGUUGUACUCUACUAUAGAAAGCCCUAUCACUGUCGGAUCCAGAAACAUCAUUGUUGAUGGUCGUUAAGUACCAAGACGGUCAAUAUUCUCAAGAAUAAUGGAGAAUUGGCAUUUCUUACACACAUAUUUGGUUUUGAACAAUGUAGUCCCACAUGUCCUUGGAGAUUAUUUGGGUGUGGGUGAAAUAAUACAAAAAGAAGGAGAAAACACACUCCCAUGGUGAAGAAACAAAACUCCGACCAAUGAGAGAUAGCCACAGGGGCAGCACACGGAUCCAUGGGCCCACAAACCGCAUCAAACUGUCUUACCAAGGCGGGUAGCACCCACAACCAUGAUUAGGACCCACCUGGAUGUCUACCAAGAAGAAGGUUGUGAGUGGGGCCAGGAGGGGUUCGGCUGAAUCAUCUCUAGCUCCCCUCAUCCCCAGCUGGUGCAUGGCGGUGGUUAAUGGUGUCCCUACAUCGGUUAGAGGAGAUUCCCCCAAAUAUUCCUCCUGUAAACCACCUGUAUGGACCUAUACAUAGAGGGGUGUGCUCUCCAAUCCAACACACACCACAAGUUUAAUCACUCUCUCCCUCUUUAAUUUCCAUGUUUAUGGAGUUAGCCUAGAGUAGCUCUGCUCAAGGUUCCAAGUCCACUUGGAGUUAAGCAUAUGUCUCUUGUAUCGUUAUUUCCCAGAUUGACUUUAUGCUUAGUUCUUAUAUGCAUGAGUUAGUCUAAUAGCCUUGCUCUAUUGAUAUGCUCGGCUUAUAUGCUCGUAUGCUAGUCAUAUACCCUUGCUGCCGUAGUAUAGGCUUAUAUGCUCUCAUGUGUGCCUUUAGACCUUGCUACAAUAUAUACUUGUUGUGUAUACAUACCAUGUAUAGGCUAGUCGAUCUAUACCAUGGCAUUGGUUCAAUAGCCAUGUUUUUGGUGGCUCCAACCCUAGUCAGAAUAGCUCGGGACAGCUAGAGUGUUGUUAAAAAUGCAAGAGUGAUGGUUGGGUUGUUUAGCAUCGUUGGAUAUGGGUUUUCCCCACGGGUUUCUAAGAGUAGGCGGCAGCUAGUGACAGCCCUGUCCGUCCUUCGUAAUCCCCCCACAUUCAAGUACGCCAUAGAAGUUCAUAAAUUAGCAGUAACUACACCGGCAGACCGGUAGGGUAUUGUCUCCCUAUAGUACCUUGGUGCAUAGAACUAGGUCAUAUACACUGUGUGUCUAUGUUUACGCUGAUAUGAUCUGUGCAGUAUAUAGCAUGUAUAUAUGAACCUAGAGCUAACUCCUAGUCCAUUCUCCGUAGCUUAGUUAUCUUGAGAUGAUUCUUCUGUGUGUGUAACACUACCCAUCUUAUCAUUAUCCUUAAUCCUGUCUUGUGUAAUAUAUCUACUCAUCCUAUGAUAUACUCAUAUGCAUAGUAAACUAUUUUGACCUACCCGCCUUCCUUUGGGAAAUACGAUACCCUGGAAUAAUCCUAGGUGAAAUGCUACAACGGUAUAUCCAUGUGCUUACGGAAUUAUUCCUGACCAUUAAAUAUACCAACAAUCAUCACUAUCUAUUUUGGGCAUCGUUAGUGAAGGGUCGGCAGUGAUGGGCAUCCCCUUCACCAAUGGAGCUGGAACUGGCGGUGAUGGCCAUUAAAAAAAAUGGGACCCCACCCAGCGUACCCCGCAACCCGGCCGGCUGCGCCUCCCAUCAUCCCCGCCGGUCGCCCUUCCUCUUUGCCGGCCGAGCAUGGUUCCGGCCCUCGUCCCUACCGCCUCGCCUCCAUCGCGACCCCCUGCCGAUGCCCUCAUGCCUGGCCCCCCUCGUCUGGCCGGCCACCCUCCCGAUGCAUCCACCGGGGCCCUCGCACCACCAACCACCCUAGCCUAGAGAGAGAGAGGAGGAGGGAGGUGAGGCCACGCACCUCGUCCUACAACGCCGCUGUUGCUCCUCGGCCCACCGCGCCUCACCCCACACCACAGCCGCACCUCGCCAUCUUACCGGCCGCGACGCCCCAUCUCACCGGCCACCGUUCCUCACCCCCACAUCGGUCAUCGCUGCUCCUUGCCCUACUGCUGCUCUUUGCAGCCGCGAAUGAGGGGCGAGUGGAGGGGGAGGGGCGGGGCAGGAGGAGGGCAAGAUCCGGGAGGAAGGGAGAGAUUUUGGGAGGUGGAGAUGGAAGGAUAUGGCGGAAGGUAGAGAUCUAGAGGGAGAGAGCGGGGGGGAGAGGGGGGCAUGUGGGGAGAGAGCGCAUGUGGGGUGGGGCCGGGCUGGUGGGAUGGAAGGUAGAGGGGCCGGAGGGCGCAGUGCAUUCAACUGGAUUAAGUAAAUAUUUCGGAUUCGAGACCCCAGCUUUAUUAUCACCGCUGGUCCGUAGUACCAUUCGGUGCCGGCUCAUAAUUUAAUUUGAACCGGUGGUGAUGUUUUAUUAUCACUGCUGGUUUCAAUUUUCACCAUCGGAUCAUAUAAAAAUCCGGCGGUUAAAAAUCCGCUGGUUUCGAUGAAAACCGACAGUGAUAGGACGACUGUGAUAGUCUCUUCUCUAGUAGUAGUAUAUUAGUACCGGCUGCCGGAUGGUGUUGCCGACGAGUACUUCUCCAGGGGCGAUUCAGUACUGAUGUUAGCAAAGCUUGUUCUCUAUGAAUUUGGGGAUGGAAAGCUAGUUCUCUAGUUGUGAUUUGUUACAUAUAUCUCUAUGAUAGUCUAGAAAUUGCAUGUCCUUCGUUGACAUAGUUGAAGCUGCUUCAAGAAUUUACUUCGUGCAGUCGUGCAGCAUAUUGGAUUAUCACCUAGACAGGAUACAUAGGUGAAGCAUUGCAUGUGAUUGUGGCUGAUAAUUAUGCAGGACGCUGUUGCAAUCAACCAUCAAGAAGACUGGAGCGAUGGGGUUGCCUCAUCAACAAUUUUUAUAUAUGGCUGCAGUAUUAUUAAGCCCACGUCAAUAAUUUUUUCUCCGCAGCAUAUAUAUGGUUACUCAGUUCGCUGGAGUAUCGCUGUGGAAAAACAUACGUACUGCGCCUCGGAACUAACUGGCAUUCAGGCCAUCAACGACCAGAUAUUUGGGACAACCAACAAAUAGUAGGUGGUUCCUAAGUUGUAGUCGUAUGUACUAAUGCGCCUCGAUGGGGUUUUCUUCAGAUAUUUUAUUGCCGUUCAAUGAACAAGCAGAUACAUAACCUGUGCAGAAAAUUCCAUCUCCACGCAUGCCACUGCACCAACAAGAUCCUCAGUCGACGAUGAUGGCUCAGCCUGUUCCUUCUGCCACCAAAUCCUCAAUCUUCCCUCCAGCAACGGAGAAUGCACCUUUAGUACCUUCAGUAUCAGAUGUUGCAAUCGGUACCGUGAAACCGAGACUAAAAUCCUUACUUUGCAGGGGGCAAAACAAUCUUGCAAAUAUAUAUUUUGAAUUCCAACAAAAUUUAAGAAAUGUUAAAGAUGACUAGCUGAGAGUCAACAGACAAGAUAUGAUAUUAGGAAUGUGGGAGGAUGAAUGCAUUUGUACAGGGGUCAUACUAUUUCCAGACUCUUCUAUAUUUCCAUAUGACUACCUACUUCAAUGUCACGCGAGCCAUUCAAAAAGAUACAUGGUACACUUGUAUGUCUAAUCCAUUAUUGAUUAUUUCCUCUUGUCAUCUCUUACAAGUAUUUCUCCAUACUAUAGAAACGUGCAACACAUUUUUAGGAUAUGGACACGCAUGAUUAAUAUGCUUGGACUAGUAUACAGGUCAUCUUUGGAUGAGUACAUAUGAAUGCCAGGGAGGGACUGAUGGAUAUAAGGAAAAGGGACCAUGCAUAAAUAAUGACAUAUGUAACAUGGCAAUCUUCAUUGCCAUGCAACUCCUAUCAACAAUCAUGGAAUACAUACUACUGCUCCAGAAGGGUGGUGUGCAAAUUUAUUUUACCUCGCGGUGAAAAUCUCCAGAGCAGGCCUGAAGUUAAAAUAAGAGGCAGUCACUAUCGAUCAUGACAGUCUCGAAACUGUACAGCACUAUGCUAGUCCUAGUCCUCAUGUCGUUCGUGCUGUCGUGUAGCAUGAUGGAUUAUUAACUGGGCAGGACACGGAGAUGGCUAGCGAUGACAGAGGAUGACGUACAUGAUAUUCACCUCUGAAAUGAAGCGUAGGCUAAUGAAGCACAAUUGCAUGUGAGUGUGGCAGAUAUUUAUACAGGACAGUGAUUGCAAUAAUCGACCAUCGAGAUCGAAGACAGGGGCGAUGGGGUUGCCUCAUCAAUAAUUCGCGCAACCAGACAAGCUGCAGACUCAAUAUGGUACGAAGCUAUUUGGUCAGCCCACAUGCUCUGAUAUAACAUUGGCAUCUGCUGAUCUACAGUAUAUAUGACCAGAAAUAUUGUGCCACCUCAAUAAUUUUCCGAAGUAUCGUUGGGGAAGCACCUACAUACUAUGCCUCGGAACUAACUGACAUGUUGGCCUAGGCGGUCCAGGCCGAUUGGACAGGCUCUUCCUUAUGGCUCCUCACGUCCCCUUCGUUUCCGAGUAAUCUCAGGUGUUCUGAAGUUUUCUUUUCACUUGCAUGUGGACCUUAUAUAUCAAUAGCUUCGGGAUAAGAAUGCCUCUUGAUAACCUUCCAAAUCGUCGCUUGAUUCACUUUGAUUCCAAAAUCAUCUUGCCAUAUCUUUUGAGACUUAGGCCCUAAGGCAUCAUGGAGGAUUGCUCGCCAAGAAUGAGCACCAUUGGGCUCCUGAGGACCCUAGGCCGAUCAGCCUGGGCUCUAUAGGUUGAUUGGCCCAGGCCCUCUCUGGGCCCAUUGGCCUUCAUCUUUCUCUGAGUCGACGCUUAUUGAGGGCUUUGUCCAAUUAUAGUCCAUUAUAGUCUAAUUUCCAAAAAAAUAGAAUAUCCUCCAAAAUACAAUACAUUUGUGAAAACAGCCCAAUUAUUAGGUAUGAUCAAUAGUCUAGGUAUUAAAUUAAUGUUAUUAUUUAAGAUAAAUAGGGAUAAAGGGUGUCAUUAAUAACGAGCACCAACCAGCGUACCAGCUGUUAACACUAACCGAUGCUAAUAUGUACCCUUUAGUACCGGCUAUUUCACCCGGUACUAAACGAGACAAGAGCACCCUAACAGAGGUUAAUACCAUCCAUUUCAUGAGUAAAAUACUAUGAUUCAAAAAUAAUUCAAAUCCCUUAAGACAAUACCUAUCAAAUGAGUAGAUUGUAAAUAGAGUAAAACAAUGUCCUAAUGAAACGGAACACUUCUGGUUCGUGUAGAGCACAAUAUAGAAAACAGUAGGGUAGCUGUACGAUUGACACGUGGUCCAUUAAUUAUUGAGCCAUCACUAUGGACAUGUCUUCAUGAGUAGUGUACUAGUCAUGACACAUGGUAUGUAGUAGGUGGAGGUAUUGAGUUAGCCAUGCCAUGAGCACUUAGUUACAACAAACACUUUGCCAUUAUCGAGCAUCCCAAAUCACUACAAAAUCCAUAGUUUACCAUAUACUACAAAAUCUGAGUUAAAAUAAGAGCAUACACGGAAGAGUCCGAAUGCACCGGUUUAGGACCAGGCACAUUGAAUUACUAGAAAAAGUUAUCGGACAAGGUUUUGGGUAACCGCAUGAAAAAUGUUGGAUUUUACUGAACACUUAGUUACAAUUACCAUGCCGUGAGCACUUAGUCACCACAAACAUUUAACCACUUUAGAUCAUCCUGAAUCCCUAUAAAUUCUGUACCUUACACCGUACCAUGAAAACGACAAGAACAGAGACAGAUGCAGUGAAAAUCUCCAGAGCAGGCCUGAAAUUAAAAUAAGAGGAGGCAGUCUCUAUCGAUCAGGACACGGAGAUUGCUAGCCAUGACAGAGGAAGACAUGAUAUGAUAUUCACCUCUGAAAUGCAGCGUAGACUAAUGAAGCACAAUUGCAUGUGAGUGUGGCAGAUAAUGGACCAUCGAGACCAUCGAAUGGUAUGAAGCAUGAUUAUCACCUAGACAUGAUAUCCUAGACAGGACGGUGAAUUGUAAAAAGAGUAAUCUUGAUCAAAGAAUGUCCUAAUGAAACGGAACAUUUUUGGUACGUGUAGAGCACAAUAUAGAAAACAGUAGAGUAGUUGUACGAUUGAAACUGCAUCCAUCCACGUGGUCCAUGAAUUGUUGAGCCAACACUGUGGACAUGUCUUCAUGAACACCAUCUAGUGAGGACAGGAUGCAGAAAAAUAUAAAAACAUGUCAUAGGGAGGCAGACCAAUCUUGCAAGGAGGUAAACGAAACGUGAUACACGAUCUGCCUACCUUGUCGUGGAUACCCCAAGAGAAGAUGUCAUAGAGGUGCAGACCAAGCUAGCAAGGAGGUAGAUGAAACGUGAUACACGGCCUGCCUACCUUGCCGUGGAUAUUAGCCCUGAUAUCAUUCUAUUGUUCAAGGAAUAACACUCAAUGCUGCUGCUGCUGCUGACCUGGCUCCAUAAAGUUGUAUUCCUCUAGCCGCUUGCACUAACUUUAUCUGAAGUAUUAUUCUCUCUGCCCUGAUAUCUGAAGUAUUAUUCUCUCUGCUGACUUUGCUGAAGAACCUACAUAAUAUGUCUUGGAACUAACUGACAUUGAUUCACAGACAAACUCUACAAGGUGCUGUUGUUGCCAUAUUUUAGAGCAUCCCAAAGGACUAUAAAUAAUAUAGUUUACCAUAUACCGUAUACCAUUAUAUGUUAGCUAAAAUAAGAGCAUAACAUGUCGCAGGAGUCCAAAAGCACCGGUUGAGGACCAGGUACAUUGAAUUACUAGAAAAAGACAGGGGGCAAUGUUUAGGUAGCCACAUGAAAAACAUUUGAAUUUACUGUUCCAUGAACACUUAGUUACCAUGCCGGGAGCACCUAGUUAACACUAAAAUUUAGCCACUUUAGAUCAUCCCGAAACACCCUCAAUAGCGACAAAUUUUGAUUUAAAUGCCGUCACCAAUGAUCCUCAAUAGCGACGUGUUUAGGUUUAAAUCCCGUCACUAAUAACCCUUGGUAGUGACGUGUUUUGGUUUAAAUCUCAUCCCACUGAUCCUCAAUAGUGACGUGUUUUUAGCAACACACGCUAUGAAUGACUUGUCAUUGGUGACAUGUUAAAUGCGUUAUCUCAAUGGCAAAUCAUUGGUGACGUGUUUUAAAAAAACAUGUCACUGUGAGAGUUAUUGGUGAAGGGUAAUUAAAAUGCAUCACUAAUUUUGUAGCAUUAGUUAUGAUAUAAUUUAGUAACGCAAAAAUCUACCAUCAGUAAUGAGGUUUAGAGCCGUCGCUAAUGUGGGUUUCUUACGAGUGAUGCAAGCUCUACAAGGUGCUGUUGUUGCCAUUUUAAAGCAUCCCAAGUGACUACAAGUUAAUAGCAUAGUUUACCAUAUACCAUAAAAAUAUUAGUUACAAUAAGCACAUCCGCAUGUGGAAGAGUCCGAAUGCACCAGUUGAGGACUAAACACAUUGAAUUACUAGAACCAAAUGUAAGACAAAGAAAGGGGUCAAGGUUUGGGUAACCGCAUUAAAAACAUUGGAUUUUACUGUACCAUGAACACUUAGUUACCAUUACCAUACCUUGAGCAUCUAGUUACCACAAACAAUAAUUUAGCCACUUUAGAGGUUCCAGAAUCACUAUAAAUAAUAUACCAACACCGUACCAUGAAAACAUCAAGAAGAGAGACGGGUACAUGGACCACCAUCAAGUGAGUAGUGACAGCACGCACAAGAAUACCCGGAACCUGUUAGCUUGUCUGUAGUGAUCUGUUUUCUUCCCCAUAAAAUCCAUGAGUAUUGCCACAAAUAAUGAAAGAGGCUGACCAAGCUAACAAGGAGGUAGAGAAAACGUGAUACACGUAGGUUUCAUUCAAGACAUCCAUGUAAGAUUCAUUCAAAACAUUCAUGGAAAUUUCUUGUAAGUUUUCAUGUAAAUUUCAUUCAAGACAUUUGUUAGAGGUGUUGUAUAUAUAUACCUUAACGUACAUAUAUCUAUGAUUUCAUGGUUGUUAGUGAUGGCAGAUGAGGAGCAUGCAAGGUAUUUAAUGGAGCAGAUUAUUGCUAGUGGUAGUGGCUCCAACCUGCCCGUAACGUACACCAACGAAGAGAGCAGCCAGGCGGACAUGUUCCUCAACAUAUCCGGUGAUGGCAAUGAAGAGCCCGAGCAAAACCUUGCCGUGACGGAAGGUUCCAGUGAGGUAUAUAUCAUUUCCAUUGUUUUACCCCAUCUAUAAUUUCAUAUUCAUUAUUACUAUGUACUAAUUAAUGGAUCUUGAACCAUUAGCCCUCUAGAUCAACGAACCGAAAUAAGCCCCGAGGUCUUACAAAGAUAAUGCAGGGAAGGCAUCACAUCACGGAAGUCACAGAAGAGGGCACAUCAGUUGCUCCCGAACAUGUGGCAAGAAAGUACGUGAGUCAAACCGGGCAAUGUGCCCAUCAGCAUUAGGGAAUGAAAGGGCAAUAGAAAUGAUCUAUACACGCCCCCGGAUACACAAAAGGAUAUGCUGUGGGCAAAUAUCAAGAAACACUUCACAUUUCCCAAAGGAUAUGUUGAAAAAGAUGUGAAAGCGUGGAUGCUGAAGAAGAUGGUCACCGAAUUCCAGACAUUCAAGAAGAUGUUGGAUGUCAACUUCAUCAAGAAGGGUCGAACUCCGGGUUUCGAUGAGUGGCCAAAGUUAAGGGACCACUGGGAGUCAUUUGUCAAAUACAAGACGAGUGAAGGUGGUGCGAGUAAGGUUCGCAUCAAUGUUGCCAAUGCUAGCAAGGAGUACCAUCAUCAUCUAGGGCGACGUGGUUACAGCACUGCAAUUCCCAGAUGGCGCAAGAUGGAACAAGACCUGAUCGAUCGGGGUAUCGUACCAGCAACUCCUGACUGGCCUGAUCGAUUGAAAAAUUGGUAUUAUGCUCAUGAAGGCAAUCUGAGCCAACAGGAUGCGACAUUGGUCUUCAAUAAAACAAUACGUCAGAAGGCCGGAAGGCUUAUUAGGAACAUUGAAAAUGCUAAAUCUGGGAGGUUCAAGGUGGAUAGAGAGAAUGAUGAGCUCACAUUGGCCCUUGGGACUAUCAUCUCUAGCAUUUCCAGCUCCAGGACUGUCGUCACCACCGGGACCGUCGCUUCUUGCUCGAUCACAGUCUCCAUCUCCAGCACAUCCUGGUGGUGCGAACGAUGACGACAACAACACCCCUCCCUGCCCACCAUCGCCGGGACUAAGACCCGCAUCGAGUAAGGAACCUGCAGCACCACUGAAGAAGUCGCGACCACCGCCUUCCAAGCCAAGUCAGCAAAAGAAGAAAGCAGAGAAGCCUAAGCCCACUGAGAAGCCAACAACCGAUAUGACCGAUGCGGAAAGAUGGAAGGCACUCAAAGAAGAAUGCAGGGAGUGGUUCUGUAAAAAGAACCAAAGAAAGAAAAGGAAAGCAGAUGGAGCCACCGCCAGUAGAUCCAAGAAAAUUAUAAUUUUUUAUUAAGAUGUCAAAAGGAGCCAAGAAGAUGAUUCCACAACUAUCAAACUACGACCGGGCGUUAGUCAAGGCUGAUGAGAGUUAAAAAAGGAAAGGAAAGUCAUCUUCAAGUGGUACUGUCCCCCACCUCGAGGAUCUACCAGAAAAAGACGCUAAAAAGAUAGUAGCAAUGCUCUUGGAUCAACAAACACAUAUAUCAUGAGAUUCAUGCAAGAAACAGGUAUGUGCCUUGCUGAAUGUCUAGGGCAAGUUGAUAUGCUAGCUCUAGAGCCAUUUGUACCGAAAUGGACCUUUGAGCUAGGCAAGCCUCUAGUAAGGCCUGAGCUGGUACAGAAGCUAUCCACAUAGCUAUAUGAAUACCAUGAAUGGUACAUGAAGCAGUCUGCCAAUGAGAGGAAAAUGUUCGGUCUCAGGGAAAAACUGAUAUUUUUUUUCGGCGAAGGCGAGAAAGUCUUGUGAUGGAAUUCAAGGAUAUAUAUGAAGUGUACCAUCAGGAUGCCCUUGAUGUCUCUCUCAUCAGCGCCUAGGUUAUGUAAGUGUAUGUUUAUCUAUACGUAAUUUUUGUCUCAUAUCAUUAUUUCUUUUGCGUGCGUCACCCUACUAACUUCGUCUUCCAUUUUAUGUAGGAUGCUAAUUCAGAUGUGCCGCAUAGAAGCGCACUUCCAUGUUGGCUUCAUGGAUCCAUCCCUAGUUAACCAAAAGCAGAUACGGAAGUAGCUAGAGAAAAUGUUGGAGGUGGUAUACAACUUCCUGGACAAACAAAACUAUAGAAUAGGGGCAAUAUGUGAAGGUCUUGUAGGAUUCCUAGUGGACAAGGUGAUAAAUCCAUAAGGAGAAUAUCAUUACAACGGACGAGCAUUAGACACACUGAGCAACACCUAGACGGGAGGAUCCUAGGAAUGACCUAGACAGAUUUUGGUAUAAAUAGUAAUUGUGUAAAUACUAGUUUGAUUUGUAUAGGAAUAUACUAAGAAUUGUAUAUAUAGUAAUUGUACAAAUACUAGUUUGAUUUGUAUAAAUACUAGAUUGAUUUUAUUAUAAAAAAGUUUUAAGUCGUACGUGCAUGCGCCUACAAAGGCGCGUAUGCCCUUUAAUCCCGGUUGGAAAAACAAACCGGUACUAAAGGGGCUCGUGCCGCACCUGGCAUGACCGCCCCUUUAGUCCCGGUUGAACGACCCAGGACCAAAGAUCUGCCCCGUCUCAUAAAUUUUAUCCUGGAUGCUUUUUAGAGAGAUUUGAGGCCUAUCAACCAAGACUAAUAUCGAGUUUUCUACCAGUGGAACUAACUAACGUUCACAUGCUUCUGACAUUCACCUGCCAUUUGGUGUAGACAAGGGCACCCUAACAUAUGGUUAAUAUUAUUCAUGAAAGAAAAUCCUUUGAUUCAAAAAUACUUCAAACCUAAUAAUACAAUACUUCUCACAUCUGAAAAAUAUGAGAUGGCCCGACAGUAUUCUAACCGACGCAAUAAUAUUUUGAGGGCAGCACUACUACAGCGACCCUCAUUCGUGCCGGUGCUGGAACCCCUAUCACGACCCUGAUACAAAUGAGGGUACAUUAUUGUUGCCAGUGCUAGAAUAGCCACGAAUAACUUGCUAAACAUGCUGUUACACUCACUACUAGAAAAAUAACCUCUCGUCCUGAGGCUUAGUACCGGUCACUUUUUUGCCCAGUACUAAUGUUAGUAUUAGUACCGGAUCCAAAUUUGGGAUCCCCCAGAGACCCUUUAGUACCAGGUGGAGUCUCCACCCGAUACUAAAGGCUUUGUUACCGGGUGAAGGAUCCUCCCGGUACUAAUGGGGGAUUUUUAGUACCGGGUGGGAACCCCACCCGAAACUAAAAUCUCCCAUGCGGACCCCUCCCCCCCCCACGCGUUGCCUCUGUCCUCCCUCCUCCUCCUCUGAGUAGUUAUCCCUUCCUCAUCCCUCCUCCUCCUCCCACACGUGGGGUGAGGUGAGGUGGCAGUAGCAACGACAGGUGGUGUGGCGGGUCACGGCGGGCCGGAUGCGGAGCCGCAACGGUGGUCGGCGGGAUGGGGUGGGGCAGAGCGGCAUGGCAGGGCGGAGCGGUGGGACGGGGCCGAGGUGGAGGUGCCGGGCGGAGGUGGAGUGGCAGGACAGAGGCGGAGGCGGAGCGGCGGGUCGGCGAGCGGGUGGAGGGUGGCGACGAUGGGGCGGGCAGAGGCAGAGGGGUGGGUGGAGGGGCGGCGUGGUCCACCGGCGGGGGGGGGGGGGGGAGAGGGAGGCGUGGGGGGUGCGGUUGGUGAUUUCAAUUUUCUUUUAAUUUUUUAACACCCUUCAGUACCAGUUAUUUUAACCGGGUCUAAAGGGAUCCCCUCUUGUACCGAAUUGCUAGUACAGGAUGCACAACCGGUACUAGAGGGAGGUUCCCAACCGGUACUAGAGCCACUUUCCCCGGUAGUGACUUUUUCACCGAUUAGAAUAUGUUAUUAUUCUAAUCAGCUUUUGUUGAUCUCCUGUAUAAUUUAGUACCUAAUUCUACUAGCAAUUGUUAACGCCGACACGUAUUGGGUAUAGUCCUAACAGUGUCUAACUAGGGCACUACAUUUGUUAACCUAUAACUACUGGUAUCGAUUAGCCCUGGUUAGAAUACUGUCAAGGCAGCCAGAAAAAAUUGUUUGCCAAUUCUGCUAUCCAUCAGAACCAUGACUAGUACCGUAUUGUAAUAAACGAAUUACACAAAUAACUGAUGCACACAAAGGAAUAUGCACUCGCAUGUGCUAGACGUUCGUAGCAACAACAAAUUACUCUCAUCAUCAAUUAAACAUAAUAGAUUAAACAUUAACUGAACAUAGUUCAACACGUACAUCAACAAGACAAAGCAGUUUAAACAUCAACUGAACAGAACUGAAAACAUACAUCAACUGAUGAUAAACUUCGACAUGAACACAACACAUAAACAUCAACUUCAAUAGAACUUAAUAGAGCAUAUUAAACAACAACAUCGACAAAACAUAUAAACCCAGCUCAGUAGCUCAAGCAUCAACUAAAACUGCUGAAUUAAAAUAACAUAACAUAGUGUAGUUCAUCAUGAUGAUAACUAACAGAACCGAAAAGCCUAACUGGGUAAAAGAGCAAUUCAUUCAUAAUGCUUCAGCACUUACAUCACCGGAGUAUGCAACUGGCGGCGUCGCUUACGUCACUAUCACCGCGCUUGGCGAGUAAAGGAGGAGGAGGUGGCAUAGUAAUCGAAGAGGAGGCCGCUGUCGGCGGGUUUAGACUACGUGGAGGUGUGGGUAGGGUUAAGGUGGCUCUGUGGACGAGUAUAUAUAAGAGGUCUGGGCUUGUUAGAAUAAGAUAACAUUCUAACUGGCCAAAUUCGGAUCCGGUUAGAAUAAAUUGUUCUAACCAGCCUUAAUUCGAGGUGGUAAGGAUAAGUUAACAUUCUAAUCAGCUCUAUUUGGAGCCCGAUUGAAUGUUCUUGUUAUUCAAAAAAAGAUCAAGUUCAUCAAUUUUUUUCUAGAAAAACAUCAAGAUAAUUUAAACACGAUAUAUAACAAGAUUAAUACAUUUAAAAAUUGUUUUCUCCAAUAAUUAACGAUAUUUAACAAAUUCAAAAAAAAUCCAAAUUAACAGAACAUAAUAACCAAUUGUUCGAAAAAAUCAAAAUAGUCCACACAGUAUCAUAUUACAAAUUCAGAAAAAUAUCAAAAUAAUCCCUGAUCCACUCGAUACCGUCGUAGAACUUUGAAAUACUGAGCUUCUUGAUUCAUCUGAGGUCCACGUACUCGUCUCAGUAACACUAGUGGUGGCCAUGCAUCUUGUAGAUGUCUUCUAAUGAAUUAAGCUUGACAUACAAGGUCGUGCCUUCCACUCCUUGAGGAUUGCUUAUGACGUUUCUGCAAAUAACGAAGCAUUGCUUUCUCCAACAUGAUUAUUUUCUUCGGCUUAUCCCAAGGGACAACUAUGGUUUUCCCCUUGCCGGAAGAGGAACGAUGAUCGCCCCCACCAUCGCCACUUCCUCCAGUAGCAGAAGCCAUCUAUGUACAAAAAUUCAUACCUUAGCACUACAGAACUUGUUGAACUUGAAGACUGUGAUCAUUAGGCGAGCAUGUUCUCAACUAGGUGGCACCGCACUUCGUCAUGGAAGAGCUUCGAUUUUACAAAAAAGGGGACAUGAUCUUCCAUGAUGUCCGUAUCCGCUCUUUCUCGUAGAAUCAGAGCUCCUCCUUGAUAUACGAUGCUGCUCGGCGGAGAACAUGCUCACCGAGAUGAACACGGUAUGCAAGUUCAACAAGUAUGGAUUUGAAAAACCAUAUUGAAUUUGACAAGACAAACUAUCUAGAUAAGCGUAGCAUCAUUCUUAAACCACUGCAAGGAUACGUACUAUAUAUGACACAUCAAUCUCCCUCACAUUCUAGCUCAAAAUACCUCUCCAUUUUCUACUUCACAUUCUAGCAAAUAAACUAUCUAUCUCCAUUCUACACAUCAAGUUGUUUUAACUAAUACAAAUCGUAUAUAACAAGCAAAAUAUCCAUCACAUUCUAGCUCAAAAACAUGUAUAAAUACAAAUCCUCUUCAUUCUCCCUUUUUCUAACAAACAAACUCAUUUUUCUCCCUCUCCAAAGCAUAAAUUAAAGCGUAACAUGAGGAUGAGGUAGCAAACCUUCACAACACAUUGGAUGAGUGAAAUUCCCACGAAAAUGAGGGAAAAAAAUUCGGGCAGCACCUCCCUUGCUUCGGCACCUCUAGAGAGUAGGUGAAGCUCAGUUCUCUAUUUUUGUGGUGGACUAGCUUGGGCUGGAGGAGGAAGAAAGGCCUCUGUCUUGGUAUAUAAUGGGGGAUGAGUUUUUAUCCCAGUUAAAAGCUCCAACUGAGACAAAACGGCCAAUCUUUUGUCCCGGUUGGAGCCUCCAACCGGGACAAAAGGGGCACGCCAUCGACGCACGGGAGCUAGCCGUUACAACCGGGACUAAAGGGGGGCCUUUAGUCCCGGUUGCAAAUACCAACUGGGAUUAAAUCUCCCCUCCAUUUUUGCCUACCGUGGUGCGCCCCCUUUUAUCCCGGGUCAACUUUAAACCGGGACAAAAGGGGGCGUCGAAGAUCAGUUCUCUACUAGUGACCCCUCCCCACCUAUCUCUCUCCCUCCAUGCUCCUCGAUCUGUGCCUCCCCUCCCCUCCCCUUCCACUCGCCCCUCACCGACGGUAAGGAGCAGCGGCGGGGCGAGGUGAGGUGGCAGCAGCAAUGGCAGGUGGUGGGUCGCAGCGGAGCGGCUACGGUAGGCAGCCGGACGGGGCAGAGCGGCGGGGCGGGGUGGAGGCGGAGGUGGCGGGUAGAGGCGGAGCGGCGAGGCGGAGGCGGAGGUGGAGGCGGAGUGGUGGGACGGCAGGGCCGGGCGACUAGUAUAGGUGGGCGGGCGGAGGGCGGCGACGGCGGAGCGGGCGGAGGCAGAGGGGCAGCGGGGGCCGCCGGCGGGGGGUGUGAUCGGGGAUUUCAAUUUUUUUUAAAUUUUUUAACACCUUUUAGUCCAACUGGUUCUAAAGGGACCCCUCUAGUAUCAAAAUUGCUAGUACCGGUUGCACAACCGGUACCAGAAGUGGUUCCUAACUGGUACUAGAGCCACUUUCCCUGGUAGAGACUUUUUUACCAGUUAGAAUAUGUUAUUAUUUUAAUCAGCUUUCGCUGAUCGCCAGUAUGAUUUAGUACCUAAUUUUACUGGCGAUUGUUACCGCUGACACGGAUUGGGUAUAGUCCUAACAGUGUAUAACUACGGCACUACAUUUGUUAACCUAUAACUACUUGUAUCGAUUAGCCCUGGUUAGAAUACUGUCAAGGCAGCCAGAAUUUUUUUUUUUUGCCAAUUCUGCUAUCCAUGAGAUCCAUGACUAGUACCGCAAUGUAAUGAAUGAACUGCACAAAUAACUGAUGCACACAAAAGAAUAUGCACUUGCACGCUAGACGUUCGUAACAACAAAUUACUCUCAUCACCAAUUGAACAUAAUAGAUUAAACAUUAACUGAACAGAAUUCAACACGUACAUCAACACGACAAAGCAGUUUAAACAUCAACUGAACUGAACUGAACACAUACAUCAACUGAUGAUAAUUAUCGACAUCAACAGAACACAUGAACAUCAACAUCAAUAGAACUUAAUAGAGCAUAUUAAACAACAACAUCGACAAAACAUAUAAACCCAGCUUAGUAGCUCAGGCAUCAACUAAAAUUGCUGAAUUAAAACAACACAACGUAGUGUAGUUCAUAAUGCUUCGGCGCUUACACCACUGGCGGGUCGCUUACGUCGGCAUCACCGCGCUGGCUGAACCUCCGACACCCCCACCACGGCAAACGGAGGUGAUGGCGGAAGGUGAGGCAACGACAGUAGCUGGUGAGCUCCCGCUCCAAUGUCUCGCGAGUAAAGGAGGAGGAGGUGGCAUGGGAAUCGAAGAGGACACUAGUAGAGAAACGACUUUCCAUCCACCCCCUUUUGUCCCGGUUUAAAGUUGGCCCGGGACAAAAGGUUCACCAACCGGGAUUAAAACUCGGUCACUGGUGGGGGGCUCACCAACCGGGACCUUUUAUCCCGGUUGCAAAGGCUAGUGGGAAAAAAUUACUCUGAGAGGCCUUUUAUCCCGGUUUGAAACACCAACCGGGAUAAAAGACCCCCCCUUUUAUCCCGGUUGGUAACACCAACCGAGAUAAAAGGGUCAAGAGCCUUUUAUCCCGGUUGGAAACACCAACCGGGAUAAAAGGGGGUCUUUUAUCCCGGUUGGUGUUUCCAACCGGGAUAAAAGGGUCCCCCACGAGUUAAUACAAAAGGAUAGUAUCCCCUACAUAGUCAGAUGUGGUGUGUAGGUGGGAUGGUAAGGAAGCUACGCGCGAGGCUGGAGGUUGUGGGUUCGAAUCCCACGAACCGCGCACGCGCAUAUUUCGCGUGAAAAAUCGCGUGACUUGCGACUUGCGCGUGUGGGGGGGCCUCCUGGGAGCUCGGGAAUUUUUUUUUUUUGCAGCGCCGGCCGUGGGUGAACCCUUUUAUCCCGGUUGGUAUUACCAACCGGGAUAAAAGGGGGUCUUUUGUCCCGGUUGAGUGACCCGGGAUAAAAGACCCCCCCUUUUGUCCCGGUUGGUUUAUCCCGGAUGCAUUUUCGAGAUCUUUGCACCCUACCAACCGGGAUAAUAGGUGAGUUCUCCACCAGUGGGAGGCCGCCGCUGGCGGGUUUAGACUACGUGGAUGUGUGGGUAGGGUUAAGGUGACGGUGUGGACUAGUAUAUAUAAGAUGUCUGGGCUUGUUAGAAUAAGAUAACAUUCUAACCGGCCAAAUUCGGACCCGGUUAGAUUAAAUUGAUAUUCUAACCGGUCCUAUUUCUAGGUGGUAAGAAUAAGUUAACAUUGUAAUUGGCUUUAUUUGGAACCCGAUUGAAUCUUCUUGUUAUUCAAAAAAACAUCAAGUUCAUCAAUUUUAAUCCAGGAAAACAUCAAGAUAAUUUAAGCACGAUAUAUAACAAGAUUAAUACAUUUAAAAAUUGUUUGAUUCACAAAUUAACGAUAUUUAACAAAUUCAAAAAAUCCAAAUUAACAGAACACAAUAACCAAUUGUUCGAAAAAAUCAAAAUAAUCCACACACAUUAAUAUAUUACAAAUUCAGAAAUAUAUCAAAAUAAUCCCCGAUCCACUCGAUACCGUCAUAGGACUUUUAAAUACUGAGCUUCUUGAUUCGUCUGAGGUCCACCUACUCGUCUCAGUAACACUAGUGAUGGCCAUGCAUCUUGUAGAUGUCUUCUAACGAAUCAAGCUUGACGUACAAGGUCAUGCCUUCCGCUCCUUGAGGAUAACCAUCUUUGGUGAUCUUGAAAUGGCAGACGGUGGAUGUGCCAAAGGUACGUGACGAUCCUUCUAAAUGUAUGCCACCACAACUUCCGUCUGAUCGCCAUGGGUGACACCAAGAAGAGCUACCAUGCGGCAAGGGACGAACAAUUUAUCAAUUAGUGCCGCUGUCCAUCGCCAUCAUCUAAUCCAGCCAUAUCUUGUUGUAUAUUUAAGUAUAGAAAUUAAGAUUUAAAAAUAAACAGAAUAAAUUGAGAUCGAUUAUGUAUGUAUAUCAGAACAUUAGCUUUUGGAAAAAGGGCUUCGAUGGAAGAGAGGCACGGGGCAUAGAGACAACAACGAGUGACAAUAUGUCAGAAGAAUACCCGAUCACAAUUAUUGGCACACACAGCCGAUAUUUACAGUAGUCAAUACCCCUGGUAAAUAACCACACCAUCAAGAGUAAAUAGUGACAAUAUGCAGUAUAUACACGACAUAGCCUUGGCUGCCGUGGAAGCACCAGAAGGGAGACAAAUAACAGGGACCACUACAUCAAGUAGAUAGUGACAAUAUGCAAAAGAAUACCCGCGCCUGUUAGCAUGUGUGAACUGACCACACCACGAAACGUGAUACACGGCAAGCGUACCAAGGCCUUGCUGUGCAGACUAUGCAUGGACAACACAUGGUACCUGACCGCUUUUGGCCUCAGACACAUCAAAAACUGCAUCGUUCCACGUUGUACAUCCAUUGCUAGUUUAUCUAUAUUACAUAAUAUAUUAUUAGCUAUUUGAAUAGAAUGAACCAAUUAAAAAAUUACGUUGUAUUUUAGUACCGGCUGCAGGAUGGUGUUACCAACCAGUACUAAUUGGCCUGUAGGAGUGAUGGUUAUUAGACUUGGUACUGUUGUUAGCAUCAUUAACCUAAUUGUGCGCCGUAUGAAUUUGGGGAUGCAAAGCUAGCUCUCUAUGAAUGUGAGGGAUGGAAAGCUAGUUCUCUAGUAGUAAUUAUAUAUAUGACAGUCAGGAAAUCGAACACUAUGCUGCUACGAGUCACCAUCAUUUCCUUCAUUGACAAUCUGACAUAGGUGAAGCUGCUUCAAUAAUUUCCUUCGCGCAGUCGUGGAGCUUAUUGGAUUAUCACCAGGACGGGACACGGAAAUGGCCAGCAAUGAAGCUGAUUGCCGUCUGAGGAAGACUACAUACUUACCUAUGAAAUGAAGCGAUUGCAUAGACUAAUGAAGCAUUGCAUAUUUGCAUGUGAGUGUGGCAGAUAAUUCUGCAGGACAUGAUUGCAAUCCACGCACCAUCGAGAAGACUGGGGCGAUGGGGUUGCCUCAUCAAUAAUCACGUGGAUGCAUGCAUGCAUGUUCCCUCAACCGGACAAGGGUCUGAUAUAUGGCUAUAGUAUUACUGAGCCCACAUCAAUAAUUUCCGCUGGUGUAUCGUGUGGGAAGAAUCAACAUACUACACCUCUGAGUUCUUGGAACUAACUGACGUUCACAUGCAACCUCCACAAGGUGCUGUAUGCUUUUGACAUUCACCUGCCAGUUCGUGUAGAGGACACCCUAACGUAUGGUUAAUAUUAUCCAUUUCAUGAGUAAAAUACUGUGAUUCAAAAAUACUUCAAAUCCCUUGAGACAAUACUUCUCACUUGACUAACCACUAACCAACCCCGAAACCCUAACUCAACUCCGAACCCUAACCCCUAACGGCAUAACCACUCCGUUUUGCCGGCGAGAUGGAGGAACUGGCUGGAAGGUAGAGAGGGCAGCGGUCCAGGGUUGAAAACGACGGGCGAGCGCAGUAACAUGUGGAGGAGGAAGUGCCACGUAUUCGUUCACCGCUAUUGGGCAGCGACACACGACACGCCCAAUAAGAUCUUCGCACGGUAGAAGGACGUCAUGUAUUCAAUAAUGUUAUUGGUCCCCCAUGUGCAGAAGGGCGCGCGCGUAUGGAAUAACAAGUAGGGACACUGCAACUAAUCUACUCUGCUCGUCCAGUCCCUAGCCUAUAAAUAGAUGCCAUGCUAGCUCUUGUUGUGCUCACAAUUAAUCCGAUUACACACGAGCUUCUCUCCCUGGCCAAGACACAACCAUAGUAUGAUGAAGAACAUGGCACUAGCCGGCAAUGGUAUGAAGAAGUUAAUCCUCGCUGUUCUCUUACUGUGUCUAGUUAUAGGGCAGAUACAAGUGGAAGCUAAGAGCUGCUGCCCAUCCACCACUGCAAGAAAUGUCUACAAUACCUGCCGUUUCACGGGUACAUCCCGUCCAACGUGUGCAAAACUGUCAGGCUGCAAAAUUAUCAGCGGGAACAAAUGCAAGCCCCCUAACGACCACCUCACCCUUGACCCGGACACUGGUAAAUAAUAAAUUUAUCUCACUUGAUUUCUUCGUGAUUUGAGUCGUUAAUGUAUUUUCCAUCUGAUGAAACGUAUUGGUUUUGCAUUGAAGAGGAAGUUAAUGUGCUUAACUUCUGCAAGUUGGGGUGUGCGUCGUCUGUGUGCAACAACAUCAACGCUGGUAAGCAACUUUUGCUCAGACAGAGAAAACAAUAAUCAUUAAUUAGCGGCAGCUAGAAUCCUAUAAUCUAAUAUAUAUAUAUAUAUAUAAUUUUAUCAGCUCUGGGAAAUGAAGAGGCGAACGAUGCCGUUGAGAGUUGCGACCAAGCCUGCUCUAGCUUCUGCAGCGUGCAUGUUGGCAGCGCCACCGUGGUUGCUUAAGCAAAUGCAUCCAACUAGAUCGUCCUUGUGCUGAAUAAUUGGAUAUCGUAUCCACUUAAAGCUGCCUUGUGUAGUACGUCUUUGUGUCUCUCUUUAUAUUCCAAUAAGGUCGGUGAUCUUGAUGCCACACACUCAGAUGUGUGUUCAUCUCCAGAUACUACUCCAUGCUACCUGCCCUUUGUGUUUUGUUCAAUAACUGGGUAUCAUAUCCCAGCCAGUAUGCCGUCUGUUUUGUGUUUGUUUCCUUCUAGUUCCAAAGGGGUCAUCAUGAUGUUACCUUCUUUCAAUAUGGUGCUUUGCAUGACUACUGUUGUAUGGUACCAUCUUGUGGCCAAUAAGUACAUCUUAUCCUAUGACCUUUGCUAUGACCCUUUGCAAAUAAGUAGAAGAUUGUUAUAAGCGUCAAUACUCCGUAUAAAUUGAUCGCUGCUGUGAGUUCCCUUUCAGCUUAUCGUAGGCAUACAUUAUUGCUAGCACGGUAAAGCCAACCAACACGAAUGAUGAAGUAAACGUAGCGGUACUUCUGUAUACCAACACCCUUACUUAAAUGUACCGGUGUCAUUCCCUACUGGCACAUAUAUUCUUAUAUGCUAGCCAGCUUGUAAAAUUAACCAAUUAAAAUAAUUAUUUCAAGAUAGAAAUAACUUAUCGGUUUCUGGAAGCAUGUGUAAUGUGAAUUCAAGGACUCGACGGAAGUUGAAUCACUUCAUCUAUAUUGCUUUCAGUAUUUUGGGUAACUAAAUUUAACAUUUGCACAUACAAAUGUUAAAGUACAAAUGUUAAAUCUAGUUACCCAAGCAGAAUAUGAAGAUAGUUUAUAGUAUAUAUAUACUAUAUAAAUCUAGUUAACAUUUAGUCUAAAUGUUAAAUCUAGUUACCUAAAAUCCUGAAAGCAAAAUGUAUAAAUAUAUAUCUUUUAAGGCAGUAUAAGCUUCGAUUCCUAUUGCUGCUCUGUUAAAUCUCAUCUUUCGUUGUGGCCCAACACUCUAGUAUGCAUGUUGCACCAAGCUUCUUUGAGCCGCUCUGCCCUCUGAUUUUGCUGCGUAGGGGAAUCUUUAUCAGGUUGGGCUACUUCCAGUUGUGCGAUGUAAAGAUUCGUAUUUUCUAGAAGGUAGACAAAAAACUCGCGUUCUCUUAAGGCAACAACCGGAAGAUUCUGCAGCGCACAGGGCAUACCAUUAUUGUAGAAACGACCUUUAGUACCGAUCUCCAACCCCCUUUAAAACUGGUUUUGCAACCGGUACCGUUAUGUCGGUCCUUUAGUACCAGAUCAAAUAAGUACCGGUUGGUAACCAGUAUCAACUUGUUUUGCGGCCAAAAAAAUAAAGAAAAAAACAGUCAGAAGGCUCGCGCACACGCGCAUCACAUGAAAUAUGCGUGUGCGGGGUCCAUGGGAUUCGAACCCAUGAAAUCAAGCUGCGCGCGACCCUUCGUUACCAUCUCACCUACAUAGCGCAUAUGCUUUCCUGAAGUAACCCGUGGAGGAGGCUUUAGUACCGGGUCAUAACACCACCCGGUACUAAAAAUGACUCUUCAGUACCGGGUCAUAACACCACCCGAUACUAGUAUCGGAUGGUGUAAUGACCCGAUACUAAAAGGCCUCUAGGGACCCUCAAAUUUGAACCCGGUACUAAUGCUAAUAUUAGUAGCGGGUCAAAGUGCAGCCAGAACUAAAGCAUGGGAUGAAAGGUCAUAUUUCUAGUAGUGUAUAGUUGUUGUGAAGGACUGACUUGGCUGUCCUCUCUCUUCUCCAUCCCCUUGGUCUUACGCCGCCGCUCGCACGCGAGCCGGUGCCCAACCAGAGGAGUGAGAGCUAGGGGCAGGUUGGGAGGUGGGGAUAGUGACUGGUGGCCAGGGUGAUGGUUGAUCCUGGUGGGGUUAGGGUUUUAGGGUUUUCGAGCUUCCUAUGGUCGGCGAACCUAGAGGAGGAGCUCAACAUCAGCUGCAACCCGCGAUGGUGGUGGUUUGGCCGGCGCCCGAGGCGAGGCAGCGCGGGAGUGCUGCCGGUGGGUUGGUGUUGGCACUCAUUAUUGACAACUAUUUUGUUCAUAAAAUAACACUCAAACUUGCUGCUGCUGCUGCUGCUGCCAUCGCCACCCUAGCCAUAAUAUAAAGGCAAAAUUUGCUAAAGGACAUGCAAAAUGAUGCUAGUUUGCUGGCGGGCAUCGUUGACCUUGUAAUAUGCUACAAGACACUCUAGUUGUGUAUCAAUUUGCUGAAAGACAUUGCUAUGACUAAAAUAAUGUUUCUGGACUGAGUUGGAGAGAGAGAUGGAGUGAAAUGUCUGUUUUGCCCAUGACCCCACUGGUCAGAUCCUUCUUCUUCCACCCUCCUUUGUUCUUUCUUCAACCAUUACCCAGCUCCAGCGUGUUGCAGAUCUACGAGGGUGGCGGCCUGGGGCGAGGGGCAUCGCUCGCCCUUGGAGGAGCGCUGCGAGCGACGGCGCGGGGGCGGCAACAGCGCGUCAGAACCUGACUGUUCGUUAGCUCCUCUCGCUGCUGGGGAAGGAGGGGGAUGGGCCAUGGACGGGGUUCCCUUGAAAACCUCAGCGUCGAGCUCGGGCGGCUACGCGCAGGCAGCACUAGGCUGCUUCACGGGGAGGGGGCGCGGCCAAUCAUUGGCACCCCACUGGUCCAAUGCUGAUGAAGAUGGUGCCAGCGUCGUGUGAGGACAUCUCAUCUCCUCGAGUUCCAUGGCCAGCACAGGUGAGCUGCCGCUACCACAAAACAGAGGUUUCGUGAGAGUCAAAAAACCUUAUGAAAAUAGCUAAAACCAUCAUGAAAAUAAUCCGUGACAUGACACUCUCACGAAAAUCCUCUCACAAAUAUGGUGCCAUGAAAAUACCAUUUUCAUGAGAGUGAACUGUCAUGAUUUUAUUUCGUGAGAGUAUUUCCUAUCAAUGACCUCCACGAAAUACUUUGUGCCACCAGGUCUUCAAGAUCAUUUUCAUGAGAGCUGAACAUCAGGAAAAGUCCGCCACAAAUGUUUUUCUUGGAGCCCCUAACUCUCAUGAAAAUCAUGCGGGCCGCCACGAAAAACAGCAUGACCAAAUGACAAAUUUCAUUUUCAUGUGUUCAUACCGCCAUGAAAAUGGUCAUUUUCAUGAGAGUUGAUGAAACAAAAAAUAGUGCCAUUUUCAUGAGAGUUCAAGCAACCAGGAAAAGACACUAAUAAACAUCCAGAUCCCAUCCAGCACACAUCCAUGCACAUAUAUAACCCACAUAUUGCUCCAGCACACAUCCAUGCAUAUACAAGAUCCAAAUGUUAAUAUAGUAGACAUCCAUGCCUGAACUAGUCUGCCACACAAGUCAUUGAUGCUACAAAUCCUACAAUCGCAGCAUGUGCAUACAAGUCACAGAAUGAGACAAUGUACCCAAAACUAAAAGGUUAGCAUCAACUGUGCUUCAACCAAAGUUGUCAUCCCAACUCUCCUCUUCAUCCAUGCCAUUCUUGUCGUGGCCGUCACUGUCAGUCCCCAUGGCAUUGCCAAUGCUGUGCAUGUCUUGGUAGGAACCUACAUGUGAUGAACUAGUAACCUGCAAAAAGAGCUCAAAGGAUCUUGUUCUCAUAUUGUAGCUGUGAAAUUCUUACAAGUAGUGUUGCAAUCAGUUCACUUUGAACCAAAAGAGCUCAAAGGAUCUUGUCCUAAAAGUUCCUCAUAAAGCUUAUGGGUUUGCUGGUGGAACUGGAAGGGCUUGAUGCAGCAGAUGCCAUUCUGCAAUAGAGAAAAAUUUAGAGAGCAGUACUAGUUAAAAUUGGAUGCAGAAGAUACACAUGAAACUAGUAUUUAUACAAGUCUAUACAAUUAAAAUCUAAGGAGACUUAUCAUCGUUUUCAUGUGUUGUGAAUUAAAAUAAUGAAGGAUACACUGUUAGGUGAAAAUUCAAGAAACAAAAUUUUGCAUAGAGAUAAAGGUCCAACAUUAUUACAAGUUAAGGUAGUUUUAAAUAUCCUUGUAAUCUUCCUUUGGUUUCCUCAACGAUUCGAAGACAAUAACCUUGCUUCUAUCAAUGAUAAUUAUAAGGAGAAUCCAGUGGAAACUGUGUAUUCGUAUUAGAACUACCUAAGGUUAAUUAGGUUAGGAAAGGAAAUUGAAAAUAGAUGGUACCCACACUUACUUAAAGUUGUCGGGCAAUAGUAUGUAAUGCUUGUAAUUCCGUUGCUCCAAGAAUUUGUAUAUGUGGUCCAAUGUAGACUUUGGUUGAUCCCGUAUCUGCUGUUGGUUAAAUAAGUGUUUCUAGCCAUUUCUAGCCAUUAGAACCGGGACUAAAGGGGGCUCUUUAGUACGGGUUGAUAUUACUAACCGGGAUUAAAGAGCCCCCAUUAGAGUUGGUUUUUGGAUGCGGAACUAACAACUCCUUUAGUCCUGAGUACGAAAACAACUGACAUAUUUGUUGCUGGAUGGAAGGUCCUUUCUCUACCGUGAAUAUUGCCAGAAAGAAUUGAAAGAGACUGCUUGCUAAAAAUAUGUCAUAGAUGUAGACCAAGCUACCAAGGAGGUAGACCAAACAUGAUACACACCAUGCGUACCUUGCUGUGCAGACUAUGCAUUGACAAGAUACCCGACCACAUGUUGGCCUCGGUCACAUCAAAAGAAUCAUGUAGGCCACCAAUAAACUACUUGAAGCGGCAUUCCGUAUCGUAUAUGCAUUGCCGGUUCAUCUGCAUUACAUUACAUAAAGCACUAUUAACUAUUUGAAUAAAAUGAACCAAUUUAAAAGUAAUGUGUUGUACUCUACUAUAGAAAGCCCUAUCACUGCCGGAUCCAAAAACAUCAUUGUUAAUGGUGGUUAAGUACCAAAUAUGACGGUCAAUAUUCUCAAGAAUAAUGGAGAAUUAGCAUUUCUUAGACACAUAUUUGGUUUUGAACAAUGUAGUUCCACAUGUCUUUGGAGAUUAUUUGGGUGUGGGUGAAAUAAUACAAAAAUAAGGAGAAAACACACUCCCAUGGCGAAGAAACACAACUCCAACCAAUGAGAGAUAGCCACAGGGGCAGCACACGGAUCCAUGGGCCCACUAACCGCAUCAAACCAUCUUACCAAGGCAGGUAGCACCCACAACCGUCAUUAGGACCCACCUGGAAGUCUACCAAGAAGAAGGUUGCGAGUGGGGCCAGGAGGGGUUCGGUUGAAUCAUCUCUAGCUAGCUCCCCUCAUCCCCAGCUGGUGGGUGGUGGUGGUUGAUGGUGUCCCUACAUCAGUUAGAGGAGAUUCCCCCAAAUAUUCCUCCUGUAAACCACCUCUAUGGACCUAUACAUAGAGGGGUGUGCUCUCCAUUCCAACACACACCACAAGUUGAAUCACUCUCUCCCUCUUUAGUUUCCAAGUUUAUGGAGUUAGGCUAGAGUAGCUCUGCUCAAGGUUCCAAGUCCACUUGGAGUUAAGCAUAUGUCUCUUGUAUCGUUAUUUCCUAAAUUGACUUUAUGCUUAGUUCUUAUAUGCAUGAGUUAGUCUAAUACCCUUGCUAUAUUGAUAUGCUCGGCUUAUAUGCUCGUAUGCUAGUCAUAUACCCUUGCUGUCGUAGUAUAGGCUUAUAUGCUCUCAUGUGUGCCUGUAGACCUUGCUAUAGUAUAUACUUGUUGUGCAUACAUACCAUGUAUAGGCUAGUCGAUCUAUACCAUGGCAUUGGUUCAAUAGCCAUGUUUUUGGUGGCUCCAACCCUAGUCACAAUAGCUCGGGACAGCUGGAGUGUUGUUAAAAAUGCAAGAGUGGUGCUUGGGUUGUUUAGCAUCGUUGGAUAUGGGUUUGCCCCACGGGUUUCUAACGGUAGGCGGCAGCUAGUGACAUCCCUGUCCGUCCUUCGUAAUCCCCCCACAUUCAGGUACGCCAUAAAUGUUCGUAAAUUAGCAGUAACUACGCCGGUACACCUGUAGGGUAUUGUCUCCCUGUAGUACCUUGGUGCAUAGAACUAAGUCCUAUACACUGUGUGUGUAUGUUUACGCUGAUAUGAUCUGUGCAGUAUAUAGGAUGUAUAUAUGAACCUAGAGCUAACUCCUAGUCCGUUCUCCAUAGCUUAGUUAUCUUGAGAUGAUUCUUCUGUAUGUGUAACACUACCCAUCUUAUCAUUAUCCUUGAUCCUGUCUUGUGUAAUAUAUCUACUCAUCCUAUGAUAUACUCAUAUGCAUAGUAAACUAUUUUGACCUACCCGCCUUCCUUUGGGAAAUAUGAUACCUUGGAAUAAUCCUAGGUGAAAUCCUACAACGGUAUAUCCAUGUAAAUGCGGAUUUAUUCAUGACCAUUAAAUAUACCAACAAUCAUCACUGUGAGUUUUGGGCGUCGUUAGUGAAGGGUUGGUAGUGAUGGGCAUCCCCUUCACCAAUGGACCUGGAACCGGCGGUGAUGGCUAUUAUAAAAAAGGGGACACCACCCAGCGUACCCCACGACCCGGCCGGCCGCACCUCCCAUCAUCCCCGCCAGCCGCCCUUCCUUUUCGCCGGCCGAGCAUGGUCCCGGCCUUUGUCCCUACCACCUCGCCUCCACCGCGACCCCCCGCCGAUGCCCUCGUGCCUGGCCCCCCUCAUCUUGCCGGCCACCCUCCCGAUGCGUCCACUGGGGCCCUCGCACCACCAACCGCCCUUGCUUAGAGAGGGAGAGAGAGGAGGGAGGUGAGGCCACGCACCUCGUCCUACACCGCCGCUGUUUCUCCUCGGCCCACCGCGCCUCACCCCACACCACAGCCGCGCCUUGCCAUCUUACCGGCUGUGACGCCUCAUCUCACCGGCCACCGUUCCUCACCCCCACUUCGGUCGUCGCCGCUCCUUGCCCUACCGCUGCUCUUUGCCGCUGCGAAUGAGCGCCGAGUGGAGGAGGAGGGAUGGGGCAGGAGGAGGGCAAGAUCCGGGAGGAAGGGAGAGAUCUCGGGAGGUGGAGAUGGAAGGAUAUGGCGGAAGGGAGAGAUCCAGAGGGAGAGAGCAGGGGAGAGAGGGGGGCGUGUGGGGAGAGAGCGCGUGUGGGGUGGGGCCGGGCUGGUGGGAUGGAAGGGAGAGGGGCUAGACGGGCGCAGUGCAUUCAACUGGAUGAAGUAAAUAUUUUGGAUUCGAGACCCCAGCUUUAUUAUCACCGCUGGUCCGUAGUACCAUCCGGUGCCUGCUCGUAAUUUAAUUUGAAUCUGCGGUGAUGUUUUAUUAUCACCAUCGGAUCAUAUAAAAAUCCGGCGGUUAAAAAUCCGCUGGUUUCGAUGAAAACCGACGGUGAUAGGAUGACUGUGAUAGUCUCUUCUCUAGUAGUGGUAUAUUAGUACCGGCUGCCGGAUGGUGUUGCCGACCAGUACUUCUCCGGGGGCGAUUCAGUACUGCUGUUAGCAAAGCUUGUUCUCUAUGAAUUUGGGGAUGGAAAGCUAGUUCUCUAGUUGUGAUUUGUUACAUAUAUAUCUAUGAUAGUCUAGAAAUUGCAUGUCCUUCGUUGACAUAGUUGAAGCUGCUUCAAGAAUUUACUUCGUGCAGUCGUGCAGCAUAUUGGAUUAUCACCUAGACAGGAUACAUAGGUGAAGCAUUGGAUGUGAUUGUGGCCGAUAAUUAUGCAGGACGCUGUUGCAAUCAACCACCAAGAAGUCUGGAGUGAUGGGGUUGCCUCAUCAAUAAUUUUUAUAUAUGGCUGCAGUAUUAUUAAGCCCACGUCAAUAAUUUUUUGUCCGCACCAUAUAUCGAUGGGGUUGCCUCAUCAAUAAUUCGCGCAACCAGACAAGCUGCAGACUCAAUAUGGUACGAAGCUAGUUGCUCAGCCCACAUGCUCUGAUAUAACAUUGACAUCUGCUGAUCUACAGUAUAUAUGACCAGAAAUAUUGUGCCCACCUCAAUAACUUUCUGAAGUAUCGUGGGGAAGAACCUACGCGUACUAUGCCUCGGAACUAACUGACAUAUCGGCCCAGGCGGUCUAGGCCGAUUGGACUGGCUCUUCCUUGUGGCUUCUCACAUCCCCUUCGUCCCCAAGUAAUUUCAGGUGUUCUGUAGUUUUCUUUUCACUUGCAUCUGAGCCUCCUAUAUCAAUAGCUUCGGGAUAAGAAUGCCUCUUGAUAACCUUCCAAAUCCUCGCUUGAUUCACAUUGAUUCCGAAAUCAUCUUGCCAUAUCUUCAGAGACUUAGGUCCUAAGGCAUCAUGGAGGAUUGCUCGCCAAGAAUGAGCACCAUUGGGCUCCUGAGGACCCUAGGCCGAUCAGCCCGGGCUCUAUAGGUCGAUUGGCCCAGGCCCUCUCUGGGCCUGUUGGCCUUCAUCUUUCUUUGAGUCGACGCUUAUUCAGGGCUUUGUCCAAUUAUAGUCCAUUAUAGUCUAAUUUCCUAAAAAACAGAAUGUCCUCCAAAAUACAAUGCAUAUGUGAAAACAACCCAAUUAUUAGGUAUGAUCAAUAGUUUAGGUAUUAAAUUAAUAUUAUUAUUUAAGAUAAACAGGGGUAAAGGGUGUCAUUAAUAACAAGCGCCAACAAGCGUCCUAGCUGUUCAAUAAAUUUUUUCUAGUACCGAUUGGUAACACUAACCGGUGCUAAUAUGUACCCUUUAUUACCGGUUAUUUUACCAGGUACUAAAGGAGACAAGAGCAUCCUAACAUAAGGUUAAUAUCAUCCAUUUCAUGAGUAAAAUACUAUGAUUCAAAAAUAAUUCAAAUCCCUUAAGACAAUACCUAUCAAAUGAGUAAAUUGUAAAUAGAGUAAUCUUGAUCAAACAAUGUCCUAAUGAAACGGAACACUUCUGGUUCGUGUAGAGCACAAUAUAGAAAACAGUAGGGUAGCUGUAUGAUUGACACGUGGUCCAUUAAUUAUUGAGCCAACACUAUGGACAUGUCUUCAUGAGUAGUGUACUAGUCAUAAUACAUGGUAUGCAGUAGGUGGAGGUAUUGACUUAGCCAUGCUAUGAGCACUUAGUUACAACAAACACUUUGCCAUUAUCGAGCAUCCCAAAUCACUACAAAAUCCAUAGUUUACCAUAUACUACAAAAUCUGAGUUAAAAUAAGAGCAUACACGGAAGAGUCCGAAUGCACGGCACAUUGAAUUACUAGACAAAAUUUAUGGGACAAGGUUUUGGGUAACCGCAUGAAAAAUAUUGGAUUUUACUGAACACUUAGUUACAAUUACCAUGCCCGUGAGCACUUAGUCACCACAAACAUUUAACCACUUUAGAUCAUCCUGAAUCCCUAUAAAUUCUAUACCUUACACCGUACCAUGAAAACGACAAGAACAGAGACAGAUGCGGUGAAAAUCUCCAGAGCAAGCCUGAAAUUAAAAUAAGAGGAGGCAGUCACUAUCGACAGGACACGGAGAUUGCUAGCCAUGACAGAGGAAGACAUGAUAUGAUAUUCACCUCUGAAAUGCAGCGUAGACUAAAUGAAGCACAAUUGCAAGUGAGUGUGGCAGAUAAUGGACCAUCGAGACCAUCGAAUGGUAUGAAGCAUGAUUAUCACCUAGACAUGAUAUCCUAGACAGGACGGUGAAUUGUAAAAAGAGUAAUCUUGAUCAAAGAAUGUCCUAAUGAAACGGAACAUUUUUGGUACGUGUAGAGCAAAAUAUAGAAAACAGUAGAGUAGUUGUACGAUUGAAACUGCAUCCAUCGACGUGGUGCAUGAAUUGUUGAGCCAACACUGUGGACAUGUCUUCAUGAACACCAUCUAGUGAGGACAGCAUGCAGAAAAAUAUAAAAACAUGUCAUAGGGAGGCAGACCAAUCUUGCGAGGUAGACGAAACGUGAUACACGAUCUGCCUACCUUGUCGUGUGGAUACCCCAAGUGAAGAUGUCAUAGAGGUGCAGACCAAGCUAGCAAGGAGGUAGAUGAAACGUGAUACACGGCCUGCCUACCUUGCCGUGGAUAUUAGUCCUGAUAUCAUUCUAUUGUUCAAGGAAUAACACUCAAUGCUGCUGCUGCUGCUGACCUGGCUCCAUAAAGUUAUAUUCCUCUAGCCGCUUGCACUAACUUUAUCUGAAGUAUUAUUCUCUCUGCACUGUAUAUAUGGUUACGGAGUUUGCUGGAGUAUCCGGGGGGAAGAACCUACAUAAUAUGUCUUGGAACUAACUGACAUUGAUUCACAGACAAGGUGCUGUUGUUGACAUGGUACAGUAAAUAAUAUAGUUUACCAUAUACCGUAUACCAUUAUAUGUUAGCUAAAAUAAGAGCAUAACAUGUCGCAGGAGUCCAAAAGCACCGGUUGAGGACCAGGUACAUUAAAUUACUAGAAAACAAAAGGGGACAAGGUUUAGGUAGCCACAUGAAAAACAUUUGAAUUUACUGUACCAUGAACACUUAGUUACCAUGCCGGGAGCACCUAGUUAACACUAACAUUUAGCCACUUUAGAUCAUCCCGAAACACCAAUGACCCUCAAUAGCGACAAAUUUUGGUUUAAAUGCCGUCACCAAUGAUCCUCAAUAGUGACGUGUUUAGGUUUAAAUCCCAUCACUAAUAACCCUUGGUAGUGACGUGUUUUGGUUUAAAUCUCAUCACCACUGAUCCUCACUAGUGACGUGUUUUUAGCAACACACGUUAUGAAUGACUUGUCAUUGGUGACAUGUUAAACGCGUUAUCUCAAUGGCAAAUCAAUGGUGACGUGUUUAAAAAAACAUGUCACUGUGAGAGUUAUUGGUGAAGGGUAAUUAAAAUGCAUCACUAAUUUUGUAGCAUUAGUUAUGAUAUAAUUUUGUAACGCAAAAAUCUACCAUAGUAAUGAGGUUUAGAGCCAUCACUAAUGUGGGUUUCUUAUCGUAGUGAUGCAAGCUCUACAAGGUGCUGUUGUUGCCAUUUUAAAGCAUCCCAAAUGACUACAAGAGUCCGGUUGAGGACUAAACAAAUUGAAUUACUAGAACCAAAUGUAUGUCCAGAACAAAGAAAGGGGUCAAGGUUUGGGUAACCGCAUUAAAAACAUUGAAUUUUACUGUACCAUGAACACUUAGUUACCAUUACCAUGCCUUGAGCACCUAGUUACCACAAACAUUAAUUUAGCCACUUUAGAGGUUCCACAAUCACUAUAAAUAAUAUACCAACACCGUACCAUGAAAACAUCAAGAAGAGAGACGGGUACAUGGACCACCAUCAAGUGAGUAGUGACAGCACGCACAAGAAUACCCGGAACCUUUUAGCUUGUCUGUAGUGAUCUGUUUUCUUCGCCACAAAUAAUGAAAGAGGCUGACCAAGCUAGCAACGAGGUAGAGCAAACGUGAUACACGUAGGUUUCAUUCAAGACAUCCAUGUAAGAUUCAUUCAAAACAUUCAUGGAAAUUUCUUGUAAGUUUUCAUGUAAAUUUCAUUCAAGACAUUUGUUAGAGGUGUUGUAUAUACACUUAACGUACAUAUAUCUAUGAUUUCAUGGUUGUUAGUGAUGGCAGAUGAGGAGCAUGCAAGGUGUUUAAUGGAGCAGAUUAUUGCUAGUGGUAGUGGCUCCAACCUGCCCGUAACGUACACCGACGAAGAGGGCAGCCAGGCGGACAUGUUCCUCAACAUGUCCGGUGAUGGCAAUGAAGAGCCCGAGCAAAACCUUGCCGUGACGGAAGGUUCCAUCGAGGUAUAUAUCAUUUCCAUUAUUUUACCCCAUCUAUAAUUUCAUAUUCAUUAUUACUAUGUGCUAAUUAAUGAAUCUUGAACCGUUAGUCCUCUAGAUCAACGAACCGAAAUAAGCCCCGAGGUCUUACAAAGAUAAUGCAGGGAAGGCUUCACAUCAUGGAAGUCACAGAAGAGGGCACAUCGGUUGCUCCCGAACAUGUGGCAAGAAAGUACGUGAGUCAAACCGGGGCAAUCGUAAGGGACAACAUGCCCAUCAGCAUCAGGGAAUGAAAGAGCAAUAGAAAUGAUCUAUACGCACCCCCGGAUACACAAAAGGAUAUGUUGUGGGCAAAUAUCAAGAAACACUUCACAUUUCCCAAAGGAUAUGUUGAAAAAUAUGUGAAAGCGUGGAUGUUGAAGAAGAUGGCCACCCAAUUCCAGACAUUCAAGAAGAUGUUGGAUGCCAACUUCAUCAAGAAGGGUCGAACUCCGGGUUUCAAUGAGUGGCCAAAGUUAAGGGACCACUGGGAGUCGUUUGUCGAAUACAAGACGAGCGAAGGUGGUGCGAGUAAGGUUCACAUCAAUGUUGCCAAUGCUAGCAAGGAGUACCAUCAUCAUCUAGGGCGACGUGGUUACAGCUCUGCAAUUCCCAGAUGGCGCAAGAUGGAACAAGACCUGAUCGAUCGGGGUAUCGUACCAGCAACUCUUGACUGGAUCGAUUGAAAAAUUGGUAUUAUGCUCAUGAAGGCAAUCUGAGCCAAGAGGAUCCGACAUUGGUCUUCAAUAAAACAAUACGUCAGAAGGUCGGAAGGCUUAUUAGGAACAUUGAAGAUGCUAAAGCUGGGAGGUUCAAGGUGGAUAGAGAGAAUGAUGAACUCACAUUGGCCCUCGGGACUGUCAUCUCUAGCACUUCCAGCUCCAGGACUAUCGUCACCACCGGGACCGUCGCUUCCUGCUCGAUCACAGUCUCCAUCUCCAGCACAUCCUGGUGGUGCGAGCGACGACGACAACAACACCCCUCCCUGCCCACCAUUGCCGGGACUAAGACCCGCAUUGAGUAAGGAACCUGCAACACCACUGAAGAAGUCGCGACCACCACCUUCAAGGCAAGUCAGCAAAAGAAGAAAGCAGAGAAGCCUAAACCCACUGAGAAGCCAGCGACUGAUAUGACCGAUGCGGAAAGAUGGAAGGCACUCAAAGAAGAAUGCAGGGAGUGGUUCAGCGAAGGCGAAGGUGAGAAAGUCGUAUGAAUCGAAUUCAAGGAUAUAUAUGAAGUGAACCAUCAGGAUGCCCUUGAUGUCUCUCUCAUCAGCGCCUAGGUUCUGUAAGUGUAUGUUUAUCUAUAAGUAAAUUUUGGCUCAUAUCAUUAUUUUUUUUGCGUGCGUCACCCUACUAACUUCGUCUUCCAUUUUAUGUAGGAUGCUAAUUCAGACGUGCCGCAUAGAAGCGUACUUCCAUGUUGGAUUCAUGGAUCCAUCCCUAGUUAACCAAAAGCCGAUACGGAAGUAGCUAGAGAAAACGUUGGAGGUGGUGUACAACCUCCUGGACAAACUAAACUACAGAAUAGGGGCAAUAUGUGAGGGUCUUGUAGGAUUCCUAGUGGACGAGGUGAUAAAUCCAUAAGGAGAAUAUCAUUCCAACGGACGAGCAUUAGACACACUGAGCAACACCUAGAUGGGAGGAUCCUAGGAAUGACCUCGACAGAUUUUGGUAUAAAUAGUAAUUGUGUAAAUACUAGUUUGAUUUGUAUAGGAAUAUACUAAGAAUUGUAUAUAUAGUAAUUGUACAAAUACUAGUUUGAUUUGUAUGAAUACUAGAUUGAUUUUAUUAUAAAAAAGUUUUAAGUCGUACGUGCAUGCGCCUACAAAGGCGCGGAUGCCUUUUAAUCCCAGUCGGAAAAACAAACUGGUACUAAAGGGGCUCGUGCCGCACCUGGCAUGACCACCCCUUUAGUCCCGGUUGAACGACCCAGGACUAAAGAUCUCCGCGUCUCAAAAAUUUUAUCUCGGAUGCUUUUUAGAGAGAUUUGAGGCCUAUCAACCAAGACUAAUAUCGAGUUUUCUACCAGUGAAACUAACUAACGUUCACAUGGUUUUGACAUUCACCUGCCAUUUGGUGUAGACAAGGGCACCCUAACAUAUGGUUAAUAUUAUUCUUGAAAGAAAAUCCUUUGAUUCAAAAUACUUCAAACCUAAUAAUACAAUACUUCUCACAUCUGAAAAAUAUGAGACGGCCCGACAGUAUUCUAAUCGACGCAAUAAUAUUUUGAGGGCAGCACUACUACAGCGACCCUCAUUCGUGCCGGUGCUGGGACUCCUAUCACGACCCUGAUACAAAUGAGGGUACAUUAUUGGUGCCAGUGCUAGAACAGCCACGAAUAACUUGCUAAACGUGCUGUUACACUCACUACAGGGACCAAGAAGGUAGAUAAAUUACACGACAUAGCCUUGGUUGCCGUGGAAGCGCCAAGAAGGGAGACAAAUUACAGGGACCACACCAUCAAGUAGAUAGUGACAAUAUGCAAAAGAAUACCCGCGCCUGUUAGCAUGUGAACUGACCACACCACGAAACGUGAUACACGGCAAGCGUACCAAGGCCUUGCUGUGCAGACUAUGCAUGGACAACACAUGGUACCUGACCGCUUUUGGCCUCAGACACAUCGAAAAACUGCAUCGUUCCACGUUGUACAUCCAUUGCUAGUUUAUCUAUAUUACAUAAUAUAUUAUUAGCUAUUUGAAUAGAAUGAACCAAUUAAAAAAUUGCGUUGUAUUUUUAGUACCGGCUGCAGGAUGGUGUUACCAACCAGUACUAAUUGGCCUGUAGGAGUGAUGGUUAUUAGACUUGGUACUGUUGUUAGCAUCAUUAACCUAAUUGUGCGCCGUAUGAAUUUGGGGAUGCAAAGCUAGCUCUCUAUGAAUGUGAGGGAUGGAAAGCUAGUUCUCUAGUAGUAAUUAUAUAUAUGACAGUCAAGAAAUCGAACACUAUGCUGCUACGAGUCACCAUCAUUUCCUUCAUUGACAAUCUGACAUAGGUGAAGCUGCUUCAAUAAUUUCCUUCGCGCAGUCGUGGAGCUUAUUGGAUUAUCACCAGGACGGGACACGGAAAUGGCCAGCAAUGAAGCUGAUUGCCGUCUGAGGAAGACUACAUACUUACCUAUGAAAUGAAGCGAUUGCAUAGACUAAUGAAGCAUUGCAUAUUUGCAUGUGAGUGUGGCAGAUAAUUCUGCAGGACAUGAUUGCAAUCCACGCACCAUCGAGAAGACUGGGGCGAUGGGGUUGCCUCAUCAAUAAUCACGUGGAUGCAUGCAUGCAUGUUCCCGCAACCGGACAAGGGUCUGAUAUAUGGCUAUAGUAUUACUGAGCCCACAUCAAUAAUUUCCACUGGUGUAUCGUGUGGGAAGAAUCAACAUACUACACCUCGAGUUCUUGGAACUAACUGACGUUCACAUGCAACCUCCACAAGGUGCUGUAUGCUUUUGACAUUCACCUGCCAGUUCGUGUAGAGAAGGACACCCUAACGUAUAGUUAAUAUUAUCCAUUUCAUGAGUAAAAUACUGUGAUUCAAAAAUACUUCAAAUCCCUUGAGACAAUACUUCUCACUUGACUAACCACUAACCAACCCCGAAACCCUAACUCAACUCCGAACCCUAACCCCUAACGGCAUAACCACUCCGUUUUGCCGGCGAGAUGGAGGAACUGGCUGGAAGGUAGAGAGGGCAGCGGUCCAGGGUUGAAAACGACGGGCGAGCGCAGUAACAUGUGGAGGAGGAAGUGCCACGUAUUCGUUCACCGCUAUUGGGCAGCGACACACGACACGCCCAAUAAGAUCUUCGCACGGUAGAAGGACGUCAUGUAUUCAAUAAUGUUAUUGGUCCCCCAUGUGCAGAAGGGCGCGCGCGUAUGGAAUAACAAGUAGGGACACUGCAACUAAUCUACUCUGCUCGUCCAGUCCCUAGCCUAUAAAUAGAUGCCAUGCUAGCUCUUGUUGUGCUCACAAUUAAUCCGAUUACACACGAGCUUCUCUCCCUGGCCAAGACACAACCAUAGUAUGAUGAAGAACAUGGCACUAGCCGGCAAUGGUAUGAAGAAGUUAAUCCUCGCUGUUCUCUUACUGUGUCUAGUUAUAGGGCAGAUACAAGUGGAAGCUAAGAGCUGCUGCCCAUCCACCACUGCAAGAAAUGUCUACAAUACCUGCCGUUUCACGGGUACAUCCCGUCCAACGUGUGCAAAACUGUCAGGCUGCAAAAUUAUCAGCGGGAACAAAUGCAAGCCCCCUAACGACCACCUCACCCUUGACCCGGACACUGGUAAAUAAUAAAUUUAUCUCACUUGAUUUCUUCGUGAUUUGAGUCGUUAAUGUAUUUUCCAUCUGAUGAAACGUAUUGGUUUUGCAUUGAAGAGGAAGUUAAUGUGCUUAACUUCUGCAAGUUGGGGUGUGCGUCGUCUGUGUGCAACAACAUCAACGCUGGUAAGCAACUUUUGCUCAGACAGAGAAAACAAUAAUCAUUAAUUAGCGGCAGCUAGAAUCCUAUAAUCUAAUAUAUAUAUAUAUAUAUAAUUUUAUCAGCUCUGGGAAAUGAAGAGGCGAACGAUGCCGUUGAGAGUUGCGACCAAGCCUGCUCUAGCUUCUGCAGCGUGCAUGUUGGCAGCGCCACCGUGGUUGCUUAAGCAAAUGCAUCCAACUAGAUCGUCCUUGUGCUGAAUAAUUGGAUAUCGUAUCCACUUAAAGCUGCCUUGUGUAGUACGUCUUUGUGUCUCUCUUUAUAUUCCAAUAAGGUCGGUGAUCUUGAUGCCACACACUCAGAUGUGUGUUCAUCUCCAGAUACUACUCCAUGCUACCUGCCCUUUGUGUUUUGUUCAAUAACUGGGUAUCAUAUCCCAGCCAGUAUGCCGUCUGUUUUGUGUUUGUUUCCUUCUAGUUCCAAAGGGGUCAUCAUGAUGUUACCUUCUUUCAAUAUGGUGCUUUGCAUGACUACUGUUGUAUGGUACCAUCUUGUGGCCAAUAAGUACAUCUUAUCCUAUGACCUUUGCUAUGACCCUUUGCAAAUAAGUAGAAGAUUGUUAUAAGCGUCAAUACUCCGUAUAAAUUGAUCGCUGCUGUGAGUUCCCUUUCAGCUUAUCGUAGGCAUACAUUAUUGCUAGCACGGUAAAGCCAACCAACACGAAUGAUGAAGUAAACGUAGCGGUACUUCUGUAUACCAACACCCUUACUUAAAUGUACCGGUGUCAUUCCCUACUGGCACAUAUAUUCUUAUAUGCUAGCCAGCUUGUAAAAUUAACCAAUUAAAAUAAUUAUUUCAAGAUAGAAAUAACUUAUCGGUUUCUGGAAGCAUGUGUAAUGUGAAUUCAAGGACUCGACGGAAGUUGAAUCACUUCAUCUAUAUUGCUUUCAGUAUUUUGGGUAACUAAAUUUAACAUUUGCACAUACAAAUGUUAAAGUACAAAUGUUAAAUCUAGUUACCCAAGCAGAAUAUGAAGAUAGUUUAUAGUAUAUAUAUACUAUAUAAAUCUAGUUAACAUUUAGUCUAAAUGUUAAAUCUAGUUACCUAAAAUCCUGAAAGCAAAAUGUAUAAAUAUAUAUCUUUUAAGGCAGUAUAAGCUUCGAUUCCUAUUGCUGCUCUGUUAAAUCUCAUCUUUCGUUGUGGCCCAACACUCUAGUAUGCAUGUUGCACCAAGCUUCUUUGAGCCGCUCUGCCCUCUGAUUUUGCUGCGUAGGGGAAUCUUUAUCAGGUUGGGCUACUUCCAGUUGUGCGAUGUAAAGAUUCGUAUUUUCUAGAAGGUAGACAAAAAACUCGCGUUCUCUUAAGGCAACAACCGGAAGAUUCUGCAGCGCACAGGGCAUACCAUUAUUGUAGAAACGACCUUUAGUACCGAUCUCCAACCCCCUUUAAAACUGGUUUUGCAACCGGUACCGUUAUGUCGGUCCUUUAGUACCAGAUCAAAUAAGUACCGGUUGGUAACCAGUAUCAACUUGUUUUGCGGCCAAAAAAAUAAAGAAAAAAACAGUCAGAAGGCUCGCACACACGCGCAUCACAUGAAAUAUGCGUGUGCGGGGUCCAUGGGAUUCGAACCCAUGAAAUCAAGCUGCACGCGACCCUUCGUUACCAUCUCACCUACAUAGCGCAUAUGCUUUCCUGAAGUAACCCGUGGAGGAGGCUUUAGUACCGGGUCAUAACACCACCCGGUACUAAAAAUGACUCUUCAGUACCGGGUCAUAACACCACCUGAUACUAGUAUCGGAUGGUGUAAUGACCCGAUACUAAAAGGCCUCUAGGGACCCUCAAAUUUGAACCCGGUACUAAUGCUAAUAUUAGUAGCGGGUCAAAGUGCAGCCAGAACUAAAGCAUGGGAUGAAAGGUCAUAUUUCUAGUAGUGUAUAGUUGUUGUGAAGGACUGACUUGGCUGUCCUCUCUCUUCUCCAUCCCCUUGGUCUUACGCCGCCGCUCGCACGCGAGCCGGUGCCCAACCAGAGGAGUGAGAGCUAGGGGCAGGUUGGGAGGUGGGGAUAGUGACUGGUGGCCAGGGUGAUGGUUGAUCCUGGUGGGGUUAGGGUUUCAGGGUUUUCGAGCUUCCUAUGGUCGGCGAACCUAGAGGAGAAGCUCAACAUCAGCUGCAACCCGCGAUGGUGGUGGUUUGGCCGGCGCCCGAGGCGAGGCAGCGCGGGAGUGCUGCCGGUGGGUUGGUGUUGGCACUCAUUAUUGACAACUAUUUUGUUCAUAAAAUAACACUCAAACUUGCUGCUGCUGCUGCUGCCAUCGCCACCCUAGCCAUAAUAUAAAGGCAAAAUUUGCUAAAGGACAUGCAAAAUGAUGCUAGUUUGCUGGCGGGCAUCGUUGACCUUGUAAUAUGCUACAAGACACUCUAGUUGUGUAUCAAUUUGCUGAAAGACAUUGCUAUGACUAAAAUAAUGUUUCUGGACUGAGUUGGAGAGAGAGAUGGAGUGAAAUGUCUGUUUUGCCCAUGACCCCACUGGUCAGAUCCUUCUUCUUCCACCCUCCUUUGUUCUUUCUUCAACCAUUACCCAGCUCCAGCGUGUUGCAGAUCUACGAGGGUGGCGGCCUGGGGCGAGGGGCAUCGCUCGCCCUUGGAGGAGCGCUGCGAGCGACGGCGCGGGGGCGGCAACAGCGCGUCAGAACCUGACUGUUCGUUAGCUCCUCUCGCUGCUGGGGAAGAAGGAGGGGGAUGGGCCAUGGACGGGGUUCCCUUGAAAACCUCAGCGUCGAGCUCGGGCGGCUACGCGCAGGCAGCACUAGGCUGCUUCACGGGGAGGGGGCGCGGCCAAUCAUUGGCACCCCACUGGUCCAAUGCUGAUGAAGAUGGUGCCAGCGUCGUGUGAGGACAUCUCAUCUCCUCGAGUUCCAUGGCCAGCACAGGUGAGCUGCCGCUACCACAAAACAGAGGUUUCGUGAGAGUCAAAAAACCUUAUGAAAAUAGCUAAAACCAUCAUGAAAAUAAUCCGUGACAUGACACUCUCACGAAAAUCCUCUCACAAAUAUGGUGCCAUGAAAAUACCAUUUUCAUGAGAGUGAACUGUCAUGAUUUUAUAAGCGUCAAUACUCGGUAUAAAUUGACUACUGCUGUGAGUUCCCUUUCAGCUUAUCGUAGGCAUACAUUAUUGCUAGCACGGUAAAGAGAACCAACACGAAUGAUGAAGUAAACGUAGCGGAACUUUUGUAUACCAACACCCUUACGUACCGGUGUCAUUCCCCACUGCCACAUAUAUUCUUAUAUGCUAACCAGCUUUGAAAAUUAAGCGAUUAAAAUAAUUAUUUCAAGAUAGAAAUAACUUAUCGGCUUCUCGAAGCUUGUGUAAUGUGAAUUCAAGGACUCGAUGGAAGUUGAAUCGCUUCAUCUAGAUUGCUUUCAGGAUUUUGGGUAACUAAAUUUAACAUUUGCACACACAAAUGUUAAUGUACAAAUGUUAAAUCUAGUUACCCAAGCAGAAUAUGAAGAUACUCUAUAGUAUAUAUGUACUAUAUAAAUCUAGUAAACAUUUAGUCUAAAUGUUAAAUCUAGUUACCUAAAAUCCUAAAAGCAAAAUGUAUAAAUAUAUAUCUUUUAAGGCAGUAUAAGCUUCAAUUCUCUGUUAAAUCUCAUCUUUCGUUGUGGCCCAACACUCUAGUAUGCAUGUUGCACCAAGCUUCUUUGAGCCGCUCUGCCCUCUGAUUUUGCUGCGUAGGGGAAUCUUUAUCAGGUUGGGCUACUUCCAGUUGUGCGAUGUAAAGCUUCGUAUCUUUUAGAAGGUAGACAAAAUACCCGCGUUCUGGAAGAUUCUGCAACGUGCACGUUGGCGCUGCCACCGUGGUUGCUUAAGCAAAUGCAUCCAACUGAAUCGUCCUUAAGCUGAAUAAUUGGAUAUGGUAUCCACUGCUUAAAGCUGCCAUGUUUAGUACGUCUUUGUUUUUCUCUCUUUAUAUUCCAAUAAGGUCGGUGAUCUUGAUGCCACACACUCAGAUGUGUGUUUAUCUCCAGAUACUACUCCAUGCUACCUACCCUUUGUGUUUUGUUCAAUAACUGGGUAUCAUAUCCUAGCCAGUGUGCCAUCUGUUUUGUGUUUGUUUCCUUCUAGUUCCAAAGGGGUCAUCAUGAUGUUACCUUCUUUUGAGGUGUCUAUGAUGACUUCGUUAAUAUCAAUAUUAACCAAUUCAAUCUGUCUUAACUAUUUGUAAGGGGUAUGAUGUAUGCAUGAUUAUAACAAUGAUUGCGCAUACAAUCGCCGCCAAAGAAACGGUCAAUACCAUUAAGACAUAUUACAGACAAUUCUCAUAAUCUAUAAUGAAUAUACAUAUUCACUACUGCAGAAGACUGUCAUUUGUAUCGGCUCAUACGUGCCAGGGCAAAGGUCACCCUUGCAUUAAGUACAUUUGCACGGUAAAGACAACCAACACGAAUAAUGAAGUAAACAUGCCGGUGCUUUUGUACACCAACACGCUUACUUAAAUGUACUGGUGUCAUUCCUCACCGGUAGCCGGCUUGAAAAUUAACCAAUUAGAACAAUUAUUUAUUGUAUCGGUGUGAUUUUUGACCUAUUGGAAUAUGAAUUUGACCGUUACUGCAUUCGUCAAGACUCAAGAGAGAAAUAACUGAUCGGCUUCUUAGAGCGUGUGCAAUGUGAAAUCAAGGACUGGAUGGAAGUUGAAGCGCUAGCACUAGUAGAGAAACGACUUUCCAUCCACCCCCUUUUGUCCCGGUUUAAAGUUGGCUCGGGAUAAAAGGUUCACCAACCGGGACUAAAACUCAGUCACUGGUGGGAGGCUCACCAACCGGAACCUUUUAUCCCGGUUGCAAAGGCUAAUGGGAAAAAAAGACUCUGAGAGGCCUUUUAUCCCGGUUUGAAACACCAACCGGGAUAAAAGACCCCCCUUUUAUCCCGGUUGGUAACACCAACCGAGAUAAAAGGGUCAAGAGCCUUUUAUCCCGGUUGGAAACACCAACCGGGAUAAAAGACCCCCUUUUAUCCCGGUUGGUGUUUCAAACCGGGAUAAAAGGGCCCCCACGAGGUGACUGGAAGGUGACUGGAAGGGGAUUAAAUCGUGGGGGACCCUUUUAUCCCGGUUGGAAACACCAACCGGGAUAAAAGGGGGUCUUUUAUCCCGGUUGGUGUUUCCAACCGGGAUAAAAGGGUCCCCCACGAGUUAAUACAAAAGGAUAGUAUCCCCUACAUAGUCAGAUGUGGUGUGUAGGUGGGAUGGUAAGGAAGCUACGCGCGAGCUCCGGAAUUUUUUUUUUUUUUUUUUGCAGCGUCGGCGCUCUCUACCCUUUUAUCCCGGUUGGUAUUACCAACCGGGAUAAAAGGGGGUCUUUUGUCCCGGUUGAGUGACCCGGGAUAAAAGACCCCCCCUUUUUUCCCCGGUUAGUUUAUCCCGGAUGCAUUUUCGGGAUAAAAGCACCCUACCAACCGGGAUUAAAGCUCACUUCUCUACCAGUGUAGCUUCAUCUUCCGCUGCAAGUUAAUUGCUUGGAUAAGAAGUUGUAGCCGCUGCAAGUUAUAAAUAGUCCCGCUGAUGCUGUGCUCCGAAGUCUAUACUAUAUAUGCGGAAACUAGAUUGCUUUCAGGAUUUUGGGUAACUAAAUUUAACAUUUGUACAUAAAAAUGUUAGUUUACGAAUGUUAAAUCUAGUUACCCAAGCAGAACAAGAAGAUAGUAUAUAGUAUAUACUAUAUAAAUCAAGUUAACAAUUAGUCUAAAUGUUAUAUCUACUUACCCAAAAUAUUGAAAGCAAAGAAAGAAUAAGUAUAUAUCUUUUGUUGGAAAAUUGGUCCACGGAGAGGCCCAUUUAGGCCUCGUUCGUUUCACCGGGAUGGGAUUCCAGUCAGGAUUACUUCCAAGUUCGGUUUGAGUGAUUCCACCCGUGUCACUCAAUCCGGCUAGGAUUCAUUCUAUGGGUGAGGAGGUAUGGUUUCAAUCCAGGCCAUCUAAUGUAGAAGGAUUCCAAUCCAGGCCGGUUUUCGUUCCAGGCCAGACUAAAACGAACAACACUUUCAAUGCAAGUCUGGUUUCAAACCGGGCCAUUUCAAACCACCCGGAAUGGACCUCGUUCCAGGCCAAUCCGGUGAAAACAAAUGAGGCCUUAAUGGAAUCCCAAAGCAAGAGUUCAGUGGCAUUCUAUAGUCCCAUGCUGCUAGUUUGAGUUGGUCGAAGCCAACUUAAAUAGGAGAGCUCUCUCACUUCUCUAAAUACGUAACUGAAGGAGAGAAGGGGGCUUGGGUUACACAACGCACGCACGCACGCAUAUUUGCGUUCUUUUCGCGUAACCAACCGCGUGACUUGAAACUUGCGACGUAGCGUGCUGCUAAGUCAAGUUGAUAUAACCUUUUUGCCGUUUGCAUGUAAUCUUUUGACAACGGUCAUUGGAGGUGAUAAGCACGCAGUCAAUACCUUAAUCUUGAGUUAAUAGGGUGGUUACUACUGCCAAUUAGUGGGGCAAUUUUGUAGGGGAAACGGUUAGCAGAGGGCUACCGUCUUCUCUAUAAGAAGUUCUGGAGACGUCCAGGAACACACAUGUACAUGUGAGAGACCCACAAAUUCCUUCCCUUCUCCCUUUUCCAUGUGGUGAAGUGUGCUGUGGUACUGAGCUGCUUGAUCUCGCCGCUCUUCUCCUUGGCAUGCACCGAGGAGGAGGGUGAGCGGUAUCUCCGAGCUAUUGCCGUCAGGAAGCCUGCACGAGGGACAACAAAAAGUUUUUGGGUAGCGCAACUGCCAGCACAACUCUCCCUCCGCCUCUUCUUCACGGUUGAUGGCCACCACAAGCAUAAACCUCGCCUUCGCAUCCACGCAAAAGGGUCGCUGGGGUGCCUUCUUGCAUCGCUUCUCAGCCUCCUUGACUUGCGGCCAGCCAAGAACUGCGCCACCACCUCGGGUGCACGCCACCACUCCAGGGCUGCUACCCCAUGCCUGCGGCCGCCGCCGGCCACCACGCGUGUGCAACCGCGUCGCACCGCUUCCUUGCUUUGUGCCACCACUGCUGCUGUACCACCAGCUCCACCACCUUGGGCUGGUCGCCAGAGUGACUGAUAACUUAUUAUCUGUAACUACUAUUAACUCAGGGAUACAUGCGUCUUUUGCUUCUCCUACUAAUAUGUCCUAAAAUAUCUAGGAUGCCUUAUAUUUCUGGACAGAGGAAGUAUUUGAAUAAAAUGAACCAAUUUAAAAAAAUGUGUUGUACACUACUACAGAAAGACCUAUCAGUGUCAAACCCAAAAAUGUUGUCACCGCCAGUUUUGGGCAUCAUUGGUGAAAGGUUGGCGGUGAUGGGCUUUCCCUUCAACAACGGCACUGGAGCCGACGGUGAUUGACAUUAGAAAACAAAAAAGGGGACCCUACCUAGCCACCCCUGCAACCCGGCCGGCCGUGCCUCCCCUCAUCCCCACCACCUCGCCUCCCCAUGACCCCCCGCCGGCGCCCUUGCGCCUAGCCCCCUCAACUGCCCAGCCGGCCACCCUCAUCACGAGAGAGAGGUGCAUGUUGUAUAAUUGCGUGAAUUUUUUAAUGUUUAAUUUCAUGUAAGUUCCGUGUAAUAAAUUGUACAAGUUUUAUUGUAUAUAUGAAUUCCAUAUAUAUAUAUAUAUAUUUAUAAUUUAAUGUAUGGUUUCAUGUGUAUAUUUCAAUCAUGUGUAUAUUUAGUAGAUUGCCGAUUUUCUUUUUCUACUAGACAAGGGUUGAUGUAUAAUUACGUGUAUAUGUUUAUUGUACGGGCAAUUAGGACAAGUUUUGUAUAAAUUUCUUUUAUUUGAUGGUUGUUGUAUGGUUUCAUGUAUAUACAUUUAUUGUACUACUUUAGACAAUUUUUAAUUUAAUGUUUCUAUGAUUAGAUGUGUGUAUAACUAAUUGUAUUAUUAGUUAAGAUGGGAGCUAAAGAGGAUGAAAGGUAUAUAAUGGAGCAGAUUAUUGCUAGCUCAAACGUUGCAAGAACCUACACCGAGGGUGAGGGUAGCUAGGUGGACAUGUACCUCAACAUGUCCAGUGAUGGCAAUGACGAUGAGGAGCACGAGCAUGACAUCUAUGAUAAUGCGGAACAAGACAUUGCAGAAUUGGAAGGUUCUAAUGAGGUGUGCUUCAUGUUGACAAUCUAGUUGGCUUUUUUUCGUUGGUCACACCUUAGUUACCAUAGAACUUCGUCUCGGGAGAAGAUUGGUGGUGGUAUGGUGAUUGGAAUUUUAUUUCCACGAAAUCUGAUUUCCAUCGAAUCAUAUCCCUUGUAUUUAUCUUCUUUUUAUUUGUGAGAGCAUCUUCUUUAUGCUUGCAAAACAAUUCAAGUGCACAUACUACCCCUAGGGUGACGAUUGGGAGUAGAAAUAAUUGCCAACAAAACAACACCACAUCCUAAGAUUCUUAACUUGUGGCAUAAUUAGUCUAGUAAAAAGAAAGAUAAAAACCUAAUGGGUGUAUGUGAGUGCAAUGUGUAUAUGCAUAUGAGUGGAAGGCAUAUAAGCAAAGACAAUAUUUACACAUAGUUCUAAACACCAUGUUUACAGCUAGGUUGCUGAAUUUCUCCAUAGCCAUAGAGAUUAAUUAACCAAGGUCAAAACACGAUGUCUAUCCCAAGAUCAGUAAUUAUUUAUAGCACAAGAAAAAGAAAGCGCAUUGCAAAGUUUAUAAACCAACCAAUACAGCAUGAAAACAAGAUGAAUAGCUAGCAAGGUUUAUUAAACUGAAUGAUGACGGUCUGUAAGCAAGUUUAAACACCAUCUUUACACAAGAUUGCAAAUGGAAAAUGCCCAUAUGAAGCACUAACAUGGAUAUGAAAUCAUUCAUCAUAAAGCGUAAAGAACAACCAAGCCAACCAUAUGCAAAGCAUGAAUGGAAUGCAAUGAAGGUGCAAGAGAACAUUUUUGGAUGAACACAUUAUGAUGAUGGCAAAAUGCAAUGCAUGCAGAAAAAAUAAAUAUGAACAUGAAUAUGAUGAUCAGGGGCGGACCCACUAUUGUGGCCUGGGUAUUCCUCGGCAUACCCAAUAUUUUUGGGAAAAUGUUUAGUAGUUUUUAAUGGCAUAUACAUGUAUAAUAUAGUUUAGGUGUUAAAAUUGAUAUUCACAGCUAUUUUGGGCUCCAAUUCGCGUCCAAACCAACCUGGCCCACAGACCGCACCCGGCCGCCCGGCCCAUCGGCCCAUCUUGUCACUGAUCCUCCCACCACCACACUCAGCCCGUCAGUUAGUCAGGUCCCGAGCUCCUGCCUGACCUAGUCCGCUACCACCGCCAGGCGCCAGGCACAGCUGUACACGCCGCCCCCGUCCACCCACGUCCGCCGCACGGCCGCGUCGCGCCCCCCCCCGGCGCCCGCUGCUGCCAGAACCCAUUAGGCCUCCACCGGCAAGUCCACCCACAGUCCCGCGCGACGCGGCAGCCUCUUGGCUCUCGGCGCUCGCGGCGCGCCAAUGCCUGCGCAGCCCCAGCAGGCGACUGCCCCCCCCCCCCCCGCAUCGGGCCUCGGCCCCUCCCCAGCUCCCCCUCCCCCCUCCACCAGGACUGCCUGCUGGCCCCCACCGCGAGGUAAUCGAAAUGGACUGCUCAAUCUCUCAAUCUGUUGACAUGAUGCACACGGUUGCAAAAAUAGAUGUGUCAAAAUAGAUGUAUUGCCAAUUGCUAUAGAUGCAUAUGGUUGACAUGAAGAAGUCAAAAAUGACAUUUGGUUCCUUGUAGGCAGUCAAAAAUGAAGAAGUCAAACAAUAUUGAUCUGAAAUCAAUGCGGGAAAGGGCUACGAAGACACACGGGUAGAUUCCCUUGUGAACUUUUUAUGUCGUUCGUCUAAAUAUAUUUUUGCAAUGGGCAUACCCUACUCUGAAAUCCUGGGUCCGCCACUGAUGAUGAUGGUCUAAACAUAAAACAAGCCUAGAUUAAUUAGCUACAACUGAAAUUAAGCAAAGGUUAAUGUCAUUGACCCUAGCUCUAUCCUAGCUUUUACUAAAGUCCCGGCACAUAUAGUGGUUGGGCCCACUCUCUCUACUUCCCUCUCUGCUGCAUGCACACACACGAGCAACUGGAGGCCCAACAAAGCCCAGAAGGGUUCGGCCGAACCCGUCCGAUCCAGUCUGAGCGCCGCUCCCUCCCAGCCUUCGCGCAGAUGCUCCUCCAACGUUCCUUGACCCCUCCCUCAGUGUCCCAUUGGGUUUAACAUUGUAGGAGAGGAGUCCCUUUUUUAAAAUCUCAACCACCUCCUCUCCUCAUUCACUCCACUCUCAUCUCCAUCAAACUCACCAAGAUCCACAUCGGAAAUACCUGCUUACCACCAUGGCUGGCAAAGCCCUCGUCCCUUUCACCAACUUGGGCUUGACCAUUGAUCUCGAUGGGAAAAUCACUCCAGCAAAUGUCAUUGUCCCUGUCGGCGAUCUGGCGAUGGAGGAGGUCCAGGCACUAGAGGUCGAGCCCCUAGCCAUCAUACCGCCCAAGGGGUAAAGCAGGAGCAUGACAGGCGCUGCUAGGGGUUCAGCCGAACUCCCAGUUCAGCCAAACGAGGACGGCGUCGCCUCGGCCUCCCGCUCGACUGCAUGCUUCCCCUUGCCAAGGAGGACUCCAGAACAGCGGGCGCGUGCGUCAAGUCCCUACAAAAGGCUGAAAUACAAUGAAUAUCCAGGGUCACCCUUGAAGAUGGGUGAACGCUACGCCGGGUCCUUGUUUGACUAGUACGGCGAUGCAUUCUGCCACCGCUAUGUCGUUGUCGAGAUUAGCGGAUCAAGACUUAGACUAGUAAAUUUCUUUUAUGCGCGUAAGGCUUCAGAUGGUGGCGUGGGAGACAUGGGUUUUAUACUAGUUCGGGCAAUGGAAUACCCUACGUCCAGUGUCUGGAGCUGCUUGUGUUGCCCACGCGGGGUUCUGUAGUAGGGGUUACAGGUGUGCGAGAGAGGGAGCUAAUCCCAGGUCUCUUAGGCGUGUUCCGGUCCUCUAGAUGGGAGAAGUGUGUUCUGUUUGCUUGGGAGUAUCGGUUGUGUCUGAGUUGUCUCCGGAGCCUCCUCCCGUCUCAGGUCCCCGAUUCUCCUUUCAUAGCACAAGGAGACCAUCGGGGUUACAGACGAGACCGAGCGUGGGGAGGAGUAAAGAGAUAAACAUAGCUAGGUAAAAAUACAACAAGAAAGGGGGGAACCAAGUUUCUAGGUCACCGGCGUCCUCGCCGGCCUUCGACUUCCGCCGGCGCAUUUGUCGGAGGAGGGUGGCCGCCAUCGCGUUCUGUCGAUGGCUUCCUCGGUGACUGUAGCCACCGGGCGUGAUGAUGGCAUUUCGUCGUGACCCUUUGUCUGUUGGGGGAGGCGGCGGAUCCUGCCAUUCUGCUGACGGCUCGCGGAGUGCGAACGUCGCAUCCCUGCCGCUGGGCACGCGGGGCGCGAGAACGUGCGAGGCUUCCCCCUACCCCAGGCGGCGCAGGCCAUGAGUGCCCUGUGGCAAAUCGGAGGAGGCCGCAGCUACUGUAGCUUGUACUGUGCAGCCACGUAUGGGUACUUGUGGCAGGUUGCGUGGUGGAUGCGGAUAUCCUUCUCCCUGACAGAUCUGCGGCGCAUUUAUGGCGAGAUCGACAUGGGGACCCACAAGACCCGCGCCCAAGGCGGAUACUUGUCUGGAGGGCCCGGGUUAGCCUGACCCCCUACGCUUGGGGUCGGGCGAGGCGGAGACUUGCGGCGGGGCGUCGGACGCUCCCGACACUAGACCUGCGGUCGCGCAAGGCGGAGCUUGGUCUUCCGGGGGUCGGGGGUGCCGGACCCCAGGAUGCGGGGUCGGGCGAGGUGGAGCGUAAUUCUUGCCUCCCAUGUUGGGCCGAUGGCAGUCUUUGUUACCUCUAGUGGGCUUGGGCCUUUAUGUUUUGUUGUUUCCAUGGGCUUCGAGAGGUCGUUAAUAUUUCCCCCCAACAGUAGCCCCCGAGCCUGUGGUGGAGUGGGGGCGCUCCUCCGGAGGCUACUAUCAUCGCCCCUAGGGAAUCCUCGCAGUUGAUCCGGGAUAGGAGGUGUUGUUUGCACGGCUUGACCGAGGGGGUCGAUUAGGCGACGCAUCCUGUGAGCGACUCGGUGCGGGAGGGUUUCUUGUUGUUCCCUUCUGUCUGAGAGCCUUAAGUCGAGACCACCUGCGUGGCCUUUGGUUGCAAGGCCAGCCCCCGAGCCCCCGCACGUUGCAGGGGACCGGUCGGAGGCUAGGUCGACUUUUGUUCAUUACCCUCAAGCGUCUGUUCGCUAGGACGGAGGGGGCGAGCCGUGCCAUGCUAUCCUCAUCGGACGAACCAUGGUGCUCAUUGAGUUACUAACGGGUUGAUUCGAGUGGGAUCCCGGUCCCCGUUCGGGGGGGGUCCGGCUUGGGCCAAGCUGGUGGCGUACCCCAGGCUCCGGUCGGCCAGUUCAUAUAGUUCCUGAGUCCGUUCGGUCGGACCGGGGGCUCAUUGCCUUUCUUCGGGGAAAAACCAUGAACUUUGAUGCCGGUCCAGACUCGAAUGUGAGAUUGAGACGCCCGGGGCUGUCGCGUGCCCGGGUGAUGGCCGCUAGCGGACCCGUCUCCUCUCACCCCUCACUCGGGGGUAUCCUGAGGCGGCUGUCGAACCCGUGGCGGGCCAGCCUUCGAACCUCUGGAUCGUAAUGGGCCGUAGGGGCGUUUUCAGCCCCGUAUCCCUUUUUACCUUUUGGUGGGCCUUGGGCCGAAUCAUGGAGGAGGUCGGGCCUUGGGCCGGAUGCGGAGGAUGUCGUGCCUUGGGCCGGAUGUGGGGGACGUCGUGCGUGUCUUCCGGGAGACGAAGUGGUGGAGGGUGCCAACCCGCGAAUCGAGGGAGGAGGGGAUGUUUCUACUGCAGGUCAUGCGCACGGUUUCCGAAAAGGCAGCGGGCGUGACGGGACGUACCUCGCGCCGCAUUUAUUGCGAUGGGGGCGUCUGUUCUGCUUCCCUCGUGCCUUCCCUAUAAAACGAGGACUUCGCCUCGCCGGUUCCGCCCGCCAUCUACCUUCAAGCCUUUUCGCCUCCUCGCGCGCCCUUAGCUUUCCUGUGCCCGCUUCGUCUUCCUCCGCCCAGUGCCGCGCCCUUUCUCCCCAUCCGCCGUCGAGUUCUUCUCCCUCCGGCGAUGGGAUCCUGGGCGCGUUCCCACUUCGGCCCCUCACGCGCCGAAGGCCUAGUGAGGAAAGGCCUCCUUUGCGAGAGGACGGAGACGGAUGAGUGGGGGUUCCCUGAGAUGGAAGAGGUGCCGACUCCGCCCACCGGCUACGUCGUUUCCUUUGCCCACUUCCACGAGAGGGGGUUUGCGACUCCGCCGAGCCUCUUCUUCCGCGGGCUUUUGUAUUACUACGGGCUUGAGCUGCAGCACCUCAACCCCAACGGGAUUCAGCACGUCGCGGCGUUCGUUGCGGUGUGCGAGGGGUUCCUGGGCAUUGAGCCCAACUUCUCGCUGUGGAAGUACUUCUUCACGGUCAGCCUAUACCAGAAGGCCGAGAAGAGGGGAAGCCAGCAGCGGUCGACCCCGGUGCCGAUAGGGUGCGUCGGAAUCCACCUCUGCCAUACUCGCGCCAAGGAGUAUAUCGCGAUGAAGACCGCGGCAUCCCACAAGGGGUGGCACCAGCAAUGGUUCUACGUGAAGAACUACUCCAACCCCCCCUGCCGGAGUUCACCGGCCGCAUUAUUGAAGCGGCGCCGGAGGUGUGGGUGUACGGCCCGGUGGAGAAGGAGAAGAAGCGGAUCACCGGCCUGCUGCAGGCCAUCGAGCACCUGAAGGAGAGGGGACUGACCGGAGCCGGAGUCAUCGGGGCGUACCACGCCCGGCGGGUGGCGCCGCUGAUGCUCCGGGUCCGCUCGCUCGCCGACAUGACCCCCGGUGCUCUCACCGAUGGCACUGUCCUCGCGACGGGUGCUCUCGCUGCCUCCGAGAUCCGGCAGCGGAUCCGGGAGGCGCUGGAGGACAAGGACGCCGAUUACCCGGUGCCCGGCCACCCUCCGAUGCGCCCGGACGAGAAUUUCAUUGAUCUGGUAAGGAUUUUGCGCGCCAGUUUCCCUCUCUUGCGUUUCUUGGUAUGCCGUUCUGACGCGAGGCCCUCUGUGUUUGCAGGGUAGCAUGACCCGGGUCGUCGACUUGCGUCCGCCAGUGUCGGAGGACGCCGAGUGGCGGUAGCAGAACCGUCUCCUUGCCGAGAAGCAAAAGUGACGCAAGGACAAGAGACAGCGAAGAAGAAGAAGAGGGCCGCCAAGGAGUUCCAGCGGCGGCGGUGGGGAUAGGUCGUGUCGGAUGACGAUGACGAUGAGAAGGAGGAGGAGGAUGACGAGGAGGAGGAGGAGUUUAUCCUGUCCCCCCGGUCAGGGGCGCUUGUUAUCCGGGAGCCGCGCUCCCAAGCGGCCAUGGGGGACAAGGCGGGCGAGCUGCCUGCCCGGACCCGAUCCUGCGAAGCUUUGGGGGCGCGCCCCAGGGGUCGGCGCAGAGCGCCCCCCGGGGGUCGACGGAGCCGACCCCCAUCCCUACACCUGCAGCCCAGGAGCAGAGGAGCAGCGACAAGCGGCCGUUGCCAGAUGCCCCGGGGUCGGCGUCCAGCUCAGAGGCGAAGCGCGCGCGCCGCCCUUGCGCUGGGGGAACGUGAGUUGAAUUUCCUUGCGAAUCUCGUUCCUUUCCAUGCAUUGUGUUUGUUUCCGCUGAUGCUGUUUGUUGUCUCACAGCACCGCCCCUCAAGGCCUUGUCCCGCCGUUGGCGCCAAAGAAGGCGUUGCGGUGUUGUCGCCUCUGCGGGGCGGACCGCGGCUCCGCCGGCGGCGAGUGGCGGGGUCACUGGUGAGACCGCGGGUCCUACCGCGGAGGUGGCCCCUGCGGCGGCAACCGGUGGAGUGGUGCCACCGCCGGGCAUGGGACAGGGUCUGGACCCCGCUCCGUCCUCCGCCUCUUCGGCCGACCCCGCGGUGCAGAGUAUCGCUCCUGGGGGCCCUCAGGCCGGGGAGGUGAUUGACCUCGACGCCGACGAGGUGGAGGAGACGGCGGCGGUGGAGACGGGGGCGGUUGCCCCAGCGGCCAUGACGGGGACGACGACGGCGACGGGGGAAGGAGAGUCUACCCCCGCGGCCACGGCGGGGACAGUGGCGACAGAGGAGGCGGGGACGCCCGCCCCGGCGGCUGCGACGGAGGAGGCGGCGGUGACGGAGACGGGGGCUUCCGCCCGGGAAGCCACAGCCGAGGUGGCAGCGGCGACGGAGGUGAAAGUGCCUGUUCUGGAGGCCACGGUGGGGGUGGGGACGCCUGCCUCGUGGCCACGACGGAGGGCGAGGCGGCCCCAGGGACACUUGCUCCGGCACCCGCGUUGGAGGCGGUGGCGCCGACGGGUUGGCCCGUGGCGGCCUCGACGGGGGCGGGGGUGCGUGCGCCGGGACCGUCGGUGAGGCCGGCGACUUCCGGGAUGGUGGUGCCCGUCUUGACGGCGGCGGCGGCGCGGUCGGCCCCCGCCCUUGCCUCUACCACUCCCAUUCCCAAGGCGUGGAGCGGAUCCGUCCUGCGUUGGUCGUCUCGUGACGACCCGCAGAGGCCCCUCUUCACGUUGGAUGAUGCCACAGAAUGGGGCAAGUGGCAGGCGCUGCAGGGCGGACUCGCUAACGUCCGCGCCGCUCUAUCUUCGGCGUUGGGGGAGCUGGACGGCGUCAUCUUCCCCGGUGGCCGGGUAUGGUGCUUUCUCCGUUGGUUAUUUUCUUCCCGUUACUUCGUCCCUGAUGGCACAUUGUUCUGCAGGCCCUCCAAGAAUGUAGCCGGGGAAAAUCUGAUUUCCUUUGGCUCGAGCAGGGGCUCUGGGAGCGCUUCAACUUGGAGUUGCAGCGGACCGGGGAGCUGACCAUGCAAGUCGCCACCGUCUAGCAUGUCAUCGACGAUCUGCGAAGGCACGAGCAGGCGGCACAGGAGGACGCGCGGCGGGCGGAGGCCAAGUUCCAGGUCGUUGCCGAAAGGGCUCGCUGCGACCGCGAGGAGUUCCAGGCCGUUGCCGAAAAGGCCCGCCACGACGCUGAGGAGCUCGCACGGCUGAAGGUGCAGCAUGAAGCUCUUCAGAAGAGCGGCAGAGGGCCUGGCAGGACCGGGACGCCGAGAAGGUCCGGAAGGAGGAGGCUGAGAAGGUGGCGGCCAACCUUGGGGCUGAGGUCAGCCAGCUCCAAGUGCAAGCGCGAGAGCUUCAGGCCUCCGUGGCCCAGGGGCUCGACCAGGAGCGCCAGCUGAAGGCCUAAUCCGAGGGUAUGACUCUGUUUAUUUCUUUGUCUUUGUGAUGUUGCGGUGAUAUUUUAUUUGGCGGGUUCUUCUGGAUGAUCCUUGCAGAUGAGCUCAACUGGCUGAGGGAGGUGCUUGACGCGGAGCGCGCUGAGCACGGCGACCUGCGGGACGCGGUCCGCGUCAUCUGUGACUUCCUUAGUGUGGUCCAGGGGGAGGGGACGAGCUCGCUGGCGGCUCGUGUCCUCGGGACGUACCGCCGGACCAGCGAGAUCGCCCUGGAAGCGCUUCGCACCGGCUUGAGGCAAGCCUUUGGGGUCUUCGGCUCCCACUAUUCCGGCAUCAACUUCGCCGGGAUGAGCGGGGGAUACGCCACCGGCUACUACGAGGCCGAGCUGGAUGAGAUCGACGUGUCGGUGCUCAGCCCGGCGGAGGCCUUGGUGAAGCUCCUCGAGGAUGAGGCCGUCCCGCCCGAAGAUCCCCGGACGAGUUAACUAUAUCGGGCUGGCGCCCCAGAUGUAAAUACGUUAGGGAAAGACUUGUUUUUUGUGAGGGCCGUAGAGGCCUUUUCUAUGAAUUGUCGUAAAAAAGUUUUUGAUUCCCUUUCUUGCUUUUUGGACUUGGAAAGUUUAGAGCACGUUGUCGGGCGUGUCAGUAAGCUUUGAUGAGCGAAGGCACCGUAGCCGCUGGGGCGUCGUUUUUUUUGCAGUCCGAUCAAUCUUGCCUGAACACCGUUCGUGCACUUUCUCCUUUUUAUGCCCAAAAGUUCAGAAAGAGGGUCGGCUCGGAAAGAGAAAGCGUUUUGAGAGGGUGUCAAGUGGCUUAGGUACUUGCGGCAGGUUGCGUGGUGGACGCGGAUAUCCUUCUCCCUGACAGAUCUGCGGCGCAUUUAUGGUGAGAUCAACAUGGGGACCCACAAGACCCGCGCCCAAGGCGGAUACUUGUCUGGAGGGCCCGGGUUAGCCCGACCCCCUACGCUUGGGGUCAGGCGAGGCGGAGACUUGCGGCGGGGGGUUGGACGCUCCUGACCCUAGACCUGCGGUCGGGCGAGGCGGAGCUUGGUCUUCCAGGGGUCGGGGGCGCCUUACCCCGGGAUGCGGGGUCGGGCGAGGCGGAGCGUAAUUCUUGCCUCCCAUGUUGGGCCGACGGCAAUCUUUGUUACCUUGGGUGGGCCUGGGCCUUUAUGUUUUGUUGUUUCCAUGGGCUUCGAGAGGUCGUUAAUAUUUCCCCCCAACACUAUGAGGAGGACUUGUGGGCAGAAAGUCAGCUACCACAAACUUGCCUCUGAAUAUUUGGAGUGCAAACAUUGGAUGGUGGUUGUGGAGAGCCCCAGCCAUACCUCGCACCCGUGGAGAGGUAAUUGUCGGAUUGCUUGGUUCGUCUCUAGAAUGCGACAAGGUCAGGCGCCACCUCUCACUGCUGCCAGUCAGAAGGCCGAGGGGCCAGUUUCAACAUAGUAAUGAGAAUCUCCGAAGGCCAAUAUGGUUAAGCAGCUAACCUCCAUGAUCAUAGACUUACGUUUAGAAAAUAGGAGGCUUAGCGAUGCGUUAACAGAGCAGAAGUUAGAAACAGAAGAACUUAAGGACGACUUCCGUGUCCUCCGCCUUGGUCUUUGUGCUAAGAUAAAGCGCUUGUACAAUGCCACGGGGAAUGACGGUCUCUACGAUGCAGCUCAAUAGACGUGCCCCUUGUAUCCUUUCCUUUAGGCACUUUAGAAUAUGUUUAUUUGUUUUCCUUCAUUUUAAUUUCCAAUAGAUUGUUAGCGCCUCCAAUUUAAUUUCAAUAAAGUGUAGACUCACCGGUCAUCCAACUUGAUGGAGUCCUUUUGUCACCUAGUUGUCUUUGGAAGAAGUAGCUGGGUACAAAAUAAGUGUGGGGGAGAGCCACAGACUCUCUAGAGCUGAAACAAUGCACAACACCCACAAAUAGAGAAAACCACGCUGCACCAGCACGUACGUGAAAGUGGAGCCAGAGCUGGACCCAUAGGGGUUUGGCCAACCCAAGGGGUGGCCCACUCGGGCCAUCUUCAUCCACCGCGUCGGUUUGUGUCUCUUUACCCCUGAUCUCCCUGAUUCAUGAGUUUGAAUGAAUUUUAAAUCUGAUCAACUAAUUCAAACUCAACUAAAAUGAAUCAACUGCUCCACCUGCUCUACAUGUUUUCUAUGGUUGGCUUGCAUAUGUUUUAUUUCAUGCUUAUCAUCUUGAUGCUUGUGAACAAAUAUCUUUAGGACAGCAUGCUCAUCUAAGUAGUUGAUGUGUAUGAUAUGGUUCGAUGAUAUGAUCUUCACUCUUAAUGCUUAAGUGCUUGGGAAAAUCUAUUUGAAAAUUUAAAAGCCUUUUUGAAAUCUCCUCUUUGAUGUGCCAAAGUCCUACCAAAGCCAUAUGAUAAGUUAUCUUGAAAAACCAUUUGCAUAUGUUGCUUGUCUUUGCAUUGAGCUUUGUCAAAUUGGUGUGACCCUUGUCACAAUUCUUUUCAUACUUUCAUGAUCAAGACUCAUGUGCACGCCAUAUACCCCUUGCUAUGCUUCUAUGAGAUGUUAGCAUUGUACCAUCCAUUCAUUCCACAAAAUAAAUGCUCCACCAUAUGUGUUGGUCUCCUUCUAAGAUUAUUGUUACAAAAGAGAUAUGGGCUAUCAAAAAAAAAUAUGAAUGUCCAAGAAAGUUGGACACAUGAAUGUCCAAUAAAAAGAAAAAGAAAGAUAGCCAUGUCCUCAGAAAUAUUUACAAAGGGAGAGAGAUCAUACAAAAAGGAGUUUCCAUUCCAUCCACCACAUCCAUACAUGUGCACAUCUUGAUCUGAUUGUAUGACUUAUUUUUCUCUUUGGAUCUGGUCUUUGACUUUGCAAUAUAUGUGAUGCAAGCAUGCCUUAUCCUUCAUAGCCUACCUUGAGCUCCACAUAUAGCCAUCAUUAGAAGUAGGAUGAAGAAAGGCAAGUCUAAUGCCUUGGUGAGGACAUAUACACAUUGAGUGAUCUGAGAGAAUCAAAUGAGGAGCUAAGCAAGGUUUUGUUUUGAAAACUAAUUGAAAAAUCCCAAGCUACUUGGCAUAAGGAGUUGAGGUGACUUGAUUCAAGACCAUUACAUUCCUCAACUACCCAAGAUGGCAUGAUAGACACUCCAAAGUUCACAAGUGCAGGUAUGGUUUGGAAUAUCUUUUAGGCUCGCUUCAUACCUUUGAAAGUUAUGUUUCACCUUAGUCCUUUCUCGUUCACUCAAGGAUAAGCAAAGGCUAAGUGUGGGGGUGUUGUUGAUGGCUCUUAAGUACAAAAUCUGCGCCAUCAACUCUUGCAUAAACACAUAAAAUAUGAGCAUCAACAAUAGUGGUAGGAGUUAUUACAAACGAAUUCCACAAGUCUUGGUGAAUAUUUGUAUGCAAGCCCAAUAGGAGAGAAAAGACACCUCAAAAGCAAGGAAACACACUCUCAACCAAUCAAGAGCAAGCACAUGGAACCAUGGGCCCACAACCAAAAGGAAAUCGACUACAUUCCAAACACCCUAUACCCACAUGAGAACCCAUAGGGCAGUGACCCAGAGCAAAGGUGAUGCCAGAGUGUAGAUGGUAGUUAGCAUGCCAAAUUUUGAACCGCAAGCGCUCGGAUUAGUUGUUUCUUUUCCCUUAGAGAUUCCCCCAAGGUUUAUCAAUCCAUGGAACAAGGGAUUUGCACGUUUCACUAAGCACUAAUCAAUGUAAUUGAAAGCUUUUCGAAUAAGAUAUGAUUAUGCUAACAAAGGAACUAAGCAAUCUAGAUUAAGAUGGAUAGAGAGUACAGGUUGUGAACAAGAUAGAUUAAACGCUUGUAGAUGCAAUCACCAUGCAUGAAUGAAUUAGAUCUAGGUGUUAUUGUGAGUGGUUGUGAACCAUGCCCAACACUUUCCCACCCGCAACAUUGUCACUACAUGUGGGUACUCAACUAUCGGAACAUAAGAACACAUCAAGAUGAUCAUUCUAGGUAAGCAAAUAAGCAACCCAAAGUAGCGCUGGCCAGCCUUUUCAUGAAAGAGCAUCAUCAAGAUAAGAUUGAUAACAAAAUAGAUCUCAACCAAAGGUUCAGCGAUUACAAAUCAAGAUCUUCGUAUAACCCCGAUGACAAAUAGAGGUAUUACCCCCAUGAUCUUACACAUGUUGAUGAAUUUUAGGGUAAAGGACACCCUGUAGAUCAACUGGACCAAAGAUGAUGAUGAACGGGGGCAGGGAAGGCCCAGGUUGAUCAGCCUGCGCACUUUUGAGCCGAUCAGCUCAGGGGGUUUCCUCCUCCCCUGGUGCUCCUCUUCGCGUGGCCUCCUCUGGAUCCAAUCUUCUCUUCAUUUCUCCUACUUGUGGCGGCAAUGGAUGGUGUUUGCAUGGUGAUUUCCUCUUCUCCCCAACUCUCCCUCCUUGAAGUCCAUGAGGGGGUAUUAAUAGUCUCCAAUAGGCGGCAGCUCUGGGUCAAUGUCAGUGAAAAAAUCCUAGAGAUCAUCGUACACUUCAUGCUGAGGAAACAAGAGGUUGACCGAGCCCUGGGAUAGACCAAGAGGAUCAUCCUAGAGGGUCCCAGGCUAAUCGGUCUAGGCCCUUCCUAGCCCUUCUAGUCCUCUCCUUCCUCGUGCUGGCUUUUCUCGAUGACCCUUGUCCAAAUAUCCAUGAAGCUCUAUAUACAUACCCCCUUGAUUAUGUUGUAUUUCCUGUCAAAAUACAAUGCUCCAAAAUACAACACAUAUGCAAUAAUAGGGUUAUUUCAGGUGCCAAUUGGUGGGUUAGUAUACGAAUAAGCAUGAAAAUACUGUUUAAAUGACACUAAAAGUGUGUCAAUAACGAGCACCAACAAUCCCCCCACGCUUAGAUCUUGCUCGUCCUCGAGCAAGUCUAGCGACUAAAAGAUCUUGAAUUAAACCUGAGCAAGCGAGUCAAGUACCUAGCCUUGAAACAAAAGAUUAGAGGAGCAGCAAAGAUAAUCAAAGUCUGGGUGUUCAAAGAUUUAUCUAAGCAAAGAUUCCCCUACAACUAUUAUUCAGAACCAAGUAACUUCAAAAAUCAACUACACUUAUUUUCUGGCUUUUUUCAGAGGGUUUUUCUUUCAUCAUAAAACAAUCUCCCUGCAACAAAAUUGAAAAAAGAAUUAUUUUCAAGGUGCUUACAUGUCGCUUAAAUGAAUGUUGGCUAUCCUACUUAUUUGCAAGCUCUCAUCUCUCAAAAUUCAUUCAAUUAUAUGGUGGAGUUUGGGUAAGGUUAGCUAGAAUCAACACGUAUAUUAUUGAAUUAAGAAAACCCUCUAACGGUGGCCUACCUUCCGAGCCAUUGAUCAUAAGAAUAUCCACAUAAUGUGAAGUUUUCAAGGAUGAGAAGAUAUAGAAUGGUGGACAUGUGCAAAGGCAAAGAAAUAUAGUGACUCUGAGGCACAAGCAAUGUCCUCGUCGUUGGAUUGCAUAUGGUUGUAAUGAAAAUAUGUUCCUUAAACAAGUCUAUCUUUUCUUUGCACCACUCUUGAUCUUCAUGACAGUAAAAACUCCUCCUUUAUUUCUUUCUCUCUUUUCCUAUUAUUUCUUUUUAUUUGUCUCAAUACUUUUAUUUCUUUAUUUCUUUAUUUUAAUCUCUUCUCUGAACCUCUUCUGAACACCACAUAAUAAAAAUAAGUUUUAGAUCCUUCCAGAGACCUUCCAGGAAUUUGCUACAUGAAAACCGAGGCAAGGAGACCCCAGGCCGAUUGGCCUAGCCACUCCUUUGCUCUCCUCUAGCUCUUCUUUCUGGUGAAGCUUCCUUAUCUUGUAUCUUUCCAAAAAUUUCAUAAAGCUCGACUAGAAACGGAACAGAUCUUCAUAUAAUGAGUUGUGUUCAAGGAAUUGGUAAUAAAAUUGAGAAAUUUGUGGUUCGGGUUUACGAAUUCAGUACAAAAAUAUGAUUGUUCCAAUGAAGAACUCUCAUUACUGAAUAUUGACGAGGCAAGCAUUCAAAGAUGGUAAAAAGGAUAUGAUCAAUUCUCAAAAUUAAAGCAAACCAAGAGAGAGCGAUCCUAAUUCAAUUCAAAGUGUCAAAUGUUGCUUAUGGUGGUAUGAAUAAAUAUUUUUAGGCAUUGGGUAGGAUAAAUAAAAACUCUCAACCUGGUUAAAAGAUAUUGAUCAAUCUUGUUUUUGCAGAGGUUUUAAAUAAAAAAUAAAAUUUUAAAUCACCUCCAAUUCAAAGCCUUACUCAUAAAUCAUAAUCAAAACUGAAGCACUUGAUCAUCAUAAAGCAUGGGUAUUGCAUAAACAAAUCGAUUACUAAAACUCCACAACUACGAUUUAGAAUUCAAGACAAUGCUCAUAAUCUAAAGUUGCAAAGAUAAAAUAAAAGACAACCAAGCCAAGGUAGACACUAAAAACACUUGCACGAUCCUUGAAUUUUAUUCAUGCUUCUUCUCACAAAGACGCUAAAGUAGCCAUGUAGGCCUAAGUCUUCCCAAAAGCUUAAGAAAACUACUACUUUAUCUACUUUUGGUUGAAAUAAAAAGACUAAUCUAGACUCUCACAUGAUUCGACUCGACCAAAUUAGAUCCAAAAACUCAUACGAGCGACGAUCUCCCCCCCCUCACGCUUAAAAUCUACGACCUCCUCGUCGUAGCCAUAUGGAGUACAAGGAAAAGAAGCUUGUAAACGCUCUAAUGACGCUACCCGCACUACUUGCACACGGGAUGGUUGCUGCUUCCUUCGCUUUGUUCUUCCUCAUGUUGCUGCACAUCCCGAAGAGCUUCCUCACGUUCCUCUGCAAGAACUUGAACUCGUCCUCCUGACGGCGAUCAUUAUCUUCUGCCUUUUGAUCCAGAGCUUGUAAGGCUUGCAUGAUGUCAUCGAACGCAUCGAAGAGGUAGUGGAUGUUCUUCCUGCAAGCUGUGGAACAUGUACGAUCAUGCUCCUCCGAUUCUGGCCCGUCGUCUUCUAGAUCCUUCUCUUUGCCCUUGUCUUGACGGUGGCUAUCUUGCUCCUUGCUCGCCUUCUUGCCUUCAGCCCAAUCCCAGUACGUGUUGUCAUCUUCUUCAUCGUCACGGCCUGCAGCACCCUAUGAUCCAUUGUCUAUCUUGUAUGAAAGAAUCAGAAGCUUGUUCUCCUCAGGGUGUCUUGCGCGGUGCAGCGUUUGCAAGUGCAAGACUUGCUAGUUCCUUUUACACAUUGUAAUGUUCAUUGCAUGCUCUAAUUGUUCUACAUUUGUAAUUUCUUGGUGAAGUUUGGUUACUGAUCCACUGUUUGAUUAACUCUUGGGCCCAAACACUGUACUACUUCUGAUUAGAUAUCUGUAUCUUGACUUUGACCAAAAAAAAUAUCCGGCAGUUUUUGCCAUUAAAGUUUCAUAAAUCAUCUUGCAAAAAUCGUACUAUACAACAAGGGACGGUUUAUUAUAAAAUAUACGUUCCCCUUAUCACAUGCCACUUCCACUCAAAAGGCAACGAAUCAGUUUUCAAUCCUGAGUGAGCAAUUUGCUUUUAUUACCGAUGCCUCCUAUUCCCUUGUGCACCAAGUUUAUUUUGGAUAGGGCUGCAAAAAACGACUAACCAGCUCGGAUUCUCCACCUGCAAAACCGCAUCUGCAGCAACCAACCCCACGCGGUGGAAAAAAAAACAAAACCUAGAAACCGGACGGGGGUGGAUGUGGGGCUCGGAGCCCAAGCAAAAAACGGAUCGGGAGCGCCGGAGCAGGCCAUCACCGGAUGUUAGAGAUAGAAAAUGGUUGAAGUUUGGAGUGGAAAUCAAACAAGCCUUGGAGCAAAGGAAAAAAAAAGAUCAAACCACUCAAGCAUUCAUUUGAUUUAGAAAAGAGAACAUUUGUUAAGGUGGGGAGUUGAAAUCAUCUUUUAAUUAGUUCCACGUAUCUGGUAUCAUUACAGUUGGUUUACUUGUGUAAGUAUAAGUAGCUCUGCCGAAGCCUUUGCUCCUAUAAUUUAGUAACUAGUACAAAUGGAUCAAUAGGAAAAUCAAGUUGCAAUCAUUUCUCAGCCAACCAAACCUAUGUAAAUCAAAUUAUUGUCCAUGCCCGGCAUGCACAGGUGCCUGCCAUGCAUGCAUUGUUGCUCCAUUGUAAUAACCAUUAUUGUCCAUCGAUGUUGCAGCGCAUGUGUGCACUGUGCAGACACCAAGCAUCGAGAUUAUGUACUAGUAAGGUGUUGAAAUAAUGGGCCUAGCCCAUAAGUAAUUUCAGAAUUUCAAAUAAAUCUCAAAGGCCCAUGUGGGCAAGAGGUGGAGUGGUGCAAGUCUUUAGUCCCACAUUGCUAGUCGAGGGGAGGGAUGACCAACUUAAAUAUGGAAGUUGUCUCCACUCCUCCAAGCUAUGUGUGAAGGGCGCGGGCGCGAGGCACUUGCGUGAAUGGUCCGCCGAAAUCUGGCCCCCCUUGCGGGGGCGCGGCUUCCUUUUGCCGUUUUAUUUUUUGGUUACUUGGUCGUUAAGUCAUGGAAUCCUAACCGGUUUAGAUCACGAUCGUGAAGGUUUUUGGGAAGCGCUCUGCGCGACUGCUCGAUCGCUUCUUCCGCUUCGUCAAGUUCUUCGUCGACUCCUUCACCACGGCUCGUCUACCUCUUCGUCGCUCGGGCCUCACUCGUCGUCGCGAACAACGUCAGGCUGCUGAUCGUCGUCGCCUGCUGUAUCCGGUAGUCGUCCAGGAGCCGGUUUUCAUCAAGAAAGAAACGUACGGUCUCUUAACUCACAUUAUGUCUUCCAUACUAGCUAUUAUGAUUGUUGCAGUCUGAUAGCUCUGGAUAGUAUGGUAGAAUGUCUGAUUCUAUUUGCAAUGAUAGACUUGUCUAGAUCUUGCGUAGACAUGUCUAGUUUAAUCUGCUGCUUGUUCAUCAUAUUCAUGAUUUAUUUCUGGAUUAAGUUAAAACUAAAAGUGCUUAUAUAUCCAACAUAAGGUACCAAGAACACGUGAAGCACCCGGGGGAGGCUGCUCCACUCCGCAUGCACAGGUGGGCACGGCACCACUACUCGUCUCCUUCAGGCUGAGGAUAAGUGAUGUACGCUGAUCAACAGACCACGACGGAACCAGCAAUAAUAGUUUCAGCCUGCCUCACAGUAAUUAAUAUAUCCUGUAUCCUCCGAGGACCCCUCCCCUUAAUCUUGGCCUAUUGCAUCCAAUAAUGAUAUGUGUGUUUAUCCAAAUUUACGGCACCUUUGGCGGGGGUUCCACCCAGCUCCGCCCUCUCCACCUUCGGUACUCCAUGGGAAACCAUUCCUUUGGAAUCAAGGAAGCUUGAACAGUAUAACGAAUAAAGUUUCAUAUAUCCAUUUGAUUUCACAUGAAAUAAAAUAUUCUGUCAGAACCAAUGGUUUCACUGAAGCUCCAGGCAGCGAGCGAAGGGGUGAGAGAGGAUAACGCUUACUGUGUGUUACCAUCGCGUGCACCAUGGAUGACCAACGCGCAGCCGAGAUGAAACGGCGGACCUAAACAGGUCCUCGCUAUUUUUGCAGGUUCUCGACCAGGCCAGUUCUUUAGGCCAACCUAUCAUUCACGAGUUAAACAUACGGUGGCUGGAGAAAUGUUCUAUUCUUUUAAACAAUACCAGCUGGUUCCUCCGUUUUUAUUCCACCAAUACAAGCACCACCUUGUAACAUUUCCUAUGUUUUUUUUCCUUUCGUCUGUUUUCUCACUACAUGCGUUGCUCUUUCAUGCAUUUUUUUCCAUUCCUGUAUUCCAAAUAGGUCUACAUGAACACAAAAUGAACUAGGGGACAGAAAAAGCCAGUGAAGUUAGUUUUGAGCUUCACCAGCUACUUGCUACAUAAAGUGUGCUAUAGUCGCAGAAAAGCUAAGCUGGAUCAGACGUGGCCGAAACAAUGCCAAAGAGCUAGGUCCCUAGCUGAUGGCAACACAUCAGAUGACUAGCCUGCUUUUCUGUAAUAAUGAUAUUGAGCAAUACACUGCAUGGCUAACCUGCUUUACAAUAAUUGUCAUUUUAUAAUAUUGGUCAUCACGAGAGAUGCACAUUGCAUACACCGGCCCAUCCCUAUAAAUAGCCAAGCCUUUCAGCCAUCUUGGGCACCUCCUCUCAGGGCCUCGUCUCACCAUCAGACAUCUCGUUCCCAGUUAUAAUUUGCGAGGUUAGAUCAGGCUGCGCCAUGGCGUCCGCAACUGCUGUCAAGAUCGUCGCCACCUUCAUGCUGGUGCUGACCAUGGGCCACCUGAUGGCCGAAGCAUCACCGCAGCCUCGGCGUGUGCUUGCAGAAACGGAGCAUGCUGCGGUGUCCGGGAAUCCUGGCCUCCCAGGUGAUGCUAGCGUCAUGCAGGUCCUCGAACCCGCCCUAGUUUCUCGGCUUGCCUGCAAACCAGAGUGCACAGUCCCUUGGCCUCCUUUUGUAUGUAUCUGCUAGAUCCUCUUCCUGGCUCAACGGAACUUCAGGGAAAUGGCUGUGACGUCGGCCAAAGAAUAAAUUGGAUGAACAUAAUAUACCCCGGGUAGUGUAGCUUGGGCUUUUGUUGAGCGUCUGGUGCUAGUUGUAUUUUGUUUGCUCAUGUGGCUUUGCUUCUGGUUGCAUAUUGGCUUUCCUAUCGCUCUCUGUUGCAGCUAUGGUUUCUGCCAGGUGUGUGUUAAUGCGGUUUGUAAGCGGUGCUUGUUCCUACCUUCUGUUUUCAAUAAAAGAAGUCGGAGUCUCCCUCCGACUCUUGUUAUCAGUCAACAAAAAUGAGUUGUAUCAUAUAUAUCUGCGUCUUUUUUCUACGUAUCUUUGGGCUGCUUCAGCUGGAAGUUUAUCGUAAGUACGUGUAUCAGGAUGAUCGUUUGAAUUAAAACGAAAUGAUAAUGUGUGGCUGCUAGAAAUGGAAUGAGCAUCUUACUAUAUUACUAAUUGGAAGCCUCCACGUGAAGCCACCUAGAAAUUCUAGGUGGACGUUUUAAAAAAAACAAAACUCAUAGAAGCCUCCACCACCUAGGAAUCCUAGGUGGACACUCUAAAAAGAGACAAAUCCUAGAAAUUCUAAAAAAAGAAAAAAAUAAUAACAAUAAGAUUUUUUUGCAGUCAAUUACAUAUAUUUUUUUGAGACACCGUGCUGCUAGCUCUUGCCAUUGCGACCAGUAAAGCAAGCAGAUAGUAAGAUGACAUGCGUGUGGAUUGAUUAAAACAAAUUCAGUUAGUUGAUUCUAAAUCGUAUGUAUCCUAAAAGGAAGAUAUGUGCGUGCAUGGUCCCUAGCGAUGACAUGUAGACAUGUAUUGCAAUUUCUUUUUUAAAAAACAUGUCUAUCUCUAAACCAACAAACAGAAAAAAUAUCAAUCUAAAUCUAAAUCUCUUCCGUUCUCACACGCCUAUUAAAGAGAAGACAACCAAUCCCAUCCAUGUUCCAUAGAAUCCAUCUAAAAGCUUGCUCACUGCGGACGGCAUUUGACGGCAAAUCAAUGAAAGAUCAUCCUCUCCAAAUAGCUGGACGGCAUCACCAUCUUUAUCUCACCAACCUACAGAGCUACAACGAUGUUGUAGAGAUCAACUAGGUAACCUACCAAUCACCCUCCCCUUUUCUAUAUGCUCUAAAGAACACGUGGAGUAAUUAUAGGCCUAUAGGAGCCGACUAACCUAGAUUAAUAUGAAAAAUAUUCCAAUAUUAAAAGCAAGCAGAUAGUAAUACUUGCCUUUGACCAUUUUUCUAGAACUGUUAUUCCUAUUGAAUGUUCAAGUGCUACGGCCAGGCAUCGAAUGCCUGCACGGAACCUUCCUAUUGAAUGGUUACUCUAGAGAUCAACGCACCGCGAGACAUUUUUAUGGAAUUUGUUUGAUUCCCCUUCUACAAUUAGAUUAAUUUUUCAUGGCAUAUAUUACUACUAUUAAAUUAUUUGUUUAUUGUCGGGCCUGCUGCAUGUGUGGUAUAUAUGACUUGCUUCUCACCAUUGUUCUCAAACUAUUAUUCCUAUCGAAUCUUUCUAUCGAAAUAUAUUUUAAUUACUUGAUUGUUGUUUGUGUACCAUAACUUCUGUAUAGAAAAAUUCCAUGUUUGUAGAUAAUGUCUUUUGUAUAGAAAAAUAGCCCAAUUAGAUCCAUCACCAUCUUUUGCUUAUGUAGUUGAACAAGUUGCAAUGUUGAACAAAACUUUAAGUGAAAUUAGACCAGGAAAAGGAAUUGUGGAACAUUAAGGCAAGGGUAACCAGAUUGUGGAAUGCAACCUUACUCAGUAGUGGCGAACAAUUAAGUCUUGACAUGAUCCUUAUUGAUCAAAAGGUAUGAUAGAUGUUCACUUUGAUUGCAUUAUUGGUAUAAUUUUUGGUUUACAAAUUAUUAAUGAUGAUGCAAAAUUAGGGAACCAUGAUCCACGGUGUUAUCAAUAAGCCCUAUAUGAAAAAGUUCAAACCAUUGAUUGAAGAAGGCAAUGUGUACAUAAUUGCAAAUGUCAGAAUCACACCAGAACCACAGAAGUAUCGGCCAGUGGAAAAUGACAGGAUAGUCAACUUCUUACCCACAACUGCACUAAAAACGAUCAAAGAUACUGAAGACAUUCCAAAGUAUAGUUUUAACUUCAUGAGCACGGAUAUGCUUUCAGCAAGAAUAAAUGUGGACAUGUACCUAUUAGGUAAAACAUUACUGGCUUUUCAAUUUUUACACUUCCACUCAUUAAAUGACCAUCUAAUAAUAAUACAUAUUUAUGUUUCAUAGAUGUUAUAGGUAUCUCAGCUCACAUUGGACCGAUAGAAGAAACAAGGACAAACUUCGGAUUUACUAAAAUCCGUGAUAUUGUGCUCCUGAUCGAGUAAUUCUCUUUUCUUUUGUAGAAAACAACUACAAAACUUUCAACAUUUACAUGUAUGUUAUAGAACUUCUGUUGAACUAAAAAAUAUCUUCUACAGUGCCCCUACAAAUAAUUAAUUUCGUAGUUGGAUAUUUAAAAUAUUUAUUAUUCACUUUUAAAUUUGUGGCCAUGAAGUUAAAGUUAGAUUUUGGGGAGACAAAGUUGAGGAAGUUGAUGAUAAGACAAAAUCCCAUGUCAUUGCAAUAACAUCUACAACUGUGAGUAAAUUUGGCAGUAAGUCUUCAUUCAAUAUGAGUUAUUCAAUAUUAGUCAUUCAACAAACUAACCUCGUAAGAAAAAUAAAUAAUUGAUGUUUUAUCAGGGUAUUCUCUAUCGUCAACCAAUGCAACAAAACUUUAUGUAGAUCUACCUAUUCCUGAAACUAAGGAUGCACAUGAUAGGUGAGAAAAAUUAGAUAUUGUUUUUCUAUUUUAAUCUAUGUAGCAUGCACUCUAACAUGAUACAUUCUUUCAUAUGAUAAAAAAAUGUUAGUUCAAUUGAAAAUAUUGUCAAAGAGAUUCAUAUUGAGGACCAUCUAAAAGGGACAUUGGAAGACCAAAUGCAGUACAAUAGAAGAACUUUAGAAGAAUUAAAUUUCAUAUUAUUUGAAACAUCAAAUCAGGUAUGGAUUAGUAUGUUCAUUGUACACUAUACUAUUUAAAGACUUACAUACAUAAUGAUGGUAUUGUUCCUACUUUCAGGAUGAGGUAUUUACUAUUGAAGCAACAAUAAAUGAAAUUAAUGCAACAUAUGGUUGGUUGUCACACCCGAUUUUAAGGACAAAAUUGAGUGCAUUAAAUACAUGUGCACCAGGAUCAAGUUACACACAUCCUAUGAGUACCGUCCUUCUUUGGCACAAAGAUAACCGGUGCUCCCCAUGGUGAUGAACUAGGCCGAAUAAACUAUUUUGCUGAUAAUUCCUCUAGUUGUUGUUUCAAUUCUUUUAAUUGUUCAACCAACAUUCUAUAAGGACGUUUGGAGAUAGGUGCAGUACCAGGUAAAAGAUCAAUAGCAAAUUCAAUGUCGCGGUCAGGUGGCAUACCUGGUAAAUCGUCGGGGAACACAUCCGGAUAGUCACACACCACUUUGAUAUCUUCCAAGGAUUUUCCAGCCAACUGAUUAACUGCACAAUCUGCUGCUGAGGGUAGAGUAGCUACAAACUCCACUUUCUCUCCAUCAGGACCUGUUAGCAGAACUGUCCUCUUGGCACACUGAAUCGUUGCAUCAAAAGCGGCUAACCACCUCAUCCCCAGAAUUACAUCGAUUCCACUGGACUCAAGGACGAUAAGAUCAGCCGGAAACUCUAUACCCAUUAUUCUCAGUUUAACUUGUGGACAGAUGUAUUGAGCCUUCAUUGACCCCCCAGGUGAACUCACUAGCAUAUGACGCCUCAUGGUAUGCAUGGGUAAAUUAUGCUUUGCUACAUAAUGACUAGUGACAAAAGAAUGCGAUGCUCCAGAGUCAAAUAAAACUGAUGCGGGGGCAGAGUUGACAAAGAACAUACCAAGCACUACAUCUGGAGCCUCCUUAGCAGUCUCGGCUUCCAUGUGGUUCACCUUGCCACAAACAAAGCUUUGCUGCCCCUGAUUGCCUUGUGGGGUCUGGUUCCCAUUCCUCGGUUGCUGCAUCUGAUUCUGCCGAGGAGCACUGCUGUUCUGCACGGGGGUAGCUGGCCCACCUCUCUUAGGACAAGAGCUGGCAUAGUGACCAACCUCGCCACACUUGAAGCAGGUAGGACCCACUGGAGCAUUGGGCCUUGUUGGAGUGCCAGUAGGGGUCAUCUGGCGGUUCUGCGUAAAGCUUGGGCGCGGAGUCUGCAUAGUCUGCAUCCCUGGAUGCUGGAACUGAGGGCUAGGGCGCUGGAAUGACUGCUGAGCAGGGCGCGGAAAUGAGUGCUGCCAAAAAUUCCCACUCGGGCCCCCUGCGCGGAACGGCGUCCCUUGCUGUGGAGCAAAGCGAGGGCGGGUGUUGCUUCCUGAAGACUACUGGGAAUUGAAUUUCCUCUUCAUCUCCCCGAGCUCGUUCCUCUUGUGUUCCAGGCCAAUUGCCUUGUCUAGCAUCUUCUGGAAACUGGGGAAGGUGUGCGACAUAAGCUGAUAUUGGAGUGGUCCAAUCAACCCAUCCAAGAAUAGCUCCUGCUUCUGCUCAUCAUCAGCAACAUCUUCGGGAGCAUAUCGGGACAACUGGACAAACUUGUCCCUGUACUCUGCCACUGUCAUGUUCCCCUGCUUGAGAGCAAGGAACUCCUUCUUCUUAAGCUUCAUCAAUCCGGAAGGAAUAUGAUGACUUCUGAAGCUAGUCCUGAAUUCAUCCCAGGUGAUGCCAUUAGCAUUGGCAUGGGUGGUGGUGUAAGCAUCCCACCAAUCAGCAGCUGGCCCUUCCAGGCGUCCUGAAGCAUACAGGACCUUCUCCCUGUCAGUACAUUGGGCGAUAUCCAGCAUCUUCUCCACUGUUUUCAGCCAAUCAUCAGCAUCUAAUGGAUCCGGAGAAUGUGAAAACGUCGGGGGCUUGUGGCUCAUGAACUCCCUAUGCCUGUCCCUUGGCGGCGGCUGCUGCUGGUUGUUGUUGUUGUUAUUGUUCAGCUGAGCUUGUAAAGCUGCCACGGUGUUGGUCAGUCCGGCGAGAAGCUGAGUCUGAGCUGCUAGAAACUGCUCCAUCCCUGCAGGUGCUUGUUGGUUCUGUUGCGGAGCGGUGUUGGGAUUGCUGCUGUUGUCCCUGUGGCGUGGCACUGUGGGACGGUCAACUCCUGAUCCGGACCUGGUGUUUACCAUCUGAGCGUUAGAGACAAUGGAUUUAGAUAGAUGUGUGAAAGAAUAACUGAGAAAGAUAAAGCGACCAGAUGUAAAAGUAACACAGAUUCUGUUAGCUCCAUUUAAUUAGGUGUGGUCGUCAGAAGAAGUGUCCAUAAAUUCUGAACAAUUACCAAGUCGUAACUUAUUAAAUUUGUAAACCAACCCAACUGGAAUCAUCUCAAUCGGACUUCUGGAUCUCGAGUUACAAAAUUAACAAGCUGACAGUGUCGGUCGAUAGGUUCAGAUUCUGAGUGCUUUACUAAUUCGCAUACACCUCCCAGACAGAUACACCAAAAAUUCUGAAAAAUUUACAGAUAGUACUCCACGAAAUUCUGAAACUAACCCCACUGGUUUCAUGUCAUUUGGACUUCUGUAGCUAGAGAUAUAAAUAAAAAAGUACUGGCGUGUCAGUUAAUGUCGAGAACAGAAUUGAAUGUCGCUUAGCUUGCGUGAUGGAUAGAUUUAGACAGAUGGUAGAUCAUGAUUAAGGAAGAUUAAAUACUGAUUUAGAACAGAAAUAAAACCCAACUAAGCACUUUAUUUAUUAAGACCAGUAUCGUGUGGCAAUUGCCCCACAUACCGCACUCAUUACAAAAUCCAACUCAAACAUGUAGCACAAAACCAAUCAUCUAAGCACACUUUAACUAACACACUCGAACGACGUCUAACGAUUACAAGAAUUUAAACUAAAACACUCCUAAUUUCCUAGAGGUCUUCUGCGGCGGUGCCGGGCGAGUCGUAGCGGGGACGCUUAGGCGACGGCGACGAAGCGGGAUGAACAGCAAACUCCUGCGGCGGCGGUGCUCCCGUCGCGGCAGCCAUAUUCGCAUCCCUCUCCCACCGGAGUUCCUGAACCUCCUGUUGAAGCUCCUGGAUGUGGUUGUUUGCUUCAUUCAAUGCGGUGAGAGCUGCCGACGUGUACUUGCGGAGGAAGUCUGUAGCCAUGUCAACCCCAUCGUUAGUAGCGAUGAAGGUUCUUGCUUCCCCACUAGCUCGGUAAGGAAGGAACCGAUGGUAAGUGUGCUGCAAUCGCGGCCGUUCCUUGUGGGAGACGACCUCAAGUGCCCUCCUGGCGGCCUCGGCAAUGCCGGAUUCCAUGGUCCUCCUUAUGGUCACAUCAUGGUGAAAAGCCUUCACCUCCCAUCCUCCCUCGUGCUCCUCACGAAGGACAACCUUCACCUCCCAAAAAGUGGGAUAGCGAGGGUGGGUGAACCGGGAGCACUUGUAGAGUGGCCUCAUGCCGUACCCCAAGCGGUGACAAGUCCACCUGAGUAUGUCGGCCAUGUGCACUCCUUGGCCAUAAUCUUCCUUCACCCAUUUGAUCCAUGUCUCGGGCUCGGGAUCUGCUUCGGGCUCAUCAUCCGUCAAGUCGACGACCGGUACGGGCGUCGGGGCUGGUGCAGGAGCGGGCGCCGGUGCUGGCGACGGUGCUGGUGACGGCGUGGUCUCCUGCUCCACGGUCACGGCGUCCCCGUCAGAGUCAUCCCCCGGAUGCUGGAAGAUCUCUUCCUCUUCUUCCUCGUCCCAAGGCUCCAUGGGGGCGUACGACGGCGCGAUGCCAUGACGCGGCGGACGGGUGCUCUUGCGUGCGGUCAACCGGGUGCGAGCCAUCUAACAGAAAGAAAGAAGAAAAUUUUAGAAUAAAAUUUUGAACAAAGCUAGAUAAUAAAAUAGCAAUAAGGAUGAGACAAAUCAAGUUUAAGAAUAAUUAAGUAGAUUUAAAUUAAGAAAGGUAGGAAUGGCUACUAGAUUAUUAUAAUCCUUAAAUACGACCAUUUUCUAACUAGGCUAACGUCCUACAGUCAACACGGCUCUGGUACCACUUUUGUCACACCCGAUUUUAAGGACAAAAUCGAGUGCAUUAAAUACAUGUGCGCCAGGAUCAAGUUACACACAUGUACGACAAUAGUGAAUAGUAAAGCCAGUGCUAAAUCGAAUAAAGAGAGUAUUAACCAUUAUUACAUGACCGAAUGUCUCAAAUAAACCACAAAGUCUAAUUAUUACGCAGCGGAACUCCAAAGAUGACGACGACUCCAUAGGCAGCUGACUGAAGAAACGUACGCCUAGAACUCCUCGAAGUCGUGGAAGUACUCCUCUUCCCAAUUAACUUGGUCUGAACAGCGGUUUUGCAAGGGUGAGUACACUUAUGGUUGGUACUCAACAAGUCGUGGGAAGUAGUGUAGUGUAAGGCUAAUUCAAGGUAUGGCUAAGGCGUAAAUAGCAUUCGCUUUUAAUUAAGUUGGUCAAAUUUUAUUAGCAUUUACUAAGUAUAAGUUCAUACCACCCGAAAUUAAACAUGAACAUAAAGUAAACCACAUGUGCAUGAAAUGAUAACAAAUUAAAUCCAUCUUCCGAUAAUAUUAUCAUGUGAGGGUCCAGGCCGCUCUUAACCGUGAGCACGGCUGAUUGAUCAGUUUAACACUCUGCAGAGGUGGCACAUCUUUACCCACAAGUCGCGUAAAAGUUCAAAAGAACUUUGGACCCAACCAUGCGGUGUUUGCAAGGCACCAUACCACACUUCCGAGGUGUGAUUGCAUAGGGACGCUACGAGGCCUUUACAAAGAUUCAUUAAUCAGUGGUAACCCGCUAAGGUUUCGGUGUCUGGCGUGCACCACCCAUCCCAGGUAAAAUGCAACGACUCAGUCCCCCCCCUUGAAUCAUCACGAGUAAGGUCACCCCAGACUAAGGUUUCUAAUUAAUCAGCCAAGACCAGAGCUAUUUAGUCUUGUGGUAGCACUGUUUUCCUGGGUGGUCGCUCCAUGUUCUGAUUAACAAAUAAUGAUCUUGUCUUAAUGAAAGGUAUAACAGAAAUAAGGCAAGAUUAAGCAUUGUUUUUAGUUAAACCACCAUGUACCAAGUAAGCACUAAGCAUGAGCUACCCAACAUAAAGUAAACCGGUUGGUCAAGGCAAAGGUAAAACAAUCUAGGCCAACCUUAAUUGGGACCCAUCAAUUUAAUCUUAAUAUGUGCACAGCAUAAAUGUUGAGUACGAGAAAGUAAAGGUGUAUAGGACAAAAAGGUAGUGAUCAAGGACACGACUUGCCUUCUUGGCCUUGCUCCUGCUGUUCGUACUCCUCGAAGGCUUGAUCGGCAACUCCCUCGAACUGCGGGGCGUCUACACGCAUCACACGAGCACAUACAAGCAAACAUGGGCAAAAGUAAGAAAACAGUAUACCAAACAUAGUCAAACAGAGAAAACAAGCUUGAAAAGAUGAUCUACGCUUUAAAACGAACACGCGGAUAUAAAGAACGCGAAAAACGGAGUUAAGAUGCAAAAGAUAUGAUUAAAACAAAAUCCAGGGACUUUUCUGUAAGAAAAACAAAACUUUUAGGGCCUAUCCGCGAAAACCGAGGGCUUAUACGUAAUUAUGCGUAUAAACCGAGGGUCUGAUGCGUAAAAACAUCAAACCCGGACGGCGGGUUGAUUUCUGGAAAGGUCAAGGGUUAAACCGAAAAAUGCGAGGGCAGAUCUGUAAAUACUUUCAACGCGAUCUGGACCGCGGGUUGAUUUGCGAAAAAGGCGGGGGCUAAAGUGCAAAAACUGCACGGCGCGGCUCGGUUGACCGGUACGCGAUCUUGAUUGACUCGCGUCCGGCCGUCGGAUUAAGAUCCGACGGUCGCGGUGAUCCGCGACAUCGCGGCGGCGGCGGCGAGCGGCGGCGAGCGGCGGCAAGCGGCGGCGGGUCGCCGGAGUUAGGCAAAAUAGCGCCACGAGGCACGGUUUAACGCGCGGGUUGCACCAAAAAAGAGAGGGGAACACGUCGAUCCCGUUUUGGGGGUUCUUGUCGACGGGGGCUCACCGGCGACGGCGAACGGCGGCGAGGAAGAGGCGGCGGCGCUAGGAGCUCGGGCGGCUAGGGUUUCGGGGAGCUGCGGCGCUGGUUUUGGGCGGAGGAGACUGGGAGGAGGCGGCGGCUUUUAUAGGGCUUGGAGAUAGAGCCGGCGCGGGUUCAAAUCCCCCGGAGGAGUCGGAGCGGAUGGAGUCCGGGGCGGAGACGGCGCGCGGCGGUUGCGGAGUUCUGACCGGAUUCGGCCGGAGGUGGGAGACGAUGGGUGGGGUCCACCCGUCAGUGGCGGAGGGGAGCGGUAGACGGGCCGGCGCGACCGUGGGCUGGCGCGCGCUCGUGGGCUGCGGGGAGCGGGAGAGAAGCGGCGAGCGGGCGCUGGCGGAGCAGGCCGAGCGGAGGUAGAGCUGGGCCGCGGAGAAAAAGGAGGAGGCCGGCGGGCUGCUUCGCAGGCCGGUAAGGAUGAGGCGGCCGGGCCGAAGAAGAAAAAGAAAAGGAGGGACAAGGAGCUUUCGGCCGAGGGAAAAGAAGAAGAAAAAGAAAAGGAAGAAGAAAAGGGAAAAGGUUUUGGAAUUUGAAUUUAAAUCUGAAAUUCAAAAUUUGAUUCAAACUCAAGCAACCAAAAAUUAUGCUCCAGCAUGAAUGCACAAAUAAUUCCUAUGAUGAAUUAAUUGAAUUAAAGAAAAUGAAUUUAAAUGCCUAGAAAUUAAAUAACACCCUAAUUUGAGCAAAUUUUAAUGAAUUUGAAUUAUUGAAAUUUUGGGUGUUACAUUGGUACUACAUCUCAUGUAGUAGAGGCGAUUGUAAGAAGCAACUUGAAAAGAAGUUUGAUCACUACUAUUGCAAUAAAUGUGACAAGAGAGCCGAACCUAAAGCCCAGUAAAUUAUUUAGUAGUUUACAAUCUUAUUAUAAUACUUCUAUUUCUAAUAGGAGAAUAAUAUUUUCAGAUUCAAAUUAAGCUUCAAAUAAGUGAUCCAACAACAAGUGCAACUUGUGUACUUUUGACAAGGAAGCAGAAAUGAUAAUUAAUGAAUGAGCAGAUUCGAUGAUCACCUCAGUUGAUCAUGAUAAUAAGUAGCUACCAAAAUCAAUUCAGGAAAUAUGUGAAGAAACAUUGAUUUCUCAAUUCAGAUUGACCGAGUACAACUUGACAAGUUUUAGACCUGAUUAUACUGUUUCAAAGAUAUUUUUUCCAAAAGAAAAGGGCAGUUCAAGAAUUGGUAUGGAAAGUGUAAAAAAGGUAACACUUUAUUAUUAAUUUUUUAUUGCACUUUUUUCUUUUGAAUCCGUAAUACUUAAUAAUUUUACUAUAUCAAUGAAACAAAUUCUAACCUAAAUUUAUUUUCUUUUUUAUUAUUUGUAGGAAGUAGAAGACAACUCAGACAAAUGCUACACGAUAACUACCGAGAAUGAAGAGGUAGACACUGAUGACUCUUUUACCGAGAAAGUAACAUUCGUAGAAGAAGCCAUAAGGACUGGGGAAAGAUUGGCUAGAAAAGUAUACUCACUUCCAUGUCAGUGUUCAUUCUAUUUACAAUACAUGCAAAAAAAAUAUUAUUCAUGCAAAAUUGCAGGUCUACUAAGCAUUAAAGGAAUAGCGGAUAGUGCAAUAUGUAAUCUGAGCAGCAUGCAUUACAAAGUGCUCUACUGCAAUUAAAUUAAAAAACAUGAUAUAUGUUGAAUUCUUAGACUUUAUUAUUAUACUUUUCUACGUGACAAUUCACAAUUUUUUAGAAAAAAGAAGAUCCCAGAAGAAGUGACCAUGAAAAAAGGUCUAUGACCAGCAAUAAGAAAAAAUGCAAGCAUAGAAACAAAUCCGUAGAAAACAUAGAAAAUAAGGUACUCCAUAAACAAAAGUAUUCUCUUAUAUUUUUAUUAAAUAUUUUUUUAACACUUGACAAGUUCUUUUUUAGGAUCAAUAUAUCAGCAAUUCAGAUGUCAUUGGAGAUGAAACCUUAGUUCAUCCAAAAGGUCAAAAAAAAACAUCUGAAGAAAGGUGUUUGGCUGAAAAGGAAAAGCAAAAAAGUGGUAAUGCAGACAAACACAUGCAGAAAAAUAUAAAAACAUGUCAUAGGGAGGCAGACCAAUCUUGCAAGGAGGUAUAGACGAAACGUGAUACACGACCUGCCUACCUUGUCGUGGAUACCCCAAGAAGAUGUCAUAGAGGUGCAGACCAAGCUAGCAAGGAGGUCGAAACGUGAUACACGGCCUGCCUACCUUGCCGUGGAUAUUAGCCCUGAGAUCAUUCUACUGUUCAAGGAAUAACACUCAAUGCUGCUGCUGCUGCUGACCUGGCUCCAUAAAGUUAUACUCCUCUAGGUGCUUGCACUAACUUUAUCUGAAGUAUUAUUCUCUCUGCACUGUAUAUAUGGUUAUGGAGUUUGCUGGAGUAUCCGGGGCGAAGAACCUACAUAAUACGUCUUGGAACUAAUUGACAUUGAUUCACAGACAAACUCUACAAGGUGCUGUUCUUGCCAUUUUAGAGCAUCCAAAGGACUAUAAAUAACAUAGUUUACCAUAUACCAUAUACCAUAUACCAUAAUAUGUUAGCUAAAAUAAGAGCAUACACAUGUUGCAGGAGUCCAAAAGCACCGGUUGAGGACCAGGUACAUUGAAUUACUAGAAAAAGACAGGGGACAAGGUUUAGGUAACCACAUGAAACAUUUGAAUUUAUUGUACUAUGAACACUUAGUUACCAUGCCAGGAGCACAUAGUUAACACUAACAUUUAGCCACUUUAGAUCAUCCCGAAUCACCAAUGACCCUCAAUAGUGACAAAUUUUGGUUUAAAUGCCAUCACCAAUGAUCCUCAAUAGUGACGUAUUUAGGUUUAAAUCCCGUCACUAAUAACCCUCAAUAGUGACCUGUUUUGGUUUAAAUCUCAUUACCACUGAUCCUCAAUAGUGAUGUGUUUUAGCAAAACAUGUUAUCAAUGACUUGUCAUUGGUGACGUGUUAAAACGCGUUAUCUCAAUGGCAAAUCAUUGGUGACGUGUUAUCUCAAUGUUAUCAAUGUUCUAUUCUUUUCAACAAUACCAGCUCGUUCCUCCGUUUUUAUUCCACCAAUACAAGCACCACCUUGUAACAUUUCCUAUGUUUUUUUUCCUUUUGUCUGUUUUCUCACUACAUGCGUUGCUCUUUCAUGCAUUUUUUUCCAUUCCUGUAUUCCAAAUAGGUCUACAUGAACACAAAAUGAACUAGGGGACAGAAAAAGCCAGUGAAGCCAAUUUUGAGCUUCACCAGCUACUUGCUACAUAAAGUGUGCUAUAGUGACGUGUUUUAGCAAAACAUGUUAUCAAUGACUUGUCAUUGGUGACGUGUUAAAACGCGUUAUCUCACUGGCAAAUCAUUGGUGACGUGUUUUAAAAAAACAUGUCACCGUGAGAGUCAUUGGUGAAGGGUAAUUAAAAUGCGUCACUAAUGUUGUAGCAUUAGUUAUGAUAAUUUAGUAACGCAAAAAUCUACCAUCAGUAUUGAGCUUUAGAGCCAUCGCUAAUGUGGGUUUCUUACAUAGUGAUGCAAGCUCUACAAGGUGCUGUUGCUGCCAUUUUAAAGCAUCCCAUGACUACAUGUUAAUAACAUAGUUUACCAUAUAUCAUAAAAAUAUUAGUUACAAUAAGCACAUACGCAUGUGGAAGAGUCCGAAUGCACCGGUUGAGGACUAAACACAUUGAAUUACUAGAACCAAAUGUAUGUUUAGAACAAAGACAGGGGUCAAGGUUUGGGUAACCGCAUUAAAAACAUUGGAUUUUACUGUACAUGAACACUUAGUUACCAUUACCAUGCCUUGAGCACCUAGUUACAACAAACAUUAAUUUAGCCACUUUAGAGCUUCCAGAAUCGCUAUAAAUAAUAUACCUACGCCGUACCAUGAAAACAUCAAGAAGAGAGACGGAUACAUGGACCACCAUCAAGCGAGUAGUGACAGCACGCACAAGAAUACCCGGAACCUGUUAGCUUGUCUGUAGUGAUCUGUUUUCUUCCCCAUAAAAUCCAUGAGUAUUGCCACAAAUAAUGAAAGAGGCUGACCAAGCUAGCAAGGAGGUAGAGCAAACGUGAUACACGGCCUGCCAAGAUUGCCCUGGAUACGCCAAUAAGAGCGACAGAUACAUGGAUCACACCAAUAUGGUGAAACGUAUAUUCAUCACACAAGCAAAGCUGGUCAGUUUAUCCAUGGUCAAAUUGUGGUCUUUGUUUUCACUUGAGAGCUAAUUGAGGCACUAUAAUAUGGGCAGGCCUAUCUUCAACAGACAUGACAGCUACAGGGAACUUGACAUAAUUUGCUGGGCCGCCUGUGCACAAUUAUUUGUUUUAUUGUCCUUGCAUAGAAUGCUAAAAUACUCUUUACAAAAUGUUGGAUCUAAUAUUUGAAAUAUAGAGUAGUAAUCAUAUAUUGAUCAACAACUUGAAAUUAUCUGUACAUUCUCGGUGAAGCUGUUGAACUAAUUUUUGCAAAUUAUUAAUUCAUCUCAUUACGUAAAGAAAAAAGUAAGUGGAUAAGAUAUUUCGUGGACCACAUCACUGCAAACAUGUCAUGGAGAGACAGACCAAGGAGGCAGGACGUGAUACACGACUUACCCUAGGUUGCCGUGGAACCGCCAAGAAGAGAUACAGAUACAUGGACCACACCAUCUUGGGAGUAGUGACAGCAUAUAUGCAGAAGAAUACCCCGUGCCUAUUUGCAUGCAUGUCUCAAGUGAUCUGUUUUCUUCAGAAAAUACAUGAGCAUUGCCAGAAAGAAUGGCAAGAGACAAACAUGUCAUAGAGACUUGCAUGUCUUGCCUUGGAUACGCCAAGAAGAGGGACACAUACAUGGAUAACACAAAUCUAGUGACACGUAUAUUCAUCACAAAGGCAAAUCUGAUAAUUUUAUCCAUGGAGCAGACCAAGGAGAAAUUGAUGACGGACAUGUGAUCUCUGUAUUCAGUUGAAAGCUAAUUGAGCUACACUAAUAUGAGCAGGACUAUAUUCAAGAGACUUGUUGAGAGCUACAGGGAACUUGUAAUAAUUUGCUGGGCGGCCUGCGCACAAUGAUUUGUUAUACAUAGUUGAAAUAUUUCAAGAAUUUAUCAACCUCAUACUCUGAAACCCUUGGUGCAAUGUACUCUGCUUUCCGAGGUAGACUGUUCACGUAAAAUGAGGUCAUGCGUAAGACGGAAUCGGAUUGGAUUCACAGGGAAUCAGAUUUGGAUAGCACCUUUUAGCAGGUUUUUAGUCAAAUGCAAAUUCGGAUCCACAUGUGGUUGAAUGCGAGUUCAAAAUUCUACUUGGAUAUCCAUUUAAUUUAGGUGAUAGCAAUUAGCACAAAAUGUUGGAUGAACAAAAUCAUAGUUAGACAUACAAUUACAUGUAUGGUUAAAGUAUAAUACAAUACACCAAGAUUAUUCCUUGAAAAUAUUUCUUAAAAAUAUUAUAAUAAAUGAAUAAAUAUAAUUGUGGCCACCAACAAAUAGUCGGUGGUCGCUAAGUUGGAGCCAUUUCUGGUUACUAAUGCGGCCUUCUCCUCGACCAGCGACGACAGCUGAGCUUGUUCCUUCUGACACUAAAUCAUCAGAGUCUUCCCUCCACUACUAUAGAAUGCACCUUUAGCACCAAUUGGGAAAUCCCCUUCAGUAUUGGAUGCUGCAACCAGUGCUAUAUAUCAAAAUGGAGACUAAAAGCCUCGGUCUUGGGUACCGGUUGCAUAACGCAUUACUAAAGGAGGCAAAAGAGAAAUGUAACAAAAAAAAUAUUUUGAAUUCCAAGAAUGUUUCACUAUUCAAGAUGACUAGCUGAGAGUCAACAGACAAGAUACUAGGAAUGUGGGUGCUUGAAUGCAUUUGUACAGAGGUCAUACUAUUUACAAACUCUUCUAUGUUUCCAUAUGACUACCUACUUCAAUGUCACGCGAGCCAUUCAGCUGGACACAUGGCACACUAGCUUGCAUGUCGAAUCCAUGAUUAAUUAUUUGCACUUGUGAUCUCUUACCAGUAUUUGUCCAGACUAGAAACGUGCAACACAUUUUUAGGAUAUGGACACGCAUAUAUUUGGACUAGUAUACAGGUCACCUUUGGAUGCGUACAAGGAUGACCGGGAGGGACUAAUGGAUACAAGGAAGGGACCAUCAGGAUUAAUAUUGACAUAUGCCACAUGACAAUCUUCAUUGUCAUGCAAUCCCUAUCAACAAUCAUGGAAUCCCUAGUGUACUAAUCCCUGGAGGGUUGUGUGGAAAUUUAUUUUACCUUGCGGUGAAAAUCUCAUGAGCAGUCAUUAGUUAAGCUGACUAGCUGAGAUAUAAUAGACAAGCUAGUAAGAUUGGGAGCAUCAAUGCAUCCAUACAGGGUCACAAUAUCCUUUCCAUUCACUUUUAUAUAUAACCCUACGAAUACAAGUCCAACGAAAUGCGGGCCUUUCGAUCAAGAUAAAUUAAAUGGCCCACUUGUAUUUCUAAUCCAGGAUUAACUAUGCCCUCUGUUCAUCUCUUGCAAGCACGUGCAACACAUUUUCACGAUAUGGACAUGCAUGGAGGUUAUUAUACUGUUUGGACAAACUCUGAUGUGCCAUGACCUAAAUGCUUAGGGCCUGUUUGGUUUGAGUUGCUUAUUAUAAGCAACUUAAAGUUGCUUAAAGUUGCUUAUUUGAAGUUGCUUAUUUUUAGUCUAAACUGUUUGGAUACCCUUGCUUAUGAGCAUUGAAUGAGUUGGACAUUGUCAAAUUUGCCCCAUGUGUUGCUACCCCUCCAAUUUGCCUCCCCACCCUUCUUCUUCCUGCACACGUCCGAUCCCGGGGGCCGACGGCGGGCAGGGAGCAGCAGCAGCUGGCCAGGGCGGCGGUGGGGCGGGAGCGGCGGCGCACACCAGCACGCGCUCGCACGCCAGGUGCUAGGGCGCGGCGAGGCAGUCGUCGUAGCCCACCGGGAGCGGGUGCUCGGGCGCGAGGCGGUACUCGACGGAGAUGCCGAGCGUCGGGCGCGCGGCGGCGAGCGCGUUGAGGAAGCGAUGGUAGUGCGGCGACGUCGCGGACUCCGCCACGAAGCCGCCGCCGUGGACGUACACCACCACGGGCAGCUUCGUCUUGCCGUCGGCGGCCGCGGCCGCGGCCUGGGGUGGCAGGUAGAGGCGGACGGAGCAGGAGCCGAGGUCGACGUCCCUGGAGUCGACGCCCGUGGCGGCGUCCAGGCUGGGCCCGACCGGCGGCGGCACGAGCGGGCGCUCGAUGCGGCCGCUCUUGUAAAUCCGACGGGUCUGUGCGGAGGCGGGCGGCGGGCGGGAGCGGCGGGUGGGAGCGGCGGCAGGUGGUGCGGAGGCCGGCGGCGGCGGGUGGCGCGGAGGAAGGGGAGCUGGUGAGUGGUGACAGGGGAGGGGGGGAGAGAGAGGGGGGGUAGGGUGCAUUGAAUGAGGGCAGGAGGUGUAAAGUGCACCUUUUAGUCCCCAUGAGCAACCAUAAGCAGCCCAAGAGUUGCUUAUUUGCUUAUAAUAAGCAACCUCAUAAGCAAGAGUGAUUGGUUUCAUAAGCAACUUAUUUGCUUAUUUUAAGUUGCUUAUGCAUAAGCAUGUGAAACCAAGCAGGUCCUUAACCUAUGGUUGUGGCACCACACAGUACAUAGUAUUUAAUAAUGCUAUUCGUUUGGUAUGUGCACAAGGGCACGCAUGAAAUGUCUGGCCCACGGUAAACAAGUACGGACGCUGCAAAUAAUCUACUCUGCUCGUCCAGUCCCUAGCCUAUAAAUAGAUGCCAUGCUAGCUCUUGUUGUGCUCACAAUUAAUCCUGACUACACACGAGCUUCUCUCCCUGGCCAAGACACAAUCAUAGUAUGAUGAAGAACAUGGCACUAGCCGGCAAUGGUAUGAAGAACUUAAUCCUCGCUGUUCUCUUACUGUGUCUAGUUAUAGGGCAGAUACAAGUGGAAGCUAAGAGCUGCUGCCCAUCCAUUACUGCAAGAAAUAUCUACAAUGCCUGCCGUAUCACGGGUACAUCCCGUCCAACGUGUGCAAAACUGUCAGGCUGCAAAAUUAUCAGCGGGGACAAAUGCAAGCCCCCUAACGACCACCUCACCCUUGACCCGGACACUGGUAAAUAAUAAAUUUAUCUCACUUGAUUUCUUCGUGUUUUGAGUCGUUAAUGUAUUUUCCAUCUGAUGAAACGUAUUGGUUUUGCAUUGAAGAGGAAGUUAAUGUGCUUAACUUCUGCAAGUUGGGGUGUGCGUCGUCUGUGUGCAACAACAUCAACGCUGGUAAGCACCUUUUGCUCAGACGGAGAAAACAAUAAUCAUUAAUUAGCGGCAGCUAGAAUCCUAUAAUCUAAUAUAUUUAUAUAUAUAUAUAAUUUUAUCAGCUCUGGGAAAUGAAGAGGCGAACGAUGCCGUUGAGAGUUGCGACCAAGCCUGCUCUAGCUUCUGCAACGUGCACGUUGGCGCUGCCACCGUGGUUGCUUAAGCAAAUGCAUCCAACUGGAUCGUCCUUGUGCUAAAUAAUUGGAUAUCGUAUCCACUUAAAGCUGCCUUGUGUAGUACGUUUUUGUUUGUGUCUCUCUUUAUAUUCCAAUAAGGUCGGUGAUCUUGAUGCCACACACUCAGACGUGUGUUCAUCUCCAGAUACUACUCCAUGCUACCUGCCCUUUGUGUUUUGUUCAAUAACUGGGUAUCAUAUCCCAGCCAGUGUGCCAUCUGUUUUGUGUUUAUUUCCUUCUAGUUUCAAAGGGGUUAUCAUGAUGUUACCUUCUUUCGAUAUGGUGCUUUGCAUGACUACUGUUGUAUGGUACCAUCUUGUUGGCCAAUAAAUACAUCUUAUCCUAUGACCCUUUGCUAUGACCCUUUGCAAAUAAGUACAAGAUUGUUAAAUACUCGGUAUAAAUUGACUACUGCUGUGAGUUCCCUUUCAGCUUAUCGUAGGCAUACAUUAUUGCUAGCACGGUGAAGACAACCAACACGAAUGGUCAAGUAAACGUACCGGUACUUUUGUAUACCAACACCCUUGCUUAAAUGUACCGGUGUUACUCCCCACUAGCACAUAUAUUCUUAUAUGCUAGCCGGCUUGAAAAUUAACCGAUUAAAAUAAUUAUUUCAAGACAGAAAUAACUUAUCGGCUUCUCGAAGCAUGUGUAAUGUGAAUUCAAGGACUUGAUGGAAGUUGAAUCGCUUAAUCUAGAUUGCUUUCAGGAUUUUGGGUAACUAAAUUUAACAUUUGCACAUACAAAUGUUAAUGUACAAAUAUUAAAUAUAGUUACCCAAGCAGAAUAUGAAGAUACUCUAUAGUAUAUAUAUACUAUAUAAAUCUAGUUAACAUUUAGUCUAAAUGUUAAAUCUAGUUACCUAAAAUCCUGAAAGCAAAAUGUAUAAAUAUAUAUCUUUUAAGGAAUCCCAAAGCAAGAGUUCAGUGGCAUUCUAUAGUCCCAUGCUGCUAGUUUGAGUUGGUCGAAGCCAACUUAAAUAGGAGAGCUCUCUCACUUCUCUAAAUACGUAACUGAAGGAGAGAAGGGGGCUUGGUUACACAACGCACGCACGCACGCAUAUUUGCGUUCUUUUCGCGUAACCAACCGCGUGACUUGAAACUUGCGACGUAGCGUGCUGCCAAGUCAAGUUGAUAUAACCUUUUUGCCGUAGGCGUGUAAUCUUUUGACAACGGUCAUUGGAGGUGAUAAGCACGCAGUCAAUACCUUAAUCCUGAG